CUUCCAUAACUUGCCUUGCAACUUGCUUGACUAGCGUGGUUUUACCCACGCCGCCCAUCCCGUAGACCCCAAUUAUCUUGAGCUUAUCAUCCUUCAACGCCUCCACAACAUCUUCAAAUACUUUCAUUCUUGAAUCAAAGGCCUCGAAAUCUUUCACUUGCAUAUGUUCUGCCCGCUUUGGAGCAGGACGGUAGGAAACAUUAGAGAAGUUACAUUUUCCCAUGAGACUAGCAGCAGCUUCUGCGGCCUUUGCUGCUUGUCUACUGAGCUUGUAACGAGAAAUCAAGUUUGGGCACAAUCCUUUGAAACAGAACUUCUUAGCUCUAUCUUCAUCAUCAGUGAUGGAUUUCGCAGCUCCCUGACUGAAUUCCUUGACGCUAUUAAGCCAGUCUGCAACAUCCUUAUAAAUCUCAUCUCCUUGUUGAGUAGCCUGAUGAACGGGUAUUUCCACCCUUUCUCUUUUAUAUCCCAACUGUUUCACUUGAUCUUUUAGGCCAUCUAUGUAGCUCUGGUACUUGAACACAUAAGAGAUCUGCCGUAUAAUCGGUUUGAACAGUGACUUUGCAUCUUCUGAUACGAUGCUGGAAAAAGCAGCCAGACCCACUUCUGCAACCAUUGCCUGUUGCUUAACAAUAUAUGUAUAUAUAUGAAUAAAAUGAAUAAAAAUGUCAAAGAAAGGAAUACAAAUAAAUUAAAAUGAACUAGAGGGAAAGACAGAGAAAGAAAAGACCGCAAACAACAUCGCGAUAUUGAUUUUGAACCAACUGAUACAUAAGUAGAGAAUUUCUUUUUCUAUCUUAAGGAUCAGAGGUUUUGCUAUUAACAGAAAGGUAUCCUUUAAGGAAAGUUGAUGGAAAUUAAGAAAGAAUGGCUAUCAAGAUCAAGUAUUCUGCUACUAAAAAUAAAUGAUAUGACUUAAGAAAAGUAAAUGAUAUGAUUAAGAAAAACCAGAGAAUUUUUUCCUAGGAAAGUUGAUGGAAAUUAAGAAAGAACCGCUAUGAAGAUCAAGUAUCAGAGAUUCUGCUACUAAAAGAAUAUUACAGGUUUUAGAACAAGUGCACCUCUUUACCUGUCUGGGAUCAGAGUCGAUGAGCUGCUGUAUUCACCUUGAAUAUAGAAGAAAUAUUACAGGUUUUGACUAAAGAGGAAUGUGAGGAACGAGUUGAUGAGAGUAAUAACAAUGAAUUUCCAAAAGAAGACGACUUGAGCAUUAAGCAUGCACCCCCUUUAUCAAUCAAAUAUUGGUACGUAUGUACGUAGGGACCAUUAUGCGUAUAUGAAGUCCAUUAGUUGCAAUCAGAAACCCUGGCCCAAUUUAAUUGACACUCGAUUUUUGAUAAGAAGAAGGCAAGGAUAAGGACAAAGUCAAUCAAUCACCAACAGUAAUUACUUCAAUCUUUGUCAAUCUACUUAAAUUGUCGAUCAACAUGAAAAUUGUUUAAAUUGAUAUUUGUAAAUCAAUCAAUUUUCUAGUUACUAUGAUUAUAACGUUUCACCUUUCAUAUUGGAUUUUAUCUUUUCGAAAGUUUUCAAAUAUGAGUGUCAAUAAUUAUUGAGACUCCAAGCCGUGCUCUCAAGAUCGUGCUGACAAAUCACUAUUGACUUUGUUUAUGCAAAAUUCAAAGAAAAAAAGUUAUGGUUUUGUAUUGCCAGCCCUGCUACUUUUUGUUUUUUUCAUUUGUAUUAUUUACGAAUUAUUUUUUAACAGAAACAUGAGAACUCAUCAUCGUAUAAAAUUGCAUGAAAAAAUCUUCAAAUUUAUAAAAGUAAAUUUCAUUGACAGAUUGUGGAUAUGUUAGAAAGAAUAAGGAUAAGAAUGAGUUAAGAAAUAAUAUAUAUAUAUAUAUAUAUAUAUAUAGAUAGAUAGAUAGAGAGAGAGAGAGAGAGAGAGAGAGAGAGAGUGAAAGUAAACAAUGUUUUGGUACAUUUGGUAUUGUUUUCAAAAUAUUUUGAAAAGAAAAAUUUUCAAUUAUCCAUCUAAGAAUUAUCUUAUUAUCCAAAAAGUUAUAAAAAUUUAAAAAUAUUUAAUUUUAUACCCAUUAUUACAAUGUGUAUCAACUGUUUACUAAAAAAAUAAAGUUACUCCUAAAACAUAAUCACCACUACAAUUUUGUGUUCGGUUCUAUUUUGUCACUUUGAACGAAUAACUUUAUAUUUUUAACAGAUGUUUCAUACAAAUUGCAUACAUUGGAUGUAAAAUUAAAUAAAUUUAAAUUUUUAUAAUAAUUUUAAUAAUUGAAUAAACUUUGAGUAAAUGACUGAUAAUUUCUCUUUUAUAAGCUACAAGAAGUUAAAAAGAAAAAAGAAAAAAUAGGAUGAUAAUUUCUCUUUUAUAUGCCUCAGAUGAUUUAUUGUUUCGGGUCUAAGAUUUUAAUUAUUCAACUUAAAAGAUUAAUAUAUUAUAAAUUAAUUAAUUAAAUAAUCAUUAAGCAACUAAAUUGGGUCCCCUGGAUGUCAAUUCCUUUAAUAUUGACGCAACUAUUUUUUUCUGGCAAAUAAUUAUUAAUGCACUGACGGAACUUUUGCAUAUCUACACAGCGAUUUUAAAUAUUACUGGUAACUGCUGAGAAAUGUGCGAGAAAGAAGUUGAUGAGAGUAAUAACAGCGACUUGCAAAAGGAAAAGACAGAAUCAUUCACCCCUUUUUGUAUCACCUAUUUGGUUACUGUUUCCCUGUUGACGCAUGUAUAAAUUUGACUGGUUUUUCUGCACUUUUUUGGCUGUUGCUUAACAAUGUGUGUGUGUAUUUGCUGUUGAAAAAAUUGGAUUCAAAUAAAUUAACUGAAAGAUUAGAGUUUUGACUAUUAACUGAAAGGUUUCAAGGGUAUGAAUGAAAAGCAACAUUCUUUUUUAGAAACUAUUUUAGAGGAGAGAUGCAAAUUAACAAAUGCUAAUAACAAGAACACAGAAGUUAACAAUGAACAGUAACUUAAAUCAAGAAAAUUAAAUGACAAAAUUAAGACAAACAAGAGAUAUUUUUUUCUUGGACAUUAAGAAAUAACUGCGGUCAAGAUCAAGGAGAUUAUGCUAUUAAUAGAAAUUAUCAAAGGAUUUAGAACAAGUUCACCUCUUUAAUUAUCCGGGAUCAGAUAGUUGAUGAGCUUCUCUAUUUAGCCUUGAAUAUUUAAGAAUAAUUUUAAAGAGCAAAAAGAUCACUGGUAACUGCUGAAAAAUAAGUGAGAAAAGAGUUGAUGAGAAUAAUAACAAUGAAUUGAAUAAAAAAAGGACUUAAUCAUGCACCCCCUUUGCAUAUCAUGUAUUUGGUUACUGUUGCCUUGUUGACGCAUGUAUAGAAUAAUUACAUGUAUUAUUAUAAUUUUGGAUUCGAUAUCCUUGUAUUAGUGUCUAAGAUUUUCAUGAAGAAUUAAACUUGGAAUGACCAAAAGAGGAAGCUGCAGUGUAUUGUUGGACCCAAUUAAGUUGAAGAAAGCACUAGUUCACAACCUUACGUUUGGAUAUAUUCUAAAGAAAUAAUUAAACAGCAAAUCAUCACAUGCACUUUAAUGAUUUGAUCUAUUGUUUUCAAAAGAAAUUGCAAUUAACAGUUUUUGUCAAAAGUUCGCACAGCGUGAAACUAGUGUUAGUAUAAUUUAAAAAAUUAAUUUCAGUAUUAUUUUUUAAAAUGUUAAUUAUUAGAUUUAUUUUAAUAAUAUAUUUAUAUUUAUUAUAAAAAAUUUAGUUAAAUAUUUGUGUUAAAUAGAAUUUAUAAUUAAUUUAAUAUAUCUUAGGUAUUAAUAAUAUUAUAAUUAUUCUAUAUGCUAUUGAAAAUAAUUUAAAUUUUUAGACAUUUAUUUUAUAUUAAGUUUCUAUUUAUUACAAAAUUUAGUUUAAUAUAGUAUAAGCUUGUAAAGUAUUAAAAUAUUUUUUUCAUUUUUUUUAAAAUAUUAAAAUUAUUUUAAAAUAUAUAUAUUAACAUUGAAGCUAAUUUUUUGAGUUAAUAGAGCUAGUAGGUGUUAUAGUAAAAAAGAGUAUCUUAGUAUCUCUUAUUGAAAAUAUAUAGAUCUAUAUAAUCAUUUUUUCAAAUAUUGAGAUGUAGAAAAAUAAAUUAAAAAAUUUUAAAUUUUAAUAUGGCCAUCGUAGGGUUAGAAUCCCCGCUCCAACCCGAUUUGGAGAUUUAUGUUUUUAAAAAAAAAAAGAACAAAGAAAAAAUACACACCCGACCAAAUCAAGCACCUCAUCAAAUCAAAAAUAAAAAAGGAAAGAAAUUAAUGGCUUGCAUGCAAUUUUGGAUCUGAAAUUAAAAUUACAUAAAAAUUAAGGCUUACGUACCUUAAUAUUUACAGCUUGUUUGAUGGCCCCAACAAGUUUAAGCAGCAUCAAAAUGUUGUGGCUCCUUAAAUGACAACAUCGACUUGUUUGACAGCUCCAACAAGGCUACGAUGAUCAGAAGAUGAGCCCUCAAUCAACAAGGCUAAGAUUGGCUUCUCUAUCCUCUGCCGACAUGUCCUCUUCUCCCAACAACCAGCGCCUUGCUCUUUGUCAUUUUUCCUCUUGUUAGUUUUCUUCUACAUAUAAUUAUUACACUGGGAAGUAUACACACACUUCUUUUCUUUUUAUAGUACCUUACUAUUAUAUCUUUACAAAACAAUAUCACCCUAAGACAUAUAUGUAUGAAAUAAAUAUAUAAGGAACGGACGAAAUAAAAUUAGAUCUAACACUAGUUUCAUGUGGUGUGUGAACUUUUGACAAUCCUCUCAUACCCCAACAAAAACUUUGUCAUAUUACAAAAGUUAUCACGACCAUAGACUUUUCAAUUGCAUAUUGGAAUUGCAAUGUCAUUUUAUUAUAGUAAUGUCAUUUCCAUUAUUCAUAGUGGCAGACAAUGGACAUCACGGGACACGGCUAGAAGUUAUCACGACCAUAGACUUUUCUAAUUUAUGAAAUAAAUGAAAUUAGAUCUAAUUCUAGUUUCAAGUGGUGUGAACUUUUGACAAUCCUCCCAUAUCCUAACAAAAGCUUUGUCAUAUUGCGAAAAUACCUUUUCAAUGUUUCAAUUGCAAUGUCAUUGCCAUUAUUCAUAGUGGCAGACAAUGGACAUCACGGGACAUGGCUAGAAGUCUAUGUUACGGCUUCUGUAAGUAACAGCAGCCAAUGGGGAACUUCCAUGGGGGCUAUAGGAGAGAGAAAGAGGUCCCAAUACAAGUGUUAGAGUACAAUUUAUACACUAGUUUUGCAUUGUUUACUUCCCUUAAUAUCGAUGUUUUGCAUUUAAUAAUAAUGAUUUACUUGUGUUUUACUUUUGUAAGUGCAAUUCUAUUGAUUUGUGAUAGAAUUGAGGUAUAAGAUGAUGUUUAAAGAUGAUUGUUCUCUUGGAGAAAUUUAGAGCGUCAGAAGAACUUUAUAGAUAAGGCGUGGGCGCGUGCUGUCAACUGCGGACCUGCAGUUUUUAGUUUAAUGUGUUUUGUAUUUUUGGCUAUUUUUGUAAUUACGAAUUUAAUAUUUCAAAUAUUAUUAUUUUAUUUUAAAUAGAACUUUAAAAGAGAAGAGAGAGAGAGUAUUUAAGGGAGGAAUCUAUUGUGAAAAAGGGGGGAUUUUAAUUGGAGAAAAAGAAAGAAACCCUAGAUCUAAUUUUUCUCUUCUCUCUAUGAAAAACUAAACUUAUUUUUUCUAGUUGAAGGUUAAUGAAUUUUUGAUUCAUCACUACUGUGAGAUCUUUCUUAUGCUUUAAUUGUUUUAUUACUUUUUGGGUAUUUGUUUAUUCUCUGAAUUAGUUUCAUGAUUAUGUUUGUUAAUUAGGUAAUUGGCCACUAUUUAAUUAUCAACUUAAUCUAUUGUCAAUUAAAGAAUUCAUCGUAUGACGAGUUUAAUGUUUGUGACAAAUAACAUAGCAGUGAGUUGUGUUAUGGGAAUAAACAAUCUAAUUUAAAUGAAUCAUCAUAUGUGUUGAUUAGGAUUUGGGUCGCUCUGGUUUUUCAGGCUGUCAAUUGAUUAAAUCCUAUGAUCGUAUCUAGGGUUGUCUAUUAAUUAGGGAAAUAUCCAAUGGUCGUACCUUGGUUAUCGACUAGUUAAGGAGAGAUUGGCUAUUAGAGGGUCUCAAUAGCUAUAACCAGUUUAUUCAUAAGUAAUAAUAAUCUAUUUUUGAAUCAAUGAUCAGUAGUCGAAUCAAACUGAGUUAAUUCCUUCAACCAAAGCUUUCUCCAAUUUGAAUUACAACUUUAAUUUGCAUUUUUGUUAUUUUAAUUUGAUUUUUUAUUAUUGUCAACAAUUCUCCCAUUUUACGUUUUACGUUUCAAAAGAAUUUAAAUAAUUACCGAUCUCUGUGGACACAACCCUGCUCAAUCACUAUACACAAUUUAUUUAGAGUAGGAAUUUAUUUUUAUUGGCUUCAACAACCAUCAACAAGGUGAUGGAAAUGGGAAAGUUCGAAGCUGUUACUUUCAGCUUCUGCACCGUAGCCAUGUCCCACGGGACAAGGCUAGAAGUUAUCAUGACCAUAGACUUUUCUAAUUUAUUUUUUCCUUUCAAAAAGGGACAAGGAUAAGUUUGGGAGAAUGAUUAUAUUUUUAAUAAAAGAAUUCUUUUUUAUUAUAAUACUUUUUGUCUUUAUUAAUUUAAAAAUAUUAACUCUUAUAUUUUAAUAAAUAUAAAUAUAAUAUUAUAAUAACAUAUAACAAUAUAUACAAAUAUUUAAAAAAAUUUAAGAUUUUAUUAAAAUAAAUUUUAUAAUAAAUAAAAAUACAUUAUUAAUAUAAUUUUAAUAAUUUGCAUUUUAAAAAGUAAUACUGAUAUUAUUUUUUAAAUAUUAAUUUUUUAAAUUAUAUUACUCUACCAAAAAAAAUUAAACUAUUAAAUUAUAUUGAUAUUUAUUACAAAAUUUGCAAUUAAUUCUUAUUAUAUUUUUAAUUGGAAUUUGUUCCUGUGAUAUAACAACAAUUGCUACAGUUUUUUCCCUAAAUAAAGAUGGAGUUAUAAAUUAUUUGUGUAAGUGUCAUGAAAGUAAUAGUUGAAUAACAAUAAUGGGGCUUUAGGCAAUUUUUUUUAUGAGGUCUUCUUGCAAUUUCAACACUUAAACAGACUUGUCCUUGAUCCCAAUUUAUUUACCCCAUUUGGGCCCACGAUGAGAUAAAUAUAUUCCUGUGAGAUGAAAAACAUCAGGAGAAGAAAAUGUUUUAUUAUAAUAAAAAAACAAGUGGUCCAUAAGUCUAUUUAUUACUUUUUUUAUUCAAUACAAAUGGCCAACUUAAAAAAUGAUAAAAAUCACAUAACGCACAAGCAAAAAUUUAGAUUUACAUUUUUUAGUUCUCUCCGUGUCUCUCUUUCUCUUUUUUAAAAAAAAUAAAUAAAUGUCAGUGUAAAAUUAGAAAAAUUUUAGAUAUAAACUUUGGCGAUGACCAAACAAAAAUUGCAAGGGAAAGAAAAUAGAGGACCCUUGAUAUCAUUAAAAUACUGAUCAUAGACACUACAAUAUAAAUAACUUGUUGUGAUCCACUCAACUUGUAACACUUUAAUCCAUAUUCUAAAAUUUGUAUGUUUGUUAGGAAUUUUAUUAUUGACAUUACUGUACCAAUAAAAUUCUAAUUUAUUCAUAUGGAAAGAAAACAUCAAGAAAGGACCUCUGAUUUUUAUUAUAACAGAAAAAAGUGGUCCAUAAGUCUAUUUAUUAUUUUAUUUAUUCAAUACAAAUUGCCAACUUAAAAAAUGGUAAAAAUCACAAAAUGCACAAGUAAAAUUUUAGAAUUACAUUUUUUUUAAUUCUCUUUGAGUCUCUCUCUCUCUCUCUUUAAAAAAUAAACCUCACUGUAAAAUUAGAAAAAAUUUAGACAUAAAAUUUGACAAUCACCAAACAGAAAAUGUAGGGAAAUGAAAAUGGAGGAGCCCUAUUAUCAUUAGAAUAUUGAUCAUAGAUACUAUAAUGUAAAUGAUUUGUUGUGGUUCAUUCAACCUGUCACACUCUAAGCCAUUUUCUAAAAUUUGUAAGGUUUAUAGGAUUUUUAUUAUUGGCAUCAUUGUAUCAAUAAUAUUAUAAAUUAUAUAUUCUAUUGUAAUGAAAAUUUGUGUAAUCUUAGGUAUUUAUUGUAUUAAAUUGUGUGGAUUAAUUAAGAAUAUUUUUGGAGACAAAAGAGGUGUGUGUACGUAGGAUUAAUAAUAAAAAAUUUCUAAAUAAAGGUGAUUGCUUCAUUGACAAGUACAUAUUUAUAUUCUCUAUUAGUAUUUGGGUUGUAAACUUUGUUUAUAAAGUGAAUAUAUUGUGGUAAGCGAUGUGGGCAAUAUCGGAUGCAAAAUAUUGAGAGAUCAUUAACGCAUAUAUUUAUUGCAUAUAGAGGAAAGAGUGUAGAUCCGGCCGUAACAAUUAUGAAGCUUUCCCCAAGUAUUCUCACGCUUCCUUAACUGUUCCAAAGUAUUUUUCAUAGUGUGCAGAUUUACUUUAUGGUGUCUUAAUUCGUCUAAAAUGAUUACUUUAGUUCUUUUGGGAUGAAAGGUCAUUUAUUGUGUUAGGAUUAAACAAUAGAAAAAAUAAGUAAUGGUAACGAAAGACUAAUUUGUGAUAUUGAAGCAUACAUGCUUAACUCAAUCCAAAACUUAGUAAGUUAGCUCAAGAGUUAAGAGUUGUCCAAAUCUUAUAUGCUGAACCCAAGUUCAAUACUCAAUUGAUGCAGGAUGUUAUUCCUAACACCGCCCGUCAUGCGUAGGAUUGGCAAAAAAACUCGAGUCAAUCCCGCCUAGACCUGCAAGCUUUAUUUAUGGCCAGCAUGAUGAAGUUACAGAUAUUAACCUAAAAAUUUGAAACUUACUAUGAAUGGCCUUGGUUAAAGACUUUUGUAACUUUAAUUUAUAACAAAUAUGUAUACACACACACACAUGUUUAGAUUGCAUUUGGGUGACUUUUUUUAUCAAUGCAAACAAUAUCAAAUUUAUCGGAUUAAUUUGAAUCUGAUCUAUAUCCGAUUUUGCCCGCCAUAAGCCCAAGUGACUCUCUUUUACUAAUUAAUAAGGGAAUUUUUUGACCUCAUGUCCUUGCUGUGGCAUUAGACUGUUGGUCAUUUUGAUUGUUUCCUACCUUCCAUUUACGCCAGCUGUAACAUUGUAUUAUUCACCAUUUUAGCCAUUUAAAUGAAAUUUUAUUUUUGUCAAAAAUAAAAUGACACCCUUAAAAUAAAAAAAAAUAGUUAUGUAGACCUCAAAUUUUUAAUAAAGAAUGUCAAUACCUCUUUUAACUACAAGAUUCGUAGUAGAUGAUAAAAAGAAAAUUAACUUCAAAUUUUUUCAUUAAAUGUAAAUCUGAUUGAAGUAGUUUAAAUUUUUCUAGUAGACUAAUAUAUAUAACUUAAAUAAUUAAUUUCAUUAUUAAUUGUUAAAAUGUUAACCAAUAUAUUUUUAAUUUAUUAUAAAAAUUUUAAAUAAAUCCUUGGAUUAAAUAGAUUUUACAAUUAAUGUAAUACUUCUGAUUUAUUAAUAAUAUUAAAAUUAUUUUAUAUGAUAUUCAAAAUAAUUUAAACUUAUAUAUAUAUUAAUAUUAUGUCUAUUUAUUAUAAUAUGGUUUAAUAUUAUACGGGAUUGUAAAAUAUUAAAAUAUUUUUCAAUAUCCAAUUAUUUUAAUAUGUAUAUAUCAUUACAUUUAUUUUAGUAUCAUAUUUAUAUUUAUUAUAAAAUAUAAAAUUAAUAAAAUUAAAGAGUAUUGCAGUAAAGUAAAAAAGAAAAGUCUUAUUAUCUCUUAUUCACGAUAUGAGAUUCUACAAAAUUAUUUCCCGAAACGGGUGUCCUUUUCUCAUUUUCAAAAGAAAAAAUAAAGUAAGAAUAAGUCCAUGGGUUUCAAAAACUUCUAGUCUUAUCCCGGGACUACAUUGUCUGCCACUAUAACUAAUGGAAAUGACAAUACAAUUGACAUUGCCUUUCGCAACAUGACAAAUUUUUGGUGGGAUAUGGAAGAAUUGUCAAAAGUUCACGCCAUGUGAGAGUUUUUGGUGGGAUGUGGGAGGAUUGUCAAAAGAUCACACCACAUGAUAUAACCACAAUUGCUAUGGUUUUUAUUUUUUAAAUAAUGAUGGGAGUUAUAAAUUAUUUAUAUAAAUUUGCGUAGAAACUAAUGUAACAUAAAAGAAGUAGCUGAAUAACAAUAUUUGGUGCUUUAGGUAAUUUUUAUAUGAGCCUUUCUUUUAUUUAGCGGCUCUAGUGCUUAAACAAACUUGUUCUCGAUCUUAUAACAGAAAAGGCAUCCCAUUUAAGCCUAUGAUGACAUAAUUAAACAUAUUCUUUUGUGACGAAAACAUCAAGAGAAGACAUCUCAUGUUUUAUUAUAACAGAAAAGAAGUGGUCCAAACGUCUAUUCGUUAUUUUAUUUAUUCAAUAUAAAUGGCCAACUUUAAAAAAAUGAUCAAAAUCACACAACACUCAAGUAAAAAUUUAGAAUUACAUUUUUUAAUACUCUCUAAGUCUCUCUCUCCUGCCCCCCCCCCCCCCACCCCGUCCCCUUUUUUGAAAAAAUAAACCUUAGUGUAAAAUUAGAAGAAUUUUAGAUAUAAAAUUAGAAGAAUUUUAGAUAUAAAAUUUGGCAAUCGCUAAACAGAAAAGCAGCGGAUUGAAAAUAAAAAAACUCUAUUACCAUUGGAAUAUUGAUUAUAGACAAUAUAAUAACUUGUUGUGGUUCAUUGUAGCACUCUGAGCCAUAUUCUAAAAUUUAUAGGUUUGUUAAGGCAUUUAUUAUUGACAUUAUUGUGUCAAUACUAUUAUAAUGAUAAUUUGUCUAGUCUUAGGUACUUAUUAUAUUAAAUUAUGUAAAUUAAUUGAGGAUACUUUUAGAGACAAAAGAAACACGUGUAUGUAGGAUUAAUAAUCGAAGAAUUGUAAAUGAAGGUGAUUGCUUCAUUGAGAGGCAUAUUAAAUAAUUAUGGAGAGUUGCACUAUUUCGGAAGCACAUAAUUAUACUUCCCUAUCAGGAUUUGGGGUAAACGAAGUGCUUUAUCUAUUGCAGUAAGCAAUGUGGACAAUAUCAGAGGCGAAAUAUUAAAAGAUCAUAACGCAUAUAUUGGAGCCAUUUAUCUUCCGCAACUGUUCUGAACUAUUCUUCAUUGUGGGCAGAUUUACUUAAAUACCUGCACAAUGAUUCAAUACUUCAAAGGUCAAGGAAAUGUCAAAAUAUGAAAUGAAAAUACUUAAAUACCCUUCUACCUAACAAAACUCGCAGAGAAUCUAUAAAAUUAAAAAAAAAAUAUUCAUCCAUGAAAAGCUUCGUAACAGAAAAACCGUCUUUCAAAAAAUAAAAACAGAAAAACUGACUCAUUUAUCUGCAAAUGAACCAAUCGGGACUCAUUUAAAAAAGAAUACAAAGCAAAAGUAAAUGACACAAAUUGCAUAGAUAUCUAGGAGCCGCAUCAAAAGACAAAGGUGUUAAUUUGUCCAAGAAUAAAUUCUCCUAGGUCAAAAGCAAUUAACGAUGAAAACUUUCUUCAUUAAGGUUCUGGCCUACGUAAAAAAACAGAAAAAAACCACCCCAAGGUCAAAGCACAACGAUAAAUUUAGAAAUGAAGUUUUUAAUUUUUUUUUAAUAAAUCAACGUGUAUCAAAAAUAGAUAAUAAUUUUGGAUAACUUUUUUUGAUAAAUAUAGACAUAAAAUUUUAAAAUCACCAAACAGAAAAACAGGAGAAUUAAAACAAAGUCCCUGUUUAUCCUCUAUUUUGCUUGUUAUUAAAAAGGGAAAUGAAAAGAUUGCAAGCGGAAAUUUUGUUUCUGCGUUGUCUCUUCUCAAUGCUGCAUGCAUUCAAAUUAAACCUUACAUAUGCUAGCAAACUAGCUACGCUGCAUGUAAGUUCUCGAUAAGUCCAAAUAAUAGAAUAAUUGUAAAAUGUUCAAAUUCAGUAAUUAAUUUUAUUUAUUUAUUUAUUCAAAAAUUAUUAUUAUUAUUAAUUAUUGUCAAUAAUAUAUUAAUAUACUAAUUAAUUGUAAAAAAAUUUAUCAUUCAUAACAAUAAUAAUGAUGAUGAUGACGAUAAUAAUAAAAAUUCAAAAUAUAUUAAUUAAUUAUAAUAAUAUAUUAAUUAUUUAAUAAUAAUAUAUUUAAAAUAUAUAUAAAUUGAUUAGAAUAGUUAUAUUAAUAAAUUAUAAACAUAUAUUAAUUAAUCAUAAUAAUUUUUUAAUUGAGGACAAAAUAGAUAUUUUAUAGUUUGUGAGAGGGGGCAAAAUGAUCAAUCUUGGGAAUGGGGGAUUGAUUCCCACCACCUUCCUUAGGAAUCAAUCUUCCAUUCCUCACUCCUAAUUUGGGUGGUCCCCAUAGUUCUGAUUCGGAUCCCAGCCUCCAUUUUAUGAAGUAAACAUCAUUAAUGAUUUCGAUUUCGGAUUUCGAUUCUCCAGUCCAAGAAGUAAAGGCACCAUUAUUGUUAAUUGGUUCAAACACACAAAGAGAAUGUACCAUGUAGCUAGGCGUCAAGGUUGUGUGGCACAAGUAACCUUUUUCUUUUCUUUUUAUUUUUCUUGUUUUCCUUAACGGAUCAGAAGAAAUCGGUGCCUUUGAGAUACUACAAUGUAAAUAAGUAUUUGUGGUUCAUUGAAUCUGUAACACUCGGUACCCUAAGGUUGCUUUUGAAAAAGGGCUUUUCUCACUGAUCACCAAUAUCCAAGUAAGUUUGUUUCAUUUCAGAAGGUGCAAAGUUUCAAACUUUUUGUAUUGGGAUGUAACAAACUUUGGCCUUAUAUGCUUGCUGUGACGUUAGACUGUUCAUUUUGAUUGUUUCCUACCUUCCACUUGCGCCACUGUAGCACUGUAUUAUUCAUCAUUUUAGUUGUUUAAAUGAAAUUUUAUUUUUGUCAAAAAUAAAAUGACACCAUUAAAAUUUAGAAAAAUAAUCAUGUAGAUCCCAAAUUUUUAAUAAAGAAUACCAAUAUUCCCCUUGACUACAAUACCCUUAGCAGGUGGUAAUCAAACAAAUUGACUUAAAAUUUUUUACGAAAUGUAAAUAUGAUUUAAAUAAUUUAAAUUUUCCAGAAGACUAAUAUAUAUAAUUUAAAUAAUUAAUUUCAAUAUUAAUUUUUAAAAUGUAAAUUAAUUUAUUUGUACUUAUAAAAUAUUUGUAAUUAUUUUAAAAUUUUAACUAAAUCCUUAGGUUAAAUAGAUUUUACAAUUAAUAUAAUAUUUCUCAGGUAUUAAUAAUAUUAAAACUAUUUUAUAUGACAUUGAAAAUAACCUAAAUUUUUUAUAUAUUUAUUUGAAUAUUAUGUCUCUAUUUAUUAUAAUUUGGUUUAAUAGAAUACGAGAUUGUAAAAUAUUAAUAUUUUAGAUAUUGAAAUUAUUUUAAUAUCUAUAUAUUAUUAUAUUUAUUUUAAUAUCCUAUUUAUAUUUAUCAUAAAUUAUUAGAGUUAAUUUUUUUAGUUAAUAAAUUUAAAAAUAUUAUAAUUUAAAAAAAGUCUUAUUGGCCGUUAUUCACGAUAUAAGGUUCUAAUAAAUUAUUUCUCUAGACAGGUGCCAUUUUCUUAUUUUCAAAAGGAAAAACAAGUUCAGGGCCUCGGGGGUUUCAAAAAAUUCUGGUCCUAUCUAUCACUAUGACUAAUGGGAAACGGCAUUGCAAUUGACAUUGCUUUUCGCAAUAUGACAUAUUAUGGAGGGAUAUGGGAGAAUUGUCAAACAUUCACACCACGCGAGAGCUUUAGGUGGGAUAGGGGAGGAUUGUCAAGAGUUCACACCACAAGAAACUAAUGAUAGGUCUAAUUUCGUUGUCAGUUCUUUAUUUAUUUAUUUUUUUUAUUUCAUACAUUAUUGUUCUUGUAAAGGUAUAAAAGUAAAGUAAAAUACUAGGGGUGCUGUUAAGUUACAACUGAUGUAACUUGUAAUUUUUUCAAAAAUAAUGUAAAAAAUUUAAUAGGUGGUGGGACUCACAUAUUUUUUAAGAGACUUAAGUUAUAGUAGUUGUAACUUAACAAAAUCUAAAUAUUAUACAAUAAUGCAUAUUAAUAAUGCAUAUAAUUUGGGUUUGAUUUUUAAAAGAUUAUUUGAGUACCACCUAUCCUUAUGAUAUUAAUGUGAUUAUAUCUUAAUAUUAAAUAAUCAAAAUUUGUUUAAUUAUUAUUUGUAUUUCAUACAUUACAUAUUAGAUUUGUUUGAAUUUUAAGUUGUUGCUAAUAAAUAUUUAUGUUGUCAAAGUCAAAUUCAAUAGCUACAAAAGCAGAGAUAAUGGUAUUGUAUAUAGUUUUUAAGAAUGCAAGGAUAAGCUGGAUAAUUGACAUAAAUUCUAAUGAUUAAAAGAGCAACUAUCCCUUAAAUUAUAAUGUUAAUUUCUUUAAUUAGAUUUUUUUUUUCAUGUGAUAUAACCACAAUUGCUACAAUUUUUUUUUAUAAUAAUAAUGGGAGUUAUAAAUUAUUUAUAUAAAAUUUGGGUUGAAACUAAUGUACCAUAAAAGUGGUUGCUGAAUAACAAUAUUUGAAACUUUAGGUAAUUUUCAUGAGUCCUUUUUAUAUUCAGCAACCUGAAUUGGGGAAAAUCCGACUUGAAUUGGCGGUUGAUUUUGGUGAUGUGGCUUUUGGUUUAUGGCGGCUUUACUGUGGCGGAAGACUGGAUUUACGGUUGCCGACUGCUAGGGAUUAUGGUGGUGGUGUAAAUUGACGGAAAAAGAAGGUGUUUUGGUGGCGGCGCGUGUAGGAAGCACUCGUGGGUUGUCGUUUCGUGUGGUGACAGAGGGCGGCGAUCAAGGGCCGAAGUCGGUCAGUUUUUGGUCAACGAAGGCCGGCGAGUUUGUUGGUGGAGGUGGCUGGUGGAGAAAGUGGCUGAAUGGUGGUGGGUUGCUUGGUGGAGCCGCAGGUUUGGGUUGGUGAUUUGCGGCUGUUCAAGCGGCGGUUGAGGCAGCGAUGACUGAGGCUUGGUCGACGGUGGCUAGUGAGGUUUGUGGUGGUGUUGGCUGGCUGAUUGGCGGUGGUGGGCGGCGGUGGGGGUUGGUCUGACGGGUAGGGUUUUCAAAUUUGUAAUUUUUUUUUUUGAUGGAUUUGGUUUGGAUGGGUAUGGUGUAUCUAGGAAAGAUGUGUGAUUCGCACAGAAUUGCUUUGAUACCAAUUGAUGGAGCGAGCGUAGCGGAAGUGGAAUUGAUAAGGUAAGAAAUACUAAAUAUCAUUCUAGUACUGGAUCAAGCCAACACAAUUAACUUACGCUUUAAUCAAAGCGUGAUUAGAUAUUGUUUUAAUCUAAAUGAUUCAAUGAGAUUUUUAAUAACGCGUAAUACGAGAUUAGAUGACACUCUAAUUUAAAUAACUCUAUAAGAGAGAUUUUGAUAAAUAAUACUAGAGGAAAUUAUAAAAAAAAGAGUUUUAUUUAAUAAUUGAAUUUGAAGUCCUGAAAACAAUGACAAGACAUCUUUAUUUUUUUUAUUACAGACAUCUUUAUUUAUAAUAAAAGAAAUCCACUUUCCUAAGUUAACCUAAAAAGAAAAUUUAAAUUAUAAUUAUAAUGGAAAUAAAAGAUUAAGAUACAUACCAUAAUUGACUCAAACAAAAAUAGAAAACCAUAAAAUAAUAAAUAUUUUAGAAUUAUAAAUUAUCUAAAAUAACGUUAAUUAACUUCCUAAAUCACGUCUUUGGUGUAAACCAUUUUGCAUCCAACCUUGCUUUAAAGGUUUGAACCAACGUUACGAACAACAAUGUAUCAAAUUCCAAUCUAACUUAAGAUCCUGAUACAUCUACCGAUGUCCUUGUUUGAUUAGACAAUAAUGAGUCUAUCUCAUCACUUGUUACCUCUUUUUUGAAGCUGCAUCUGUUGAAGUGAUAGCCUCGCUUAGAGUUUAAAGAUCUUCUUCCAUGUUAAAUAAAGUGGGCAUUUGAUUAAAAAACUUUAUCUCUAUCUCCUUCUAUCAAAUAACGAAAACUAUCCAAAGGAAAAAAAAAAAAUUAGAAAAGUCCAUGGGUUGCAAUAAUUUAUGGUCUGUCCUCGGACCCCAUUAUCUGCCAAUAUCAAUGAUGAAAAUGAAAAUAAAUGGCAUCUUCCCAAAAUGGCGAAAGAUUUUUAGGAGAUAUGGGGAAUUGUCAAAAGUUCCCACAACGCGAAAUAAGUGUUACAUCCAAUUUUAUUUCAUCAUAUAAUGAUAAUAUCAAGUAAUGACAGCCAUCUAAAAGUAUAAUGGGUCUUCCAAAAUUUUGAAAAUGUCGUCAACAUUUAAUCUUCAAUGCUAAAGAAGAUGAAAUGCCCAAAAAUGACAUGCAGGACCCACUCACAGACUAAACGGCCCUGACCACAUGCAACAAACUUUGACUUUAUGUCCCUGCUGAGGCGUUAGACUGUUGGUCAUUUUGAUUGCUUUUUACAUUCCAUUUACGCCAUUGUAGCAUUGUACUAUUUACCAUUUUAGCUGUUUAAAUGAAUUUUUUUUUCCAAAAAUAAAAUGACACCCUUAAAAUUUUAGAAAAUAAUCAUGUAGACCCCAAAAUUUUAAUAAAGAACACCAAUACCCUUUUUGACUAUAGUACUCUUAUGGUAGCCACAAAAAAAAAAUGACUUCAAAAUUUUUUACUAAAUGUAUAUAUGAUUUAAAUAGUUUAAAUUUUCUAGUAGACUAGUAUGUAUAAUUUAAAUAAUUAAUUUUUAAAAUGUAAUUUAAUAUAUUUAUUUUAAUAAUAUAUUUAUUAUAAAAAUUUUAAACAAAUCCUUGGGUUAAAUGGAUUUUAUAAUUAAUAUAAUAUUUCUCAUGUUUUAAUAAUAUUAAAAUUAUUUUAUAUGAUAUUGAAAAUAAUUAAAAAUUUUAUAUAUUUAUUUGAAUAUUAUGUCUCUAUUUAUUAUAAUUUGGUUUAAUAGAAUACGAGAUUGUAAAAUAUUAAAAUAUUUUUAGGUAUUGAAAUUAUUUUAAUAUGUACAUAUUAUUAUAUUUAUUUUAAUAUCCUACUUAUAUUUAUUAUAAAAUAUUAAAAUUAAUUUUUUUAGUUAAUAAAUUUAAAAAAUAUUAUAAUUAAAAAAAAGAGUCUUAUUGUCUGUUAUUCACGAUAUAAGGUUCUACAAAAUUAUUUUCAAAAGGAAAAAUAAGUCUAGGGGUUUCAAUAAAUUCUAGUCCUAUUUGCCACUAUGACUAAUGAAAACGACAUUGCAAUUGACAUUACUUUUCGCAAUAUGACAAAUUUUUGGAGGGAUAUGGGAGAAUCGUCAAAUGUUCACACUACGCGGGAGUUUUGGAUGGGAUUGGGGAGGAUUGUCAAGAGUUCACACCACAAGAAACCAAUGAUAGCCAUAAUUUUGCUAUCAGAUCUUUGUUUAUUUAUUUUAUUUAUUUCAUACAUUGUUGUCUUGUUGGCAUUGUUUUGCAAAGAUAUAAAAGUAAAAUAAACUAUUAGGGUGCUGCUAAGUUAAGCUGUUGUAACUUACAAUCCCUUAAAAAAUAAUGUAAAAAAUUUAACACGUGGUGGGAUCGACAUAUGUUUGAAGAGGCUUUAAGUUACAGUAGUUGUGACAUAGCAAAAUCCAAUUAUUAGACAAUAACGCACAUUAACAAUGCAUAUAAUUUGGGUUUGAUUUUUUGAAAAAUUAUUUGAGUAUUAACUAUCCUUAAGAUAUUAAUGUGAAUAUAAUUUAAUAUUAAAUAAUCAAAAUCUGUAUAAUUAUAAUAUAUAGUUCAUACAUUGCAUGUUUAAUCAAAAUCUGAUUGCUUUUUACCUUCCAUUUACGCCCACUGUAGCAUUGUACUAUUCACCAUUUUAGCUGUUUAAAUGAAAUUUUUUUUUUUUCAAAAAUAAAAUGACACCCUUAAAAUUUUAGAAAAUAGUCAUGUAGACCCCAAAAUUUUAAUAAAGAACACCAAUACCCUUUUUGACUAUAGUACUCUUAUGGUAUUCACAAAAAAAAAAAAUGACUUCAAAAUUUUUUACUAAAUGUAAAUAUGAUUUAAAUAGUUUAAAUUUUCUAGUAGACUAGUAUGUAUAAUUUAAAUACUUAAUUUUUAAAAUGUAAUUUAAUAUAUUUAUUUUAAUAAUAUAUUUAUUAUAAAAAUUUUAAACAAAUCCUUGGGUUAAAUAGUUUUUAUAAUUAAUAUAAUAUUUCUCAUGUUUUAAUAAUAUUAAAGUUAUUUUAUAUGAUAUUGAAAAUAAUUUAAAAUUUUAUAUAUUUAUUUUAAUAUUAUGUCUCUAUUUAUUAUAAUUUGGUUUAAUAGAAUACGAGAUUGUAAACUAUUAAAUAUUUUUUGGUAUUGAAAUUAUUUUAAUAUGUAUAUAUUAUUAUAUUUAUUUUAAUAUCCUACUUAUAUUUAUUAUAAAAUAUUAAAAUUAAUUUUUUUAGUUAAUAAUUUUAAAAAAAUAUUAUAGUUAAAAAAAAGAGUCUCAUUGUCCGUUAUUCACGAUAUGAGAUUCUACAAAAUUAUUUUCAAAAGGAAAAAUAAGUCCAAGGGUUUCAACAAAUUCUAGUCCUAUCUGCCACUAUGACUAAUGGAGACGAUAUUGAAUUGACAUUGUUUUUCGCAAUAUGACAAAUUUUUGGAGGGAUAUGGGAGAAUCGUCAAGCGUUCACACCAUGCGAGAGCUUUAGGUGGGAUAUGGGAGAAUUGUCAAGAGUUCACACCAAGAGAAAUUAAUGAUAGGCCUAAUUUCGUUGUCAGUUCUUUAUUUAUUUAUUUUAUUUAUUUCAUACAUUAUUGUCUUGUUGGUAUUGUUUUGUAAAGAUAUAAAAGUACAAGUAAAAUAUUAGGGGAAGUAAAGUAAAAUAUUGGAGGUGCUGCUAAUUUACAGCUGCUGUAACUUACAGUUCCUUCAAAAAUAAUGUAAAAAAUUUAACACGUGGUGGGACCCACAUUAUGUUUGAAGAGGCCGUACAUUAUAGCAGUUGUAAAUUAGUAAAAUCCAAAUAUUAGACAAUAAUACACAUUAACAAUGCAUAUAAUUUGGGUUUGAUUUUUUAAAAAAUUAUGUGAGUAUUACCUAUCCUUAAGAUAUUAAUGAGAAUAUAUUUUAAUAAUAAAUAAUCAAAAUCUGUUUAAUCAUAAUAUGUAAUUGAUACAUUGCAUGUUAGAUUUGUUUGGAUUUUAAGUUGUUGCUAAUAAAUAUUUAUGUUGUGAAAGUCGAAUUCAAUAGCUACAAAAGCAGAGAUAACGGUAUUUUAUGUAGUUUUUAAGAAUACAAGGAUAAGACCAUAACGCAUGAGAUAAUGGUAUUUUAUAUAUAUUAAAAGACCAUAACACAUGUAUUUGAGCCAUUGAUAUUGAAGACACAUAUAGAGGAAAGAGUGCAGAUCCGGCCCUCAGUAUUGUGAAGCUUUCCUCAAGUAUUCUCAUGCACACAGACCUUAUCUGGUCAAGUUUUCUGAUUCAAUAUAAUCAAUUUCCGCGCAGUACUGACGACAGCUUCUCUGUAAAGCUCUUCAACCACAAGCAUUUCUACAAGGCAAAAGACUAGGACGUGUCAGAAUGAAUAUCAAUAAGGGAAUGUCUUAUGAAUUUAGUUUAUAUCCUAAUAUAAGACAAUCAGUAAAUAUUGGACUCAUUAGUUGCCCUUGCCUCAGACGUUUGGAUGCUAAGGGGAAAAAGGAAGUUUGAAUUAGUCAAUCUCAUUUCUAAUGGCAUUCACAGAGAACUUAUAAAACAAAAAAAUUAUAAAAAAAAAUUCAUCCAUAAAAAGCUUAGUAACGGAAAAACCGACUCUUUUAUCUGCCACUGACGAAAAAAAAACUGAAGUAUCAAAUAGAUAAAGAUUUUAAUUUUUUUCUUGGAAAAACUAAUAAUAAAUUAACAAUUGGAUAAUACUAUUAAUUAGAGAUCUUUAAUAUUAAGGUUAUCAAAGAUAGAAUGUGUAUAAAAAUUCUUAAUUAUAAGAUAAUUACUAACUAAAAAGAGGCCUAAAAAAGAAGAUUUGCUAUUAUAAGUAAUACCAAAAAUAAAAAAGGGAGACUUCCUAAUUGUUUAAUUGUUAAAAAAGAGGAUUUGCUAUUAUAGGCCUAAUUUGCCUAUAAGUAAUACCAAAAAUAAAACCGUUCCUGGAUGUAAAAAAUAAAAAUUAUUGUUAAAUUCCUGACUAAUAAGGUCAUUGAAAGUAUUCAAAGGACCUGAACUUAUAGGAAAGCCAGCCAUGAUGAACUAUACCACGUUGCAAGUGAGCUCGUAUCUUCAUCCCUUGAUCUGCCAUCGGCAUUUCUGUUCCACUCACUAUACCAUCCUUUUCAAUCGAUUUUUAUUGAUCAUAAGAGGCCAUGUGGCCCACCUUAUUUUUAUUUUGGAUCCAUAACCCAAAGCUGGCCCAAGUUCUGAUUCCAGAAUCAUUUGUCUACAAAGUGACCUCAUUCCGGCAAUUGGUUUAUGCUAAUAGCACGUGCAAUUUUCAUUUUCUUCUUUUUAUUAAUUAAUUUCAUCAUUAUUAUUUGCUUAUUAUUUUAAAUUAAUUAAUUAAAUUGUAUUAUUGAAAUUAGUCUUUCUUUUUUCUUUUCUCUUUCAAUGCACAAAGCCAAACAACCAUUCUUGCUUCAAAUACCGAAGAGCUCCUGACUACGGCUGUCAAUGCUUCUAUAUUUACGUGCUGUGCUGCAUCACUCUUAGCGAAAGCUUGAAUGAAUGAUUAAAGACAAAAGCUUAUAUAAAAGCAGAUGCCGGAGGCACUCAAAAAGCAUUUGAGAGAGAAGCUACACAGCAAAUCAUCAAACGUACUUCAAUGACUUUGAUUUUGAUUCUUUUUUUUUUCAAAAGAAGUAGAAAAGUCCAUGGAUCACGAUAACUGCUUGUCCUAUGCCGUGACCUCAUUGUCCGCUGCUAGUGUCAAAUAGAUUAAUCUUUCUAGUAGAUUAAUAUAAUUUAUAAUUUUAAUUUCAGUAUUAAUUUUUAAAAUGUUAGUUGUUAUAUUUAUUUUAAUAAUAUAUCUAUUUUUAGUAUAAAACUUUAAAUAUAUAUUUAGAUUAAAUAGAUUUAUAAUUAAUAUAAUAUAUCUCAUGUAUUAAUGAUAUUUAAAUUAUUUUAAAUAAUAUUAAGCCUAACUUAAAAUUUUAUAUAUUUAUUUUAAUAUUAUGUUUCUAUUUAUUAUAAAAUUUAGUUUAAUAUAAUAUAAGAUUGUAAAGUAUUCAAAUAUUUUUUAAAUAUUGAAAUUAUUAUAAAAUGUAUAUAUUGUUACAUUUUUAAUAUUGAAGUCAAUCUUUUUUAAGUUAAUAGAGUGAAAAGAUAUUAUAAUAAAAGGCUACGUAAUCUUUCACUUGCACAUAUUCUGUACUCUCUGGAGCAGGACGGUAGGAAAUAUGAUUACAAAUGUUAAAUUCGCCUUUCUUCACAAGUUUAUCAGCUUCGUUUGCGGCCUCUGCUGCUUGUUUACCAAGCUUGUAACAAGAAAUCAAAUUUGGGCACAACCUUUUGAAGCAGAACAUCUUAGCUCUAUCUUUAUCAUCAAUGAUUGAUUUUGCAACCCCUUCACUGAAUUCAGCAACUCUAUUUAGCCAGUCUCUGACACCCUUAUAAAUCUCAUCUCCUUGUAGAGUAGCCUCUCUAACCAGCAUUUGCACCCUUUCUCUUAUAUAUUCCAGCUCCUUCACUCAAUCUUUUAGCCCAUCUAUGUAGCUCUGGUACUCGGAACACAUAAGAUAUGUGCCACAUAAUCGGUUUGAAUAAUGCUUUUGAACCUUGUGAUACAAUGCUAGAAAAAGUAGGGAGACACCCUUCUGCAGCCAUUGCCUGUUGCUUAACAAUCUAUAUAAAUAAAUACAAGUGUCAAAGAAAGGAAUACAGAUAAAUUAAAAUGAACUAGUGGGAAAGACAGAGAAUGAAAAGACUGCAAACAAUAUUGCGAUAUUGAUCUUGAACUAACUAAUAAUUAAAUAGAGAAUUUCUUUUUCUUUCUUGAGGAUCAGAGAUUUUGCUAUUAACAAAAAGGUACUUCGAGGGUCUGAAUAAAAAACCAACCAUAAAUUAUCAAAAGCUAGUAAAAACACAGACGUAAAUAAUGAACAAUUACUUAAGCAAAACAGACCAUGAUACAAAGCAAAUCUAAUAAAAUGACAAAAAAAGAAAGAAAGAAAGAAAGAAAGAAAAUACAACAAAUAAUAUUGAAGUGUUGAUUAUGAGCCAACUGAUAUUUAAACAGAUUUUUUUAAAAUUUUUAGUCUUUUGCUAAAGGAUUAGAGUUUUUGUUAUUAAUAGAAAGGUUUUAAAGACCUGACAUUACUAGAAAAAUACUAAAUAAUGACAGAAAUUUUAUAACAUAUAUCGUUAUGUCACGAAUGUGUCAUGAAAAUAUGAUAGAUUCGUGAUAUAUAUUCAUGUCCAGAGUAUAUGACAUAUUCAUGACUUAUAACUUAACCAUCGUAAAUAAAUGAUACAUAUAAGUCAUGCUUAAGUUUUGUGAACUUAUAAGAUUGUAAAACAAUGCCGUUUAAAUUAACGACACCGUUUUGUAUAACUUAAAACCCAUUAACACUCGCAGCCAAAUUUUGGCUAAGCGUUGAAUUAAUCCCUCUCUCCACUGUAGAGAUGGCAGAAAAGCCCGCUCAGACCGGAUCCGGACUGGACCCGGUGCAUACGGUCCGGGUAAAACCCGGAUCGGAUGCAUGGAAAAAGCGGAUCCGGGCACGGGUCCGGUCACAGCACCAAGAAUCUGGAACCCGGACCCGUGCCCACUUUUUUAUUAAGUAAAAAAAAAAUAUAUAUAUAUAUAUAUAUAUAGUAGUUUUCCAAUCAGGGAUUAGUUAAAAGACAAAAUAAACACAUACUCCAAUGCAUUGUAUUUUAUCAUGUAGUGUAGUAAAAUUUAAAUUUUUUUGUCUUUUAGCUAAUCCAACUACUAUAUAUAUAUAUAUAACAACAAAAAUGCAUUUUGCUUUACCCAAUUUCCCCCAAACCCAACCGGCCAACCCUAAAUCGCAACAAGUCUCAGAAUCGCCACCUCCCUCCGUUUCUCCACCAACAACCACCACCCAUCUUCACCGAUGCAGUGUUGACGGCGCGGCCUCUUCCCCACUUACAGAAAAAUGCGCAUGCUUUUACCGAGAAAAGAAAGCUUUUAUUUUUUGUAUGACAUCUGGUCCUCCCAUCAAGCUUACCUGAGGCAGCGAGGCUGAAAGUCUCUGUUAUCAACCAUCAGGACACCAGAAAGAGUAAUUGCUCACAUCGUAAGCGCCAUGAACUAAUUUUUCCGAAAAGGAGGAAAUGAAGGUCACAAUGGAGCUCAUUUCCCGCGAUUCGAGAGCCCUACAGAGAGGUAGGACCCCUAACUCACUCCGUUUUAGUCACCUUUCAAUGGCUCCCUUAAUUUCCUAAAUCAAUAAGUGUUCUAAAAGGGCUUGAAAAAUCAAAAUGAUGCCCAACAUUAGUGCCAGGAUUAAGGAACUUUUCACUGCAAAGAAGUGAAUAGCUACGUGGAUGAAGUUAUGGGCCAUGCAGAAAUUCACACUUCACUCUCUCUUGAUUUGUACUCAAAAGUCGCCACCAACCUUCAAUUAUAUGGACUCAUGGAUUCAAUAUUUAGGCUUACAAUUGGACCUUCACAAAGCAAUUGGAGCACUCCAAGCUGCAAAAAAUGUCUCUUCUCUGUGACAUCUGCAGGUGGGCUAGAAGAAGGUUAUGCAUAGAUGGUCUAUGUGCGUGUGCUUACUAAAUGCAUACAAAAUGUAUAAGAACUGAGAUUCCUAUGUUUUUUCCUUUUUAAUUUUAAUAAUUAUGUUAGAUGUUUGCUUGGUAGUUAAGAUGUUUUGGUUUUGGACUGUUACGCUUUGUUAGAACUUAAAAGUAAACAAUUGUUUAGGCUGUAUUUUUUUUUACAGUGUUUUCACCUUUGAAAAUCCGGGUAGAGAAAACCCGGAAAAACCCGUGCCCGGAUAGUGCCGGGCAUGUACCCGGCCUGUAUAAAAAAAAUUCCGGACACGGUGCGGGUUCGGGUAGUUACGUGUGACAUCCGGGUCGGUCCCGGGCAGCCUCAAACCCAGACCCGACCCGGACUUUUGCCAUCUCUACUCCACUGGCCACUGCAACCUAAAAUAGUUUUUCACUUUAAUAACCCAAAAGCUUUCCUCUGUUUCAACUAAGCGAAAAUUUACAUAUUAAAGCCUGGCUCAAAUUCCUUUUUUCAAUCGAAAUUAAACGUAGCCACAAAACCCUAAUUCACCACACCAAUUUAUCUCUGCCCGGUAUUCAUUUAAACCCUACCUCGCGGUUCAAUGUCAUUCAAUACGAUUGCAGAUGCUGUUUCAACUUGUCAUUUAGUUAGCGCCAUCCAGUUCUCUAUGGUAAGCCUUAACCCUAACAACUAAUCGACUGCGGUAGCACGUUGCUUGUUAGGAGUGGGGAUACAUUAUUUGAAUAUAUGAAUUGGGUGAUGUUAGUGAUUCAUUCCCCUAUUUGUCGUGAAUUGAGAUUUGUGCAUAAUGCUAGUAAGAUUGCUAAAAAUUUCAUAUUUUGUAUUGUUCCAGUUGAAUUUCUUGCUUGUGGAAGAUAAAACAAAAGUUCAAUUUCAUGUUGAUUUAAUUCUUCUUUUCCUUCUUUUUAUUUUUCUUCUUUAUAGUCACGCUCUGGCUUUGGUGCUAUGCUUAGUGCAGUUUAUGGUUUCAAGAUUAAGUCAUGUUUAUUUGAUGGCAUCGAUUCCAUCGUUGAGGAUUGGAUUGUUGAUCAAAUGCACAUAGUAAGCUCUUCUUAUUUUAUCUCAAUUUUAAUUUUCUUUUAUUAUCUGCCUCUACCUGAAAAUGGACGUGUUUUACUAGUAAGCAUAGACCUUGUUUAUUUAAUUGAUAUUUUAAUUUUAUGUAUAAGAAUGGAGGUUUAUUUUGGAAAAAAAAAGAAAUAAAAAAAAUACUCUGUUGAAGCUAAUUAGUACUGAAUUUUUUUUGGUGGUGCGACCAGAGGUGGAAACAGGGUAUGAAAAUGUGUUACUGGUGAGGCUGCUGCUUAAGAUGAGAAUGCAUUCUUUUCAAAAAUCCUUGGAAGGUGUGAUCUAAUUAUAUUUGAUGGAAUAUUAAAUGGCUAAAAAUCUGUCAUACGUUCAAACUUUGUUUGUGUUUAGAAGAAUGGUGUUGACUGUAUAUUCGUUUGGAAGAAUGGUGUUGAUUGUAUAUUCAUUUGCUUAGCCUUUUGACAGAUGGAUUUGGAACUGACGAUAAAUGUGAUUCAAUUUACAAGGUUUUCGAGGGGCUCACAGUGGAAGGGAUAUUGAAGAACUGGUCGAAGUUAAAGCCUAUGAUUGUGAAAGAUUGGAGUGAGAAUAUAGAUGCUCAUUUAAAUCUUUUUGGCAAGGUCAGAGAUGAAUGGAUAGAUAAGGAUUUAUUUGACAACUUGGACUGGUGCUAAUAGGUAUUUUAAGCAAGCUUUUUGAGAUAACACUGAGCAAGUUAUACUACUAUUUUGCACAUGAUGAUCAAAACUCUCGAAAAGUAAAUAAAAUAAAGUAUUAACUUUUACUUUCAUCUUUUGCAUAGCAAUCAAUGUGGUGCUUGUUCUGUGACAACUUUGAUAAUCUACUUAAUUACUGGUUAGCAUUUGGACCAAAAAAGUUCUUAUGAUUUACAUGUUUUGUAGAAAUGCAUGAACCUUAAAUGUGCUGAUCAGGGAGUUUAAUUAUUGCACCUUGAAAUUCAUUUACUGUUAACUAAUUGGCUUUCCUUUGCAUAAAGCCGCUUAUAAGGCUUGAGUGGACGUCUUUAUGGGCAUAUUUUUUGUAUUUCUCGAUGCAUGCCUUUAUCAUUUAAUGUGGUGCUCGUAUUUCUUUAUGCAUGCCUUUAUCAUUUAAUGGCCAGCUCCCUUUCCUCUUUUGUAAUUUGAAUAGUAGUAUGGGCCUCCAUUUUACAAAUCUUUAACAUUUUUUGCUGUAAAUUAAUUUUUCUUUCAAAUAUUUUGGAGGUCAUUGGAAUUCCUGUAGGUCUAUUUACCAGAUUUUAGUAUGUUUAAGGUUAUAAUUUUGCUUAGACUUUAAUUUUUCUGAAAGAUUGUAGUAUUGAUCCUUAAAGUAAGAUCAUGCUACUUCAAAUUAUUUUGAAGUGUUGCUAGUUAUAGCCUUACAUAUCAAAUUCCAGUUGUCUGGAAAUUUAUUGAUAGCUGUUACAGCAGCAUAUUUUAUGACUCUACUUCUUAGUUAUGUAAGUUCAUUAUGUUUAGGUCAGAGGCAGUCAGCUGUGGGGAAUCGAUUUAUACACAGAUGACUUUGAUCUUGUUGCUGGUAUGUGGUUCUAUGAAUAAUUGUUCACAAUAAUUGUGUUUGCCUCACUGUUUUUGUUUUAUGAGAUCUAUAAUUGAUCUUGGGAUAUUACUUUUUAGUUCUCAUGCAGGCAAGUUACUACCUUCCCACUGCAUCUCCUCCUUUAUCUGCUACUCAAGAGUUGCGUGCCAUAAUCUGGUAUUACCUCUGCAAGAUUGUGAAUGAAUAUGAUGCCUCUAAAUUUAUUUUAUACAUAAUGCUAAUGCUGAAUAAUAUAUUGUAGCUCCUGUCAUAUUCUACUUUGACUUUUUAUAUUCCGUUUCAAAUAAAAAUCUUAUUCAACUUUAGUUGUUCAUGAGCAAAUGUCACAUGUAUAAGCCCAAAUGAUGUUUAAAGGUAGCGCCGCUACCUUCAGUUUGAGCUUACAAUGGGUGAAAAAGAAAUUGAAACUGAUAUUUUGCGGUUUUUCUUAUUUUUCAAAGUAUUUUAGAUCAUGACUUUUGUUUGGACUUGAUGGUUAUAGAUUGUGUCUAGAUUUGUUAAGUCGUUUCCAACACCUCGUGCCAAAUCAAAGCACAAUCUUUCUGAUUCAGAUGUUUUGUUAAUUGUGCUUCAUUUUUUCGUUAAAGGUUGGAUGGUUGAAUGGAUUGAUGGAGUUGGAGUUCAACCAAUAAUUCUAAUUUUUUGGACUUAAAAUGCCUUUUUCUUCUGUAUAAAAGCUUUAGUAAGUGCUAUUGAGUUGACAGAAGUUGAAUACUUACAGGUUGUUUCACACUUUUUAAUAGUUUUACAUAUAUGAAUUUCUGUUUUUUGAAUUGCAGAAAGGAGGUGGAACUAUUGAUUUGGAGCCUUAUCUUACUCACUCAUCAACAACGGAGCCUACCCUCGCUCCUAUGGCAGUGGAACGGACAAUGACUACUAGGGCUGCAACAUCAGUUGGUUCGGGUCUGUUUUGAUAGCGAAUUUUGAUAUGUCAAUAUAAUGUGUAAUUGUUUUGGGUUGAGCUGGUAAUUAUGCUGGAUUAGAUUGGUUUGGUUUUGGUGCUUCGCUGAUGGAACACUGGUUUUUUAGAAAAUUUGAAUGUAAUAUGAGACUACAUUUAGUUUAAUUGAACACUGCAUCUAGUCUAAUUACUAGAAGUGUGGCAUUUGGUUUGGUUUAUCCGAUAUUCUCCAGAAUUUCACUUGCAUCUGGUUUUGUUGCAUAUGUUUGCUUGCAUUUGAUGGCAGUAGCAGACUGUUUGGUUUUGUGGCAUUUGAUGGCAGUUUGGUCUGUUCUUGGUGCUGAUUUACGAUUGUUCCUGAUGUGUUGAUGUUAAUUGCAGGUGCUUGAAUCAGCUAGGGUUGCUGGUUUUUUCAGAUGGUUGACUCAGGCGUUGUUACUGGUUGAUUCAGGUGGCUGGCUCAAGUUGUUCAUUUAAUGUUAGGAAGCAAAUUAAGAAUUAAUGAAGUAUUCAUUUAACUAUAAUUAUUGUAGUUAUUUUAUUUCAUAACUGAAUUAUAAUCUAUGAUACUUGUGAACAAAUUAGAGAAUUUUUAUAUAUAAAUUAUAUAUAUGUGUGUGUAUGUACAUUUUGCUUUUUAUAUAAUAAUUUAAAGAAUAUAUUUCAAUUCCCACAAAAAAAUGGCCCCAAUUUCAAUAAUUCCUGCCAAAUAAUUAAUUUUUUUUAAUUUACCGCCAAAAUAUAUCUUAAAGAAAUGUUAGUUAUUCUUGCUAGAUUUAACAAAAAUAAUUUAUAGGAUUAACAUUUAAUUAAAAUAAUUAAAUAAUUUUACUAUUUCAAUUAAAUGUCAUGUUUAUAUCACAGACAAUAGUCAUGAAUGGGAAGUAUUAGUUACAUAUUUUUCCUUGUAGUUAUUUUAUUUCAUAACUGAAUUAUAAUCUAUGAUACUUGUGAACAAAUUAGAGAAUUUUUAUAUAUAAAUUAUAUAUAUGUGUGUGUAUGUACAUUUUGCUUUUUAUAUAAUAAUUUAAAGAAUAUAUUUCAAUUCCCACAAAAAAAUGGCCCCAAUUUCAAUAAUUCCCGCCAAAUAAUUAAUUUUUUUUAAUUUACCACCAAAAUAUAUCUUAAAGAAAUGUUAGUUAUUCUUGCUAGAUUUAACAAAAAUAAUUUAUAGGAUUAACAUUUAAUUAAAAUAAUUAAAUAAUUUUUCUAUUUCAAUUAAAUGUCAUGUUUAUAUGACAGACAAUAGUCAUGAAUGGGAAGUAUUAGUUCCAUAUUUUUCCUUGGGAUUUCAGGCAAAUGAAAAAAAGAUUGAGAAUGAUUUCAAGAGGACAGGUGGAUGAUAAGUAUUCAUUUUUGUAUAUUUGGCUAAUGUCCUCAUUAGUGGAUUUUUAUGGUAUUGAUUUUUUUUUUUUUGGUUUAUAAUUUUCAAUUAGUUGUUACCCUAGAGGAAGAGCAGGCUGAUCAAAUUGAUUUGUCUUAUUUUUCCGGCAAUCUGCGACACGAUGACUGUGAUAAUGCUCGUGACUGCUGGAAACUUUCUGGUGGAAAUAACUUUAGAGUUCGUAGCAAGCAUUUUUGUUAUGACAAAACAAAGGUUCCCCCAUAUUUUGGUUGUUUGUUAUGGUAUUUAUAUAUCCUGCAUAUGCUAGGUCGACAGGUUAUGAUGUAGUUUGGUUGGCUCUUGUGCUUUGUGCAAUUUGUAACUGCAGAUACCUGCGGGAAAACAUUUAAUGGAUCUUGUUGCUGUUGAUUGGUUCAAAGACACAAAGAGAAUGGACCAUGUAGCUCGGCGUCAAGGCUGUACUGCACAAGUAACUGAAGAAAAAUGUGAAUUGGUUCCUCUUUUUCUUACUUUCCAGAACAGUAUGUACAGGGAAUAUAUACAGCAAAAUAGGAGAGAAAAUAGGAGACUACAUCUAUCCUUUCCUAAAUAAUAGGAAACAAAAUCUGGAAAGAAUCCUAAUGAAUCUUCCCAUUAUAAUUUAACUUAUUCCUAAAAUAGCCUAGAUUACAAAUAAAUCAUAACUUUGAAUCUUUAUUUUCAACACUCCCCCUCAAGCUAGUGUGUGUAUAUCAUACAAACCCAGCUUGUUACUUAAGUCUUCAAAGUUAGGUCUUGGCAGUGCUUUAGUAAGGAUGUCUGCAAUUUGUUGUCUAGUUGGAAUGUACUUUAGUUCCACACUUCCACUAGUGACCUUCUUUGAGAUGAAGUGCCUAUCAAUCUCGACAUGUUUGGUUCGAUCAUGAUGCACUGGAUUUUUUGCGAUGCUGAUUGCUGCUUGAUUGUCACACCUCAUUAGAAUGGAUGAAGGGUUGCACACACCGAGUUCUUUGAGUACACGCUUUAUCCAAAUUCCUUCACAGAUUCCAUUUGCCAAAGCUCUGAACUCUGCUUCUGCACUACUCCUAGCUACAACUGAUUGUUUCUUACUCCUCCAGGUUACUAGAUUUCCCCAGACAUAGGAACAGUAAGCAGAUGUUGAUAUUCUAUUUGUGAUGUCUCCAGCCCAGUCUGCAUCAGAGUAGAUCUCAAUAUUCCUAUAUUCUGAUUUCUUGAAAAACAAUCCUUUUCCAGGUGUCAUCUUUAGAUACUUCAAAAUUCUAAAGACUGCAUCCAUGUGUUCCUCUGUAGGAUUGUGCAUGAAUUGGCUCACAGCACUAACAACAAAGCCUAUGUCCGGACGGGUAUGUGAGAGAUAAAUUAAACGACCAACCAGUCUUUGAUAUCUCUCUCUAUUGACUGGAACACUAUUCUCAACUGAGCCUAGUUUCUUGUAGGGAUCCAUAGGAGUAUCUACUGGUUUGCACCCAAUCAUACCAGUCUCCUUUAGUAAGUCCAGGGUGUAUUUCCUUUGGGAGACAACAAUUCCCUUCCUAGAUCUUGCCACCUCCAUCCCAAGAAAAUAUUUCAGAUUCCCUAGAUCUUUAACUUCGAAUUCCUGAGCUAGCUGUUUCUUCAACUUCUGCAGUUCUUCCUCAUCAUUUCCUGAGAGAAUGAUGUCAUCAACAUAUACGAUUAGGAGAGAGAUCUUCUUUGCUUGUGAUGUUCGGAGGAAUAGAGUGUGAUCUGCCUGACACUGAGUGUAACCAAGUCUCACAACUGCCUUCGCAAAUCUAUCAAACCAUGCUCGAGGGGAUUGUUUAAGCCCAUACAAAGAUUUCUUGAGCUUGCACACUUUAUUUCUAGUAAGAUUCAGAUCAAGACCCUGGGGAACUUCCAUAAACACUUCUUCUUCAAGAUCGCCAUUGAGAAAUGCAUUUUUUAUAUCUAGUUGGUAUAAGUACCAAUCUAGAUUUACUGCUAAGGAGAGCAAGAUUCUAAUGGUGUUGAGCUUCGCAACCGGAGCAAAGGUUUCAAGAUAAUCAAUCCCAUAUGACUGUGUGAACCCUUUAGCUACAAGACGAGCUUUGAGCCUCUCAACACUUCCAUCUGCCUUGUAUUUAACAGUAAAAAUCCACUUACAUCCAACUGGUCGUUUCCCUGCAGGAAGAUUUGUUAUAACCCAUGUAUCAUUUUUCUCAAGAGCAUUUAUUUCUUCAUGAACAGCUCUCUUCCACUCAGGAUGACCGAGAGCCUCUUGUAUAUUGUUGGGAACAUGUAGAUUAUCUAAAGAAGAAACAAAGGCUCGGUAUGAUGGGGACAAACCAUCAUAUGAGACAUAUUUGGCAAUUGGAUGAGUGGUGCAACUUCGAACCCCCUUUCUUUCUGCAAUUGAUUUAUUAGAAUCAUCCACACUUGGAACCAUGAACUCAACCGAGGCAAGACUAUCCAUACCUGUGUUGUCUUCAUAAGAGCUUGGAUUUGGUUCAGUUUCUUGGACAUGUGGCUGAGUUCUGUGCUCUAUCUGCUCUCCAGUUCUUCUCCUCCUAUAAACAUUAAGAUUAUCAACAGCAAGCUGUGGAAGAGGUGAGAUUAGAGGUUGUAGUUGAUGAGCUGAUGGAUGACGGGGUGACUCGGCUGGUUGUGGUUGGGAGGACUCAGAUGACUCAAAAGGUUGUGAAGAUGUUGGGAGGAUUGCUGAUUGUGGCUGUUGGAUAGAUUGAUCAUGUGUGGUGGUUGAGUUAUGAGGGUUUUCAUGAGGGGUUUCCAGCCAAGAUUGCCAAGAAGAUUCCCAAGGCUGAUGUUCGCUCAUACUCUCUCCCUGAACAACAGUUUUGGAAUAGAAAGGCAGGUUUUCAACAAAUGUUACAUCUCUGGAAAUGUAUAUUUUUCUGGUAUGAGGAGAAUAGCAUUUGUAUCCUUUUUUAUGUGGAGAAUAGCCUAAAAAUAUACACUUGAGAGAUCGGGGAUCAAGUUUAGUCCUGUGUUGAGAGUGAACAUGGACAUAUGCUGUGCAACCGAAUAUUUUUUGUGGUAAAUCUGCUGAAACAAUCCUAGUGUGUGGAAAGAAAUUGAGAAGAACUUUUCUUGGGCAAUGAAACCCCAAGACUCUAGAAGGCAUUCGGUUGAUUAAGUAGGCUGUAGUGAGAACAGCUUCACCCCAGAAAAAAUUAGGAACAUGAGAUGAGAACAAAAGACAGCGAGCCACUUCAAGAAGGUGUCUGUUUUUGCGUUCAGCGACCCCAUUUUGUUGUGGGGUGUCAACACAAGAACUGAUGUGAAGAAUGCCUUGAUGGAGAAGAUAUGAGCUGAGGGAGUCUUUGAAAUAUUCCUUGGCAUUGUCGGUUUUAAGGACUUGGAUUUUGGUAUUGAAUUGGGUUUGAAUCAUGGCGUUAAAGUUUUGGAAGAUUUGACUAACUUCGGAUUUGUUUUUCAUGAGAAACACCCAAGUGAGACGAGUAUGAUCAUCCACAAAUGACAAAAACCAGCGAGCCCCAGAAACAUUUUUAAUUCUUGAGGGACCCCACACAUCAUUGUGAAUUAAAGCAAAUGGACGAGAAGGCUUAUACUUAACGCUUGAAUAAACAUUUCGAGUAUGUUUUGCAAAUUGACAAAUUUCACAAUGAAAUGAUAAAGGGUUUUUAUUGAUGAAUAGAUUGGGAAAAAUUUUUGCGAGAUACAUGAAACUAGGAUGACCUAAUCGAUAGUGUAACAGAACAAUUUCACUAUCGUUAUUGACAUUUGGACUAACAAUAGAAUGAGGAUAACUAGUUGACAGACUAUUGGACUUGGCACAGUUUGCUCUCGAAUCUUGUAUGAAGGAGGAUUGAUCGCUUUUGAGUAGAUAGAGUCCAGAACAUAGCUCAGCACUGCCAAUCGUCUUCGCGAAUCCAAGUCCUGAAAAACACACAUAUUUGGAUAGAAUUUAGUUACACAAUUCUGAUCACGAGUGAAUUUACUGAUUGAAAGUAAAUUGCAAGCCAAAUUAGGCACAUAAAGUACAGAAUUAAGGUGUAACUCCUUAGUGAGUCUGAUGGAACCUGUCCCUGCUAUAUUGUGUGAGAGCCAUCUGCGAUCCGGACUGAAGUGCUGUUGAUGCUAGCUUUAUAAUCCUGCAACAUUGAGGCAUCUCCAGUCAUGUGAUCAGAAGCACCAGUGUCAAUUAUCCAGGGUUUGCUUGCUCCAUUAGUGGCUGCAAAUGCUGAAUGAGUCUCUUUCUAAGCCACUAGACUUGUCCCUGCAUUGGAGUUCAAAGUGGCUUGAUCGAAAAGCUUUUGAAGAAUCUCCAUUUGCUCCUUGCUGAAUGGAUUUGGCUCGGGUAGGGCCUGAUUGUCCGUGGUGGAUGCUGCAUGAGCACGAGAUUCACGGUCACCUUUGGAACGAGGUUUCCAAUCAGCAGGUUUGCCAUAAAUUUUCCAGCAACUCUCCUUAUAGUGGCCUGCCUUACGACAGUGAUCGCACCAUGGUCUUUCUUUCUUUGUACGAUUUUCACUAACCCCUACAGAGUUGGAUGCACGGGCAACAAGUGCAGAGGCGCCCAGUGUUGGUUCUGAUGACCCCAUCAUCACCUUUUUCCUACUUUCUUCAUGCCUAACUUCAGAAAAGGCUUCACGAGGGCGCGGUAGAGGCUUUGUCCCGAGUACACGGCUCCUAACCUGAUCAAGAUCUUUAUUGAGUCCGAGGAGAAAUUUAAACGUUCUCUUCUGUUCCACAAUCUUCUUGUACAAGGUUGUAUCGUCGGUGCACUUCCAAGGGUAUGUUUCAAAUAGAUCAAGGUGUUGCCAAUGCCUAGUCAGAGUAUUAAAGUAUUGAGUGACAGAUUGUUCUCCUUGGCGGAAGUCAUGGAGGAUGGUUUCAAUCUGGAAUAACUCUGAUGUGUUCUCAGAGCUAGAAUAGGUUUCCUUUGCAGCAUCCCAUAUGUCAUUUGCAGUCCCAAACAGAAGAAAAUUCUCACCAAUAUCAUUGUUCAUGGAAUUGAUAAGCCAUGACAUGAUCAUGUUGUUCUCUGACUNNNNNNNNNNNNNNNNNNNNNNNNNNNNNNNNNNNNNNNNNNNNNNNNNNNNNNNNNNNNNNNNNNNNNNNNNNNNNNNNNNNNNNNNNNNNNNNNNNNNNNNNNNNNNNNNNNNNNNNNNNNNNNNNNNNNNNNNNNNNNNNNNNNNNNNNNNNNNNNNNNNNNNNNNNNNNNNNNNNNNNNNNNNNNNNNNNNNNNNNNNCACGUAACAGAGGUUGAUGAGGAAGCCAUCCCGUAUUUUGCCACAGAGAAUACAACUGAUGGGAGAGGAAGGAAGGUAGAUUGUUCAAUUUAUGAGAGAAGAAGGAAAUGGCGGCUGAUAGGAGAACUAGGGUUUAGAGCCAGGCUCUGAUACCAUGAAGAAAAAUGUGAAUUGGUUCCUCUUUUUCUUACUUUCCAGAACAGUAUGUACAGGGAAUAUAUACAGCAAAAUAGGAGAGAAAAUAGGAGACUACAUCUAUCCUUUCCUAAAUAAUAGGAAACAAAAUCUGGAAAGAAUCCUAAUGAAUCUUCCUAUUAUAAUUUAACUUAUUCCGAAAAUAGCCUAGAUUACAAAUAAAUCAUAACUUUGAAUCUUUAUUUUCAACAGUAACUAUUCUUUUCUUUUUAUUUUUCCUUUUCUGAAAGAAACUUAGUUUUGUAUUGUUUGGCAAGCUAGAAAAUGAAAGAAAAUAAAAGAAAGCGCUGUAAAGAAGUUUGUAGAACCUUUAUUACUCUAGCAUUACAACUGAAUGAAUACAGACUGAUAUUUCUAUUAAGCUACAAUUUUCUCAACACACACACAAGUUUGUUACAUCACAUAACCAUUUGCUGCAUAACUAAUUUGACACAUCAGCUCAACCAGCUAACUAACUUUGCCAGGUCAAGCCUAGUGAGUUGAUCUGCUAAAGUCAGCUACACAGCAACAUCAUGCUCUGCUCCAACUUCAUUCAAUUCACUAACAUCCCCCCUCAAGCUGAAAUGUUUAGGAUGAACAUUCAGCUUGCUUCUUAAGUAACUAAACUGUUUGAGAGUAAGCCUUAGUCAACACAUCUGCUGUUUGAUCUUGACUGGGCACAAAACAUACUUCAAUCUCUUUUGCAGUAACUUUAUCUCGAAUAAAAUGUAUAUCCAAUUCGACAUGCUUAGUUUUAGCAUGAUAGACUGGAUUGUAAGCUAAAGCAAUUGCUUCUUGAUUAUCACACCACAUCAUAGGAGUAGAGCUCAAUUUGAUGUUAAGUUCACCAAGUAAAGAUUGUAUCCAGGGAACCUCUGAAGCAGCAUGAGCAAGAGAUCUAUACUCAGCCUCUGUGCUGGACCUGGAAACAACAACUUGUUUCUUUGAUGACCAUGAGACUAGAUUAGGGCCUAGGUAAACAGCAAAGCCAGCCACUGACUUCUUAUCAUCACGAUCACAAGCCCAAUCAGAAUUUGAAAAACAAUGUAGUUGCAAAGUUCCUUUGUUAUUAAAUUGCAGCCCAAGAUGUAUAGUGCCUUUUAAGUACCUCAAUAACCUUUUGCAUGUUUCCCAAUGUUGUGUUCUAGGACUUGAAAUGAAUUGACUUAGGUUGUUUACAGAGAGAGCAAUGUCAGGUCUGGUAAGAGUAACAUAUUGAAGAGCUCCUAUAACACUCCUAUAUUGAGAAACAUUAUCAAUUAGCUCUCCUGAUUCUUUUGUGAGAUAAUAACCAGUAGACAUUGGAGUAGGCACAGGACUGCAAUCUGUCAUGCCAUGUUUAUCCAGAAUGUCAGUAAUAUACUUUGCUUGUGUCAAGGAAACCCCUUGUGAAGACUUGCUGACUUCAAUCCCCAGAAAAUAGCUAAGUUCCCCCAUGUCUUUUAAAGCAAAGGCUUGAUUCAUAAUCUUAAUAACUUGCUGAAUUAGUGUUGGACUGGAACUAGUGAUGAUAAUAUCAUCAACAUAGACCGAAACAAGAGUUAGAUGACCACUGUUCCAGGCAUGAAACAGAGAGUUAUCAGACCUUGAAUGCUAGAAAUGCCGUUUAGAGAUCAUUGCAUCCUUGAAUCUAUCAAACCAGGCUCUAGGUGCCUGUUUUAAGCCAUACAAAGCUUUAUUCAGCUUGCAGAUAUGAUUAGGUUUAGUUGAGUCAACAAAACCUUCAGGUUGAGCCAUGUACACCUCUUCAAUUAAAAUGCCAUUUAGAAAGGCAUUAUUAACAUCUACUUGCCUAAUCACCCAUUGAUUCAAUACUGCUAAGCUAAGAAUAACUCUAACAGUUGAAGCUUUAACUACUGGACUAAAAGUUUCUGUAUGGUCAAUCCCAUGUGUCUGAUGAAACCCCUUUGCAACAAGCCUGACUUUAUAUCUUGAAACUGAACCAUCUGAGUUAUACUUUAUUCGAAACACCCAUUUGCUGCCAACUAUCUUCACUGGAGUAGCAUGUAAAACUAAAUCCCAGGUGUGAUUAGUUUUAAGUGCUAGAUACUUUUCUUGCAUAGCCUUAUACCACAUAGGAUCAGAAAGUGCUUGGGAAACAGAAGUUGGUUCUGAUUUCUGGGCUAAUAAAGCUGACAAAUAAAUUUUUGGCUUGAAAAUACCUGCUUUUGACCUGGUUAUCAUUGGAUGACCAGUUGAUGCAGGUUGUGGCAAUGUAUGUGGAGGUGAAUUAUGUGGUAGUGAAGAAGAAGAAGCUGAGUUGGAAUUAUCAGAAAAAUAAAGUGGAGUAGAAUUUGGUGAGGGAGUAGGAGCAUCUGAAUGAUGAACAUUUUGAUGGUGUUCUGAUGAUGCUGCUAAAGGUGCUUGUAACUGAGUAAUAGAAGGAACAGAGGAAUUGAAAGAAGACUUAUAAUUUUUUGUUGACUAACAACUUGAAGAGAGUGAAGAAAAAUCUGCUCCAGACUCAUAAGGAAAAGAAUUUUCAUCAAAGGUGACAUGAUUUGAAAUGUAAACCCUCUUAGAAGAGUGAAGACACUGAUAUCCCUUGUGUUGUGAAUUGUAGCCAAUGAAUAUACAUCUGGCAGUUCUGAAAUCAAACUUAUGUCUAUUGUAUGGUCUGAGUGUUGGAUAACAAGCACAACCGAAGGUUUUAAGUGUUGAAUAAUCUGGUUGAUGAUGAAAUAACUUUUGGAAAGGAGAAAUGUUGUUUAGAAUUGGAGUUGGAAGUCUGUUUAUCAAAUAGACAGCUGUGUGGAAUGCAUUCCACCAAAAUUUGAGUGGUAAAUGUGCUUGAGCUAAUAAGGUCAGACCUACAUCAACUAUGUGUCUAUGUUUCCUCUCAAUUCUUCCAUUUUGAUGAUGAAUAUGUGGGCAAGGGUGUCUAAAAUGGAUACCAGAAGCAGUGAGUAAUGAGGAAAAUGUUCUGAACUCUUCUCCCCAAUCAGUUUGGACAGUUUUGAUUUGAAGUUGAAGAUGCUUUUCAAUAAAAAUUUUGAAAUUGGUAAACACUUCAAGAGCAUCAGAUUUGGCUGACAAUGGAAAUAUCCAGGUAAAUCUACUAUAAUCAUCUAAGAUUGAUAAGUAGUAAUUAUAUCCUUGGGUAGAACAGACAUGAGAAGGACCCUGAUGGCUGUCGAAGCCAACAAAAAUAAAUUCCUACUCUAAAUAAAUUGUGUAUAGUGAUUGAGCAGGGUCGUGUCCACAGAGAUCGAUAAUUAUUUAAAUCCUUUUGAAACGUAAAACGUAAAAUGGGGGAAUUGUUGACAAUAAUAAAAAUCAAAUUAAAAAUAACAAGAAUGCAAAUUAAAGUUGUAAUUUAAAUUGGAGAAAGCUCUGGUUGAAGGAAUUAACUCAGCUUGAUUCGACUACUGAUCAUUGAUUCAAAUAUAGAUUAUUAUUACUCAUGAAUAGACCGGUUAUAGCUACUGAGACCCUCUAAUAGCCAAUCUCUCCUUAACUAGUCGAUAACCAAGGUACGACCGUUGGUUAUUUCCCUAAUCAAUAGACAACCCUAGAUACGAUCAUAGAAUUUAAUCAAUUGACAGCCUGAAAAACCAGAGAGACCCAAAUCCUAAUCAACACAUAUGAUGAUUCAUUUAAAUUAGAUUGUUUAUUCUCACAACACAACUCUCUGCUAUGUUAUUAGUCACAAGCAUUAAAUUCUUCAUACGAUGAAUCCUUUAAUUGACAAUAGAUUAAGUUGAUAAUUAAAUAGUGGCCAAUUACCUAAUUAACAAACAUAAUCAUGAAAAUAAUUCAGAGAAUAAACAAAUACCCAAAAAGUAAUAAAACAAUUAAAGCACAAGAAAGAUCUCACAGUAGUGAUGAAUCAAAGCUUCAUUAACCUUCAACCAGAAAAAUGGGUUUAGUUUCUCAUAGAGAGAAGAGAAAAAUUAGAUCUAGGGUUUCUUUUUCUCCAAUCCAAAAUUCCCCCCUUUCACAAUAGAUUCCUCCCUUAAAUACUCUCUCUCUCUUCUCCUCUAGAAUUCUAUUUAAAAUAAAAUACUAAUAUCUGAAAUAUUAAAUUCGUAAUUACAAAAAUAACCAAAAAUACAAAACACGUUAAACUAAAAACUGCAGGUCCGCAGUUGACAGCACGCGCCCACGCCUUAUCAAUAAAGUUCUUCUGCCGCUCAUAAUUUCUCCAAGAGAACAAUCAUCCUUAAAAAUCAUCUUGUAGCUCAAUUUUAUCACCAAUCAAUAGAAUUGCACCUACAAAAGUAAAACACAAGUAAAUCAUUAUUAUUAAGUGCAAAACAUCGAUAUUAAGGGAAGUAAACAAUGCAAAACUAGUGCAUAAAUUGCACUCUAACAAAUUCCCCCACACCAAGAUGAUGCUUGUCCUCAAGCAUAUAACUCAAGAUUAAUCCCAAAUCUCCACUCAAUUCUCAUCUCAACUCAUCCAAAAAUAGAAAUUAAGUCGAUCAACAUUCGAGAGACAAGGAUUUUAAAGCAUAGAAUCUCAUAAGAUAGAAUAAGAACAUUCAACCACCAAGAAGAUCCAUUCAAAAUUCAAGUGCAACAAGAUGUAAUAGCCCUCUCAAUAACUUCACUCCAUGCACUCAAAGUGUUUAGGGUGUCAUUUAUCCACUCAAAUCAAAUCAAAGAAUGCUAUUACCAUAAGCUUGCUCAUAUAUCACAUCUCAAUCCACAAAACAUGAAUAAAAUGCAAAAAUCUAAGGGUCUUAAAAGGAUUGUAAUGGGGUUAAAUGGGUUAAAUGAAAAAGAAAGGUUUACGAAAGAAAAAGAGAUCAAAAUGAGAAGAAUGAACUCAUUGAAUGAACUUAUGAUAUCAAAAUGCUUAUUUCUACUCAAGUCACCAAGAAUGUAAACAUUUUUUUUUUCGAUUUUUCUUUUUCUUUUUUUUUCUUUUUCCUUUUCUUUUUCUUUUUUUUUUUCAUUUUUUCAUUUUUUUUUGUUUUUUGUUUUUUGUUUUUUUCGAAUCAAACAAAAGAAACGAACCUUGCACAAUUUAAUUCAAGCAUAAUGCUUGUUGAUCUAAUUGAGAAACUUCAAUACAAGGUAGAAAAAGCAACAAAAUAUAUCCACACAAUGAGUCCAAAAAUCUCCUUAAAUUGAGGCUCAAAAAGAAGAAAAAUGGUUAAGUAGACGGAGAGAAUUAGAUGGGUAAUGGUUAAGGCUCAAACAAAGGUAGCAAAUAAAGGUCUUCGGGUAGAGAAAAAGGAAAAUGCGAGAAUAGAAAAAUGGUAAAUGGUUUGCCCUUAUCAUUUUAAUGCCUAAAAUCCCGUAAUGUGGCUUCAAUAUGCAUAACAAAGCAAAUUCUAGAAUAAACAAACUAGGAUUGAUAUUCACAUAACAAAAAUAAUUAGAGCAAAGUGGUUGCUCAUAGGCUCAAAUCCUCACAAAGUUGGUAAAUUUGCCAUCAAAUCAUGUACACUCUUCAAAUGAAUCAACCAUCAAUAGUGGUGUAGAAUGAGAAGAAGGUAUGAGUGAUAUAUAAAAGAAAAGGUAAAAAUUAUAAGAAGUGAGAAAGAUGUAUGUAGUAAUAUGAAAAGUGAAAGAUAAAAUGUGAGUGAUGAAAGAGUAUGGUAAAAUAAAAAUAGAUAUGAAUAGUUUGAGAUAGAUGGGAAAAAAGUAGUGAGAAAGAAAAGAAAAGAAAAUUAAUAAUAUAUGAAGCAUACUAACUCCAAAAUCAUUUAAGGAUGAGUAGAGUGAAAAUAGAUGAGUAGAGUGAAAAUAAUAAUUCCAGACAUCAAUAAUGCAAAAAUCCCUCCCCCACACCAAGAACUUACAUUGUCCCCAAUGUAAGAUAAUCAAAGCUCACAUAAAAAUUAAAGCGUAAGGAUAAAAGAUUAAGGGCAAAAAAAAAAACUUCCCUGAAUUGUGAGCUUUGAUCCACAUAACGUCUAUGGGCUUGGCGGAAAUGGUGGGGUAAAUCCCACACUCUCGAAGUAUGCGGCCAAAUUCUGCUCCAUCUUGUUCAGCUUGUGCUCCAUUUUCUCUAACUGAAUACUCAAAGGUGGUGCGGAUGUAGAAGGAAUAGUUGGCGGGGCAGCAGUGUCGUCGUCAAACUCGUCAUCAGAGGUAGCACCACUCCUAGCAUAAAGCUUCUUCGGAAGUUGAGUGGGUCCUGGUUCAGUAAACUGAAAUCUCCCCUCCUUGAAUUCAACCACACCUGUUCUUUCAAACACAGACAUAUCCAAAAAUUCCUUUUUGCAAGCAGGAUGCAAAUCAUUAUUGUCGGGAUCAAGAACACAUAGGUUUAUAGCUAACAGAGUAAUGUAUGGACCAAGAAAUAAAGUCCUAUACCGUUUAAGCACAUUUUGAAAUUGAUCCGCUAACCAAAAACCUAAAUUAGGCCUCACAUCAUUUAACAUGCACCAGAUAAAAUAAAAUUCAGUUUUAGAGAAAAUUCCCGAGUGAUCUUUCUUGCCUAAAAAAUUAUAUGCUAAGAAUCGAUGCACACAUUUCAAAACAGGAUCACGUAAGAAAGAACUCUUUGAUUUACUCGGGUCAUAGGCAUUGUGAUCAACAGAUAAAUUACGCCAAAGACCAUAAGGCUCAAAAUUUUCGCUAAAGUCACAAGUUGUUCCUAAAUAUGCAUCACUAGAAGAAUAAUCAUCAUCAAUGAAUCCUAAAGCUAGGUUAAAAUCCGUGAUAGAGUGUGAAAAAUUUCGUCUCAUUAACCUAAACUUAAUGACAUUCGGGGUAUGCAAAGUAAAAUCAUUCGGCAUAGUAAAUUGAAAAGUAGCAUAAAACUCCCUAAUCAACUCAACAUAACCCAAACAAUCAACAUCAACAAAUUUACGCAACCCAAUCUUAUCUAUCAAAGAAUCAAAAUUAUCCUUAACAUUCAAUUUUUCAAGAGUCGGGUAAUGAAUAUACUUAGCUGGAAGUAUUUUGCAAGUGGAAAUAUCUUUGUACCUCUCUUUCUCUUGUUGAGUCGCGAACGCGAGGCACCCUCCGAGAUUGGAUUCCGCAAGUGGCAAAACACUCAUGCCUUUUCCAUGCUUCGAUCUUUGUCUCACGGCUUUGCGUGAAUCUGAAAUUGUGUUCCAUGGAACCGUAGUGGGAGCGGCAAUCUUAGAUUUCUUUACGACGGGUUUCUUUUUCGAUGACUUGGAAGUAGAUGCUUUCCUCUUCGGCAUUGUUACAAUAAUUGCACUCACGGAUUUCGAUUUACCCGGCUGGAAUACAUGACGUAGGCUGGUUGCGUUGCGUUGCUGCUCGACUGGAGCUUGCUGUGCGGGUUGGAGCUGGUUGCGCACUGCUGGGCUGCGAGACACGGGAUGCUGGUGCUGCGCUCGCGGGGGCUUGCGUUGCGAGCUGGUGAUUCGCGUUGCUGGUUCGUGCUGCGUUGCGGGGCUGCUGGUGGGACUGAUGUUGCGCGUUGCGGCUGGGGCUGGAUCUACGCACUGCUGUGUGAUUCGCGAGAGCCGGUUCGUCUGCGUUGCUGUGCUGCACUGAGGUUGAUUCGCGUUGCUGCUGGUUGCGGUGCGCGAUGCUGCGCCCGGCGGCUGGGGCUGGUGGGGCUUGCUGCUGGAAAACGAUAAUCAACAGUAAUUUUUUUGAAUUAGGGAUUUGUGAACAGUGAUUUUCGAAUUUUUUUUUUUUUUUUUUUUAGUGAUGAAUCACUUUGAGACACUAAAAAUUUCAGAAGUACUUUUUUAAUAAGCACGUGGGCACGCCUUAUCAAAAAUUUUCUUCUGGCCAAAAUAAGCAAACACAUUAUUUUAAAAAAAAAUCUGAAUCAAAAUUAAAAGAAGAUAUAACAAAAACCAAAAUAAAUAAAUCAUUUGGGUUGCCUCCCAAAAAGCGCCUUUGUUUUAUGUCUUUGGCUAGACACGUUUAUGCAUCAAUCUCCAUAAUUGGGACUCUCGAGAGCCACAUCCUCCACAAUAUUCACCGAAAAACCUUCAUAAAAAGGUUUUAAGCGAUGACCAUUAACCUUAAAAACUUUGUCAGAGGUCGGACUCCGAAUCUCAACUGCACCAUGAGGAAAAACAUUAGUAACAAUAAAAGGUCCAACCCAGCAAGAACGUAAUUUACCCGGAAAAAGUUUAAGCUUAGAAUGAAAAAGAAGAACUUUUUGACCAACAGAGAACUCCUUUCUCAAAAUCAUUCUAUCAUGAAAUGUCUUCGUCUUUUCCUUGUAAAAAAUUUCCUGCGCUAUAGGGUUAAUAACAUCCACAGAAAAUACCGAAUGUUCCUCACUAGGAUAUUUCAUGGUAUCAUUCAUAUUGAAUCCUAUAACCUCUCCAUCAAACUCCAUAGUGAGAGUCCCUUUAUGUACAUCCAUUUUAGUCAUAGCAGUCUUAAGAAAAGGUCUUCCUAGCAAAAUUGGGACAGAAUUAGAGGAGUUAUCAUCUUCCAUAUCAAGUACAUAAAAAUCAGCAGGAAAAACCAACUCAUUAACUUGUACUAAGACAUCUUCUAAUACCCCAUCAGGAUAUGCAUUAGACCUAUCAGCUAGUUGAAUUAUCACGCCAGUUUCUUUUAAUGGACCAACAUUCAAAGAUGAAUAAAUGGAACGAGGCAUGACAUUAAUAGAAGCUCCUAGAUCUAACAUAGCCUUUUCAACUCUAACACUACCAAUUUUACAAGGGAUAGUAAACAUACCUGGAUCCUUGCACUUAGGAGGUAGUUUCUUUUGGAAAAUUGCUGAAACAUUCUCCCCCAUGUGAACUUUUUCAUCUCCUCUUAAUUUUCUUUUGGAGGUGCACAGUUCCUUAAGGACUUUAGCAUAUCGAGGUAUUUGUUUUAUAGCAUCUAAUAAAGGAAUAUUUACCUCAACCUUGCGAAAUGUCUCAAGGAUGUCUUUCUCUUGUUCUUCCUUCUUGGAUUUUGCAAACCGGCUUGGAAAAGGAGGAGGUAUCACAAUAGGUAGGGGUUUCGCUCCGGUGGGUUGUGCAUCUUGAGAUUGAGGCAUCAAUUCAUUCUUCUCAAGCUCAUCUUCUACAUGCUCUGUCACUUUCUUACUAGGCUCUUGCAACUCCUUCCCACUUCUAAGGAUGAUAGCACUAACGUUUUGCUUUGGAUUCACCUCAGAUUAUGAAGGCAAUCUUCCUAAUACUCGAGACUCCAGAUGGCUUACUGUAGUCGCCAAUUGACUCAUUUGGUUCUCCAAGUUCUGAAUGCUUGCUGUAGUUGCCUGCUGAAAUUGUUGAGUGUUAGUCGCAAGUGAUUUAACAAUUUCUUCAAGAGAUAUACCUGACUUGGAGUUUGACUGUGGAGGUGCUGGUUGUCUUGGUGGAUACUGUUGUGGGAAUCCUGACGGUUUAACUCCAUAGCUGAAGUUGGGAUGAUCCUUCCAUCCCAGAUUGUAUGUUUGUGCAUAAGGAUCAUACCUCCUCUGAGGCAUGCCUGGAAAUCCUCCAACUGCAUUGGCUUGUUCAACGAGUUCUUCUUGGAGUGUAGGACACAUAUAAGUUGAAUGACCCAUAUUGUAACAAAUGCCACAAGUCUUCACCUGUUGCACAUUACCUACAACAAACUUUUCCACAAGAGAAGUAAGUUUAUCUAAACGUUGUUCAACAAAAGAAAUAUUUACCUCAUUCACCUUCCUUGAAGUGGGAUCUUGCCUGCUACUAAAUUGUUGUGCAUUGGCAGCCAUAUUUGAGAUCAACUCCCUUGCUUGAGUAGGGGUUUUGUUCACCAACACACCUCCACUAGCAGCAUCUAUCAUACUUCUAUCCAUUAAUGAUAGUCCUUCGUAAAAAUAUUAAAUAAGAAGUUGAUCAGAAAUCUGAUGCUAAGGACAGCUGGCACACAAUUGUUUGAAUCGCUCCCAAUACUCAUACAAAGUCUCCCCAGGAAGUUGUCUGAUCCCACAAAUAUCUUUUCUGAUGUUGGCAGCUCUUGAAGUAGGAAAGUACUUCUCAAGGAACUGCUUUUUCAAACCAUUCCACGUUGUAAUUGAUCCAGGAGGCAAGUAGUACAACCAAUCUUUAGCUAGCCCAUCUACAGAGAAUGGAAAAGCACGCAACUUAAUCUGCUCUUCAGUCACGCCUUGUGGCCUCAUACUUGAGCACACAACAUGAAACUCCUUGAGAUGUUUAUGAGGAUCUUCACCUGCAAAACCAUGAAACUUGGGUAAUAAAUGAAUAAGCCCAGACUUUAAUUCAAAAUUUACCUCCAAGUCUACAUAUUGAAUGCAGAGUGGUUGUUGAUUCAAGUCUGGUUCAGCUAACUCUCUAAGAGUUCUUUCUACAGGUGCAGGUCUAUCCAUCACUUGUUCUUCUGAAUCGCUAGAUGAUUCAACUAAAUCAGGCACUGUAUCUGUUUCAGAAAGCAAAGGCGACGAGGAUCGUUGCUUAGCUCGCUUUGUCUGCUGUCUCAGUUGGCGAGCUGUCUUCUCAAUUUUAGGAUCAAACGAAAGUGUACCUGUACGAGAAGAACGAACCAUACACCAAGUAAAACGUAAAAAAGAUUAAAUAAAUGACACCAAUCCCCGGCAAUGGCGCCAAAAUUUGAUGGGUGUCGAAGCCAACAAAAAUAAAUUCCUACUCUAAAUAAAUUGUGUAUAGUGAUUGAGCAGGGUCGUGUCCACAGAGAUCAGUAAUUAUUUAAAUCCUUUUGAAACGUAAAACGUAAAAUGGGGGAAUAGUUGACAAUAAUAAAAAUCAAAUUAAAAAUAACAAGAAUGCAAAUUAAAGUUGUAAUUUAAAUUGGAGAAAGCUCUGGUUGAAGGAAUUAACUCAGCUUGAUUCGACUACUGAUCAUUGAUUCAAAUAUAGAUUAUUAUUACUCAUGAAUAGACCGGUUAUAGCUACUGAGACCCUCUAAUAGCCAAUCUCUCCUUAACUAGUCGAUAACCAAGGUACGACCGUUAGUUAUUUCCCUAAUCAAUAGACAACCCUAGAUACGAUCAUAGAAUUUAAUCAAUUGACAGCCUGAAAAACCAGAGAGACCCAAAUCCUAAUCAACACAUAUGAUGAUUCAUUUAAAUUAGAUUGUUUAUUCUCACAACACAACUCUCUGCUAUGUUAUUAGUCACAAGCAUUAAAUUCUUCAUACGAUGAAUCCUUUAAUUGACAAUAGAUUAAGUUGAUAAUUAAAUAGUGGCCAAUUACCUAAUUAACAAACAUAAUCAUGAAAAUAAUUCAGAGAAUAAACAAAUACCCAAAAAGUAAUAAAACAAUUAAAGCACAAGAAAGAUCUCACAGUAGUGAUGAAUCAAAGCUUCAUUAACCUUCAACCAGAAAAAUGGGUUUAGUUCCUAAUAGAGAGAAGAGAAAAAUUAGAUCUAGGGUUUCUUUUUCUCCAAUCCAAAAUUCCCCCCUUUCACAAUAGAUUCCUCCCUUAAAUACUCUCUCUCUUCUCCUCUAGAAUUCUAUUUAAAAUAAAAUACUAAUAUCUGAAAUAUUAAAUUCGUAAUUACAAAAAUAACCAAAAAUACAAAACACGUUAAACUAAAAACUGCAGGUCCGCAGUUGACAGCACACACCCACGCCUUAUCAAUAAAGUUCUUCUGCCACUCAUAAUUUCUCCAAGAGAACAAUCAUCCUUAAAAAUCAUCUUGUAGCUCAAUUUUAUCACCAAUCAAUAGAAUUGCACUUACAAAAGUAAAUCAUUAUUAUUAAGUGCAAAACAUCGAUAUUAAGGGAAGUAAACAAUGCAAAACUAGUGCAUAAAUUGCACUCUAACAGACCCCAAAGAUCUGCAUAUAUCACUUGUAAGGGUGCUGAAGUUUUUGUUUCAACUGAAUCAAAAUGCAGCAUAUGAUUUUUCCCAUAUUGACAUGCUGAACAAAAUUUCAAGCUUUCAAUUUUAUUAUAAGCAGUAGAGUUGUUACAAGUUUUGAGUAUAGUUUUGAGAGUAUAAGAUGCUGGGUGUCCUAAUCUUCUAUGAAGAAGAUUUACAUCAAUAGAACUCUUUGUAACAACUGACAGACAUGGCUUUUUAUUCAAUUCAUAAGAACUAACAGCAGUGAGCUGAUCAGAAUUGAAAACAGGAGAACAAGCAAAGAGAGUGAAUUUUAUUUUGACCAACUGAAUUGAGAAAGACUGAAUGAGCAGCAACAUGUGAAGAGACUCUAUACAAGUCACCUUUAGCAACACCUUCAAGUAAAAUUUUCCUUGUGUUCCUAGCCUUUAUAAAAAACAAAUCACCAAGAAAUUCCAACAGUAACUGGAUUGUCAGCCAAUAAUUUUGAAAUGCUAAGCAAAUUCUUAGUAAUAAAAGGGACAUGAAGAACAUGGUUUUUAAAGGUUUAGAAGUUGAAGUAUUUAGCACAACUGAUCCUACAUGUGUAAUAGCUAAUGCAUUUCCAUCUCCAACAAACAAUUUUUCAGUACUAGUAUAAAUUUGUGAAUCCAGAAGUUUACCUAGAUCAUUUGUAAUGUGAUUUGUUGCUCCACUAUCAAUAUACCAUGAAGGAUCUUCAAUGUGUUCUGGUGGAAGUGAAGAAGGCAUAGCUGAGGAAGAUGAAGCACUUGACUGUCCAGGAUUAUUAUUUCCUUGACCAGAAACAAAAGUAGAUGGUCUAGGGGUGAAUGAGUAAUAAGCAGAAGGAUUACUAUCUGGAUACACCAUAUUUCCUUGAUAGCCAAAACCAGCAUUUAAACCAAAACCUCCAAAACCUCUGCCACCAUUACCAUUAAAAGCUCUUCCUCUACCAUAUUGCCCUUGAUUAAAACCUCUGCCACCAUUCAUAUUACCUCUGCCAUAGUUUCUCUGUGGAACAAAAGAUGAAUUGUACCUAUUUUUGCAUCUAUUGGCUGCAUGACCAGGUAUGAAGCAGAUUUGACAAACAGUUUCAGAGGAAUUACCACCAUUAUUAAACUGACCAUAUCCAUAUCCAUUAAAACCUCCAUACCUAGAAUUAUUUCCAUAAUUUUUUUGAAAAUUGCCAUUAUUCUUUCCAGCAUAUGAGUUCUUCUGAGCAAUAUUUGCUGUCAUAUUGUGCAUCACAUCACCAGCAAUUUUUCCUUUCUUUUGUUCAACUCUAUUUUCAUGAUUCAAUAGCAAAGGAUAUAGUUCAUCUAAUGUUAUCUUCUCACCUCGAGCUAAAACACCUGUGACUAAAGAUUCAUAAUCUGAUGAAUCAAGACCAGUUAAUACAUGAAUCACAAGAUCACUUAACUCAACAGGUUUUCCAGCUAGAGCUAAAGUAUCAGCUAUACGUUUUACUUUUGCAAAGUAAUCAGACAUAUGCAUUGCACCUUUCUUAAUAGUUUGAAUCUGCAUUCUAAGUGUUUGAAUUCUAGCUUGUGAUUAAGAAAUAAACAUACUAGUAAGAGUCUUCCAAAGCUGUUUUGAAGUUGUGGAGUCAAUCACAGUAGCAAGUAGAUUUUGCUGUAUCGACGACAUCAUCUAACUCAACAGAAGUUGAUCAGUCUUCAUCCAAGCUAUGAACUCUGGAUUAAUAGAUUUGGAUUCAGAUUCAGUAAAAAUUUCAGCUCCAUUGUUGUUUCCAAAAGAAAGAAACUACUCAGGACAUUCUUGAUCACCAUUGAUAAACCCUUCCAGACCGUUUCCUUUGAUCGAUGCUAAAAUUUGUGCCCGCCAUAAAAUGAAGUUGUUUUGGUCUAGCUUUGCAGGCGUAACAAAACUAAAAGAGUUGUUAUUUUGAACUGUAUUCGCCAUUUAUGGCUCUAAUACCAUGAAAGAAACUUAGUUUUGCAUUGUUUGGCAAGCUAGAAAAUGAAGAAAAUAAAAGAAAGCUCUGUAAAGAAGUUUGUAGAACCUUUAUUACUUUAGCAUUACAACUGAAUGAAUACAGACUGAUAUUUAUAUUAAGCUACAAUUUGCUCAACACACACACGAGUUUGUUACAUCACAUAACCAUUUGCUGCAUAACUAAUUUGACACAUCAGCUCAACCAGCUAAUUAACUUUGCCAGGUCAGCUUAGUGAGUUGAUCUGCUAAAUUCAGCUACACAGCAACAUCAUGCUCUGCUCUAGCUUCAUUCAAUUCACUAGCAUUUUCCCUUGAUACAUUAGGAGAAAAGACUGCCUGUGAGAUACAACAAUGUAAAUAACUUCUCAUGGUUCAUUGAAUCUAUAACGCACUGAGCCCUAUUCUAAAAUAUGUAGGUUGCUUCUGAAAAAGGGCUUUUCUCACUGAUCUUUAAUCUUCAAGAAAGUUUGUUUCAUUUCAGAAGGUAUAAGUUUCAAACUUAUUGUAUUGGGAGGUUGUAUAGUUGUAACCUAAGCAUCUGCAGGUUCCUGGUUCAACACAUUAUAGUAUGGUAUUUUAUUUUGUCACAAGGCAAUUGGUUACGGGAUCACUUUUGCAACGGUUUGUUGAUGGCGAUGAUGAAUUUCGCAAUAGUAGGUUGAAACUUAUUCCAUCUGUUCCUAAGGUAUCCAUCUUGGCCUUCAUGUAGUAGGACUAUAUUAACGUAUACUUACCCUUUACUGCAUGGUACACUUCAAUUUGUACAAAGAAGGCAUGCAUUUAGGUGUGAAUGUAUUGAUGGGUUGUACCUUCAAACUUUAUCUCCUUUUUACCCUCUUGAAUUUGUUUUGCACUUGUUCUUGAUUUUCAGCACUGAAUCAUGCAGGGGUCAUGGAUAGUGCGCCAGAGUGUUGGAAGCACCCCUUGUUUAUUGGGGAAGGCAGUUGAUUGUAACUAUAUUCGCGGUCCCAAGUACUUAGAAGUAAAUGCUCUUGGAAUUUCUAUAGUACAUGAGAUGUUCCCCUUUCAAAUAGCGUCCAAUACCUUUAACAUGGUUUAACAUUGUUCAUCUUUCUGUAGAUUGAUGUUGACAUCGAUUCUUCUACUGUUGCUAAUGGAGUUUUGGGCCUUGUAAUUGGUGUAAUUACGACAUUGGUGGUUGAGAUGGCUUUCCUUGUACAGGUAUGUAUGAUUGUUUUUUUCCCCCACUGCUAAAUGGACACAAGGGAAAAGACAUGAUUUUGAGAUAUUGCACUGCAACUUGCAUUUUUGCAUACUUGAAUGUUCUCAGAAUGAUAUAAUGCUUCUGUGUGUGUCUUCUUUAUCUUGCUCUUCUGUAUGCAGGCAAAUACUACAGAUGAAUUACCGGAGCGGCUGAUUGGUGCUGUACGUGUUUCUCAUAGAGAACUCAAGUCUGCUGUUGUCCCAAAGCUGGAACCAGAGAUAUCAUGACUCUGGUUUCAUUUCAGCUCAACUGUGUUUUUUUUUUAAUUAAAAAAAUCAUUUGUUUUAGGUAUACAUACAUGUAUUUUGAUUCUAUUUUCAUUGUAAUUUCUCAUUUACUUUGAAUGAAAGUCAUUGGUGUUUUCGAAUGGGAAUUUUGCAUUAAAAAAUGAAGAAUAAUGAAUAGGAAAUUUCCUGAUUCUUUAGUUACUAUUUUUGGUAUGAGUGUAAUUAGUAGUAAAGUAGGUUUCUACUCGCAAACAAGUGAACUACUCGAUUCCCGAGUGGUAUCAACCAGUUUCCAACUUUUUAAUAUACACUAAUUGUUAUUGUUUAAUAGCUACUACUAUUAAAACUCAACAGCUAGCAAAAAUACUUAAAAAAAAUGAUUUUUCUUAUGAUGCUGUGAAAAAAAUUACGGGUGUACUUCUUUCCAUGAGAUCUAUAACAUGGUCUCGACUUCACGAAAUUCUUUUAAUUUAAAGCGUGCUGGUGUGAGGUCAGUUUAACUGAUUAAUUCUUUUUAACAGUGGUCGAGAUAAUUUUACUAUACUAAAAAAUAUUCUUAUUCUGAUAAUGCCACAAAUGUUAUGCUGUUUUCUUCAGAUAAUGAUCUUCCAUUAGGAGAGGUUAGAAAUCAAAUGCUUAAAAGACCAAUUGAACGAAUAAUACAGAAAUUUAGGCAGAAUCUAAUAGAAUAUUGCAUGAAACAUGAAACAUCAAUUCAAGUCCUUUCUUAAACGGAGAAUGCAUCAAACAAAAUCCAAAGUGUCUUGCAAGUCUGUAGCGUGAGCAAAAAAUUGUAAAUAUGUAGAACCAAAUUAUUCAAGUACAGAAGAACGAGCAAGCUAAAUCAUGUAUAAGAGAUUGGCCUGGUUCGGGAUAGCUUCUUCACUGUAUCUGAAGGGUUGGCUCAAUCUCUUCUUUAGAAUUCUGCAGAUUUUGUAAUUACUCGUGUAAGCAAGUAUACAUUGCCACCAUAAGAAUAAUGAAGCUAGAGUAAUGAUAUGACCACCACCUCUUGUGCACAAACAAUAUUGUAUAAACUAAUGCGACAUAAUAUGAUUGGUUAAACAAAAACAUUACAUGGCCCUCAUAAUUUAUUUAUUUAUUUAUUAUUAUUAUUAUAUAUUUUCAGUCAACCAAUCAUAUUAUAUCACAUUAGUUUCUAUAAAAUAAUUUGCUAAAUAGCACCAAAACUUAAUUGAUACUCACCAUUUCAUUGAACAAUUUUUUUAUGGUGUCAUUGAGGUUGCCUUCCCAACAUCGUUCAUCAUCAUCUUUUUCUUCUUUGGUGACGUUCACUUUGUUUAGCAUUGGUGUGUCUAAGAGUCCUUGAGAGAAGAUCUUCAUUUUUGGACACUGUCUCACAACUACUUGUUUCAAGGACGGGAAUUCAAGAGCGUAAUUACCUAAACAAAAGCUUGUUAGGCUUGGCAAACAAUCAAGUCUCAAGUACUCCAAUUCCUUGAAAACAUUGCAAUCUUUCGCUUCUUCUCCAACCUGCAAUUGUAUGAUUUGUUCUAUCAUUUUGCAAUCAACUAUCAUCAUUCUUUUGAGAUUCACUAGAUUUUUAGAUGCUGAGAGCGUCAACACAUUUAUCAAUCCGUGACACUUCGAUACUGCCAAAGCCUCAAGAUUUUCCAAAUGCCACGAAGGUGGUACUAAUUUUUGCAACUUACUACAUUCCGAUAUUUUUAGACUUUUCAAGUUUGCAAACACUUUGUUGGAUUCGGCAUUUUCCUUCCAGAGAUGGUGCACUUUGUGUAAUCCAGACAGCUCUAACCAUCUCAAUCGAGGGAAUGAAACCUGAAAAUCAACAAAAUUAAGUUGUAAAUGAAAAUAUGUAUCCAAUCUCUGCAGUCUUCCCCUGCAUAUUUUAUGGACAAGAUUAAUCACGACAUUUUAUAUUUUUUUUCCAAAUUAGAAUGCUUUGCAGUAGGAUCCCAAAUAUAAGUAUCAAAUCGAUUACCCUUUGAAACACAUAAAUGAAAUCUGAUACUAAAUCCAAUAUGAAUUAGCUAGGAAAACAGAGAUGUUACACACAUAAUUAAUAGAGUUCAUCACCUCGUGUUACCAGGCAUCCAAUUAAUUUAAGACAUUUUAAUAAUUCAUAUUAUAAAGUUAGUUGAUAGCGGAGGUUAUAUUGUUAAAUCAUAUAUAAAUUAAGACGACGUGCAAAAAGAGGAGUCAUUAAAUUCGAUUUGAUUCUAACGAAAUUACAUCUAUGCGAAUGAAAGUGAAGGGAAAUAAUAAUAAUAAUAAUAAUAAUCACCUUUUCAUCGAAGAGAGGUUGUACUUGAUGAGCCAGCAAGAAGUUCUCUUCUGAUGUUAAUUUUUGAGGUUCCUUAUUAUCCGCUGUCAUGUGCAGUACAGAGUUGGAUAUGAAUGUUUCUAUAUCUCGGCAAUUCUCAAUAGUUAGAUUUCUCAACAUAGGCAUUUCAAUUAUAUUCCCAGUGAAGUUGCAGAAUCUUUUGAGUUUUGGAAGAUCAGUGAGCCUCAGCCUGUAAAGCUUAGGAAACAGGGGGCUUAUAUGUUCUUUGUCAGCAUUUAGCUCCUCCAAAUGAAGCACCUCUUCUAUUGAAUCACAAUUCCUCUCUUCCAGCCAUACCAAAUUGUUCAAGCACCGUAGCAGAUUGGCAGGAAUAGCACUCGACAUAUUCGUGCAGUCAUCCACAGCCAGUUGUCGUAAAUUGUUGAAGAAGCUGACAGGCAGUGCUUGGCCAUGCCAUAUUUCUUUCAAACGUGGAAAAUGUGAGAGUUGCAAAUCCCAUAUGUCACGGAAUCCAAUCUGCACAAACAAAAACAAUUGCACUGGAUAUAUAUAAAUUUUUUUUUUGAAUCAACUUACAUGUUUUGUGUUUUAACUUCUAAAACUAUAUAUACAAGGCAGGUGUAUAUGUUCAAAUGUCCAAGUGCAAGGGAGAUGCAUAAGUAAUUUCGACGAAUCGAUUUAACACAUACCAUUUCUUCGUAACACUUUUGUAUAGUGGAAUUAAGGUUGCCUUCCCAAUGGCGCAAUUCACCCUCUCCCUGUUAAGAAUAGAAUUAGUUAGUUAAUGAGUAUGCUGACAUGGCAGCUGAGUCAGCUAAAGGUUGUUAUAGAGGUUGUUAGUAGUAAACUGUGCGUGUGUGCAAUGUGUGUAGAAUCUUCUAUGCACAUAUAAAAAGGCUUGUAAUUUCCAGAUUCAUUAGAUCAAUAAUAACAGAAUUCUCAGCUUACAGAAGUUUUCUUUCUUCCUAUUUUCUUAGUAACCAAACAACAUCACAGUUUCAUAUAAAACUUAAUACUUCCUUUUUACUCACAUGCACUUCGUGCAGCUUUGGUGUGGAUACGAUUCCCUGAGAAAAAGUCUUCAUGUUCGGGUAACAUGUCAUAGAAACUCGUUCCAAUGAUGGGAAUUCAAGAGUGUAAUCCUCCAAACAAAAGCUGGUAAGCCUUGGUAAAUGAUUUCAGGUAAUUUUUAAAUAUUCUAAAUUCAUUUAGAAUAUUUAAAUGAAUUUAGAAUAUUCACUAUUUAGUAUUAGGAAUGGAGAAAGAAUUUCAGGUAAUUUUUAAAUAUUCUAAAUUCAUUUUUCAUCUUGAUUCUAGUUUUUUAAAAAAAUUUAAUUUUCAAACAUGCGUAUUUUUAAAAUAACUAAACUAAAACGCUGUAUUUCCCUUUUUUUCCCGAUAUUCAUGCUUUUAAAAAUGGAAAACAUUUCUGGAAAACACUUCCCAACGCCAUCAACAUGGGACUGUUAUAGAUGAAUUAAGGAAAAGAGAAAUAUAUAGAUGAAUUUGUGAACCUAUAAGAUGAGUGACUAUCCUUUAAUUUUUGAAAAUUGUACUUAUUAAGAUAUGAGCAGAAACAAUUAAAUUGAAUUAUAUUAUGCUGUUGAAUCGUGAUUAAAAAAAUUAUAUUGUUGAUUCUAAUGCUGGCGAACCUAAAAACUGGACUUAAAAUGUAGAUUUGAGAGUGGUGGUUCGAAGUACAAUACUUGAAAUAAAUAAUCAGUGGCUGAAUAUCAUUUGUAAACAAAAAAUGGUUAAAAUAUUGUUGGAUGUAAUUUGAAAAAAAAAAAAAGAUUCGAAAUGAAUACAGCAACCUUACCAAUGGAGGAAAAAUAUUCUUUAGGUUAUCACACUCAAAUAUCUCUAAAUUCUUCAAUUUGCUGAAAGACUCCGAAGCAAGUUGGUGGUGCCAUAUUAUUCUCAAAUUAUUCAUCCAGCUAAUAUGUAAUACCUCCAACCUAGGAAGUCGUACCUGGCAGUUAAAGAUUAAAUAACUAAUUAAUCAAUUAAUUGCAUAAUCAAUUGAUAACUAAAUUAGAGGCAGAUAUUAACUAAACUUGAAGACUCAAAGAAAAGACAAAUUAAAUAUUGUGACUAAAAUUAAUUUUUUUUAUUAAAAAAAAAACCUUUUCGUCAAAGAGAGGAGGAGGUUGCAUUUCAGAAUGAUUGGUGUCUUCUGGUGAGCUCGUAGAGAUGAAUCUUAACAUAUUCCAGCAACUCUGAAUCUCGAGGUUUAGCAAAGAAGGGAAUUCAACAACUAAAUCUGAAUUAAUAUGUCCCGUAUUGGCAAAGCUUGUUAGUUUAUAAAGCCAAUAGAGCUCCAGGGAGUGUAGUUUAGGAAAAACCUUUAAUUCAAUCAACUUUCCUUCUUCUCUUUCUGACCACCCCGUGGUGUCGACUACCCCUUCCAUUGACUCACAAGAUCUUAUCUCAAGAUGCUGGAGUUGCAAAAGACUAUUAACCAUAGAAUAGGAAAACAGAUACUUCAUACGAUGACAACUGCUCACGUACAGCUUUGUUAAAUUUCGACAACAGUACAUUCCUUGAUUAUGAUCGGCCCAUAAUUUUUUCAUGUUUCUUAAUGACCUGAGAUCCAAUUCCUCUAAGCUCGGAAGAAUAACCUGCAAAGAAUACCCGUACAUUUUUGUUCCUUCAAGUACAACCGUCUAGUAUAAUAUUCUUUUGAUGAUCGAAGAUUAAUCGUGAUAAUAAAUUAAUCAAUUAAUUAUUGAACAGAAAAUUAUCACCUUUGGAGCAGGAUCAUCAUCAGCAGUGAUUUCGUUGAAUCCCAAAGAAGUUGUUGGUUUCUCCCUGUCGGGUCCUAUAAACAAACAAAAACAAUAUACAUAAUUAAUCUUUGUUUUUUUUUUCAAAAUAAUUGAGGCGAAGUCAAUUAUCCCACCGGUACUUAAUUUCAACACUUACCAACAAUCAUUUCCUGAUCAUCGCAAAAAGCCACUUCUACCUUUUGAAGCCGCAGUAGGUUUUUGGCUAUGGAGAAUGAGAAAAGAUGCUUCAAUUUGUGACAGAAUUUUACUUCUAUAAUCCUUAAGUUGCUGAAAGAUUGAUCUUCUGUGAGUUGGCUGUCACAUAUUGUCUCCAAAUUGAUCAAACGACGAAGAGACAAUGACUCCAGCAAGGGGAAGACUUUGCGACGAACCCGUCCAACUGAACAGACAAUAUGCAAAAUCUCAGAACAACUUUCUGCAGAAAGAUGCUUCAAUCGUGGAUAACCUUCCCCAUCAUCUAAUUCAUGAACAACAUUCUGAACACCCUUCAGUUCUUCUAGAUAGAGAUAUUCAGUUCUCGUCAACAACAGUUUCAUCCUGUAAUUCUGCAAAAGAACGCCAAACUUUUCCAGCCCCUGGAGCUUCAUCAAUCUUGAUAAUCCAGAUUUAACGGACCAGCUGCUCCACCACUUAUUUCCUAUACAUAUCCUAUAGCUUUGUAAUUCCACAGAGACGAAAUCCUGCGGUAAAAUUUCGGCAUCCCGAACAUGUAUCUCCAAAGUAGUUAGCUUUGACAGCCCAUUCAAUUCAGCAAGACUGGCGUUACUUCCUCCUUCAACCUUCUCCCACUGUGAAAAGCUGUUACCAAUAUAUAGUUCUUCUAAUCGAGAUAAUUUUGAUAUGACAUUUGGAGCUAUCACCACAAGACUGCUACAAUUUCUCAAAUCUAGCAACUGUAAUCUCGUCAAUUGUCCAAUUACAACUGGCAACUCCUUAACAUCAGAAUCUCGGAAGCUGAGAAUCUCUAAUUUCCUUAGCUGUCCAAUUAUAGUUAUUUCGUUCAGUCGGCAACCGUCUAAACACAAUGUUCGAAGGUUAAUGAGGCGACCAAGUGAUGAAGGUAAUGAAGAGAAAAAUAUGCCAGUAAAAUCUAAAACUUUGAGUUCUUCUGUCCCUUCAAAAAAGAGGUCUGAAAUUUGCAAAGAGCUAUCACGCUUUGAAAACAACAAAAGUAACUCGAGACGGGGACAUCCCAACCUUUCGGGAAGCUCUUGAAUAUCUCUAUAAGGUAAAGAAAUAGCAAUUGGACCUUCCCGUAUUGUCUCUUCCAUCUUUUUCUCCACGUAGGCAACAUUUGGAAUAUUAAACAUGAGCUCCUUUUCUGCAAUUGAUACAGCAACAGCAUGAAUGAUGUCAUGCAUUUUAACUUCAUCUUCAGCAUCACCGUCCAACAAUAAGCAUGAAGAUUUGAGUUUGUCGAUCAAUGCAUCCACUCUAUUCCUUGCAUUUUCCAAUGUGCGAACAUAUUUAAACAAACCCAAACCCAUACCCAUACCAUAUCUCAACAAGGAAGCAACUUGUAUAGGAGUACCUUCACCAAAUAGAGAACAAAGAAGGAACAAAGAUUUUGCUUCAUCACUUUCCAAGAAGUCGUAACUCAAUUUUAUGGAAGAAUACACAUCUGCAUCCAUACCAUGAAUUUCUCUUAGAUUGGAACUUCUUAGCUGAUUCAACGCAUCCUUCCAAAUGGCAAGACUCUUAUUUUUCAGAGCACUUGCAACUGUUCUCAGUGCAACAGGCAAUCGUCCGCAUUUUCCAACAAUCUCAUCCGCUAAAGGUUGAAAAGCAGAUGCUUUUGCGGAAUUGCCCACGAUCUUUUCAAAAAAUUGCAAUGCUUCUUCCUUUGAUAAAACUUCAAUUGGGAAAAUCUUCUGAGAAUUCAUAUCAUUGAUCAAUAAAUCUUGACUUCUAGACGUCAAUAUUAUCGUGCGUCUCCUUAGAUCUUGCUUUCUAUCUUUCUCAUCAACAUCCCCAGAAGGAAUUCCAAUUUCUUCCAACCUAAGUUUUUUCCAAAUAUUAUCUAAUAUAAUGAGGACUCGCUUCUCUUUCGUCAAUCUUUGACAAAGUUGUUUUGCUCUGUGGGGUUUGCUAUCAUUCAAGUCAAAGUUCAUGUCUAAAUCGGAAGCGAGCUUGUCUUGAAUUUUCUGAACAUCUGGGUUCUCUGUUACCUCAGCCAUAACGACCUUAUCGAACAACUUAUCUUCCAUAACUUGCUUUGCAAUUUGCUUGACUAGCGUGGUUUUACCCACGCCGCCCAUACCGUGGACCCCAAUUAUGUUGAGCUUAUCAUCCCUCAAUGCCUCCACAACAUCUUGAAAUAAUUUCAUUCUUGAAUCAAAGGCCUCGAAAUCUUUCGCUUGCAUAUGUUCUGUACUCUCUGGAGCAGGACGGUGGGAAACACUAGAGAAGUUGCCUUUUCUCACGAGACUAGCGGCAGCUUCUGCGGCCUUUACUGCUUGUUUACUAAGUUUAUAACGAGAAAUCAAGUUGGGGCACAAUCCUUUGAAGCAGGACUUCUUAGCUCUAUCUUCAUCAUCAAUGAUGGAUUUUGCAACCCCUUCACUGAUGCAUUCAUCAACGCCAUUAAGCCAGUCUGCAACAUCCUUGUAAAUCUCAUCUCUUUGUUGAGUAGCCUGACGAACGGGUAUUCCCACCCUUUCUCUUUUAUAUUCCAGCUGCUUCACUUGAUCUUUUAGCUCAGCUAUGUAGCUCUGGUACUUGAACACAUAAGAUAUCUGCCGCAUAAUCCGUUCGAGCAAUGCCUUUGCACCUUCUGAUACAAUGCUUGAAAAAGCUUCGAGACCCACUUCUGAAGCCAUUGCCUAGCCUGUUGCAUAUAUAUAUACAUUAGCCGAUGGAAAAAUUGGAUUCAAAUAAAUUAAAGUGAUCCAGAGGGAAGGACAAAGAAAGAAAUGACAACGAAUGACUUUUUAAACAAAGGUUUCAAGAGCCUGAAUCGAAAACCAACAAUUUGAAAAAAAAAAAAAGAAUUGGAAGAUGGAUGCAAAUUAACCAUUGCUAAUACUACAUAAGAACACAUAAGUUAACAAUGAACAGUUACUUAAGAAAAUUAAAUGACAAGAUUAAAACAAACAAGCGCUAUUUUUUCUUGGACAAAUGUACCUGUUUAAUUAUUAAAGACUUAAUGAGCUUCACUAUUGGCCUUGAGUAUAUAAGAAUGAGCAAGAGAUCAAUGUCAACUGCAGAGGAAUGUCAGUAAAGGUUUCAUGAGAGUGAGUAAUACAAAUGAAUUGUAAAAGAACAAGACUUAAGCGUGCACCCCCUGUUUUGUUUUAUUCGUUAUGAAAAUGAUAUUGUACCCAAUUUUAAGAGAGCAUAAUAAUAACCAUUUAAUGCAUAAAUUUAGAAUUAGCUUUUUUUUUUGUAAUUCUUUAUUUAAAUAUACACGUCAAUGGAAAAUUUUGAAAAUUUGGAUACAAAAUUUUAAAUCACCAGAAAAAAAAAAGCACGGGAACGGAAAUAGAGGAAUCUUGUUUUACCUUUUUUUUUCCCCCCUUUAACUCUCGUUCUUAUAUAAAUAAUCUUGUUUUGAUGAUUGUGACUCGUGACUGCGGGAAAAAUUCUAAUGGAAACAACUCAAUUUCGGAAGAUAAGCUUAAUUCUGCAAGUGAUGAAUUUGUUCAAUAGACUCUGUACCUGAACUCGUUGGAUUGGUUGAUUGAUGAUUGACUAAAUUUGAAUUAAGUUUAAUAGCUUAGCUAUCAUGUACUCCUUAAAAGCAAACGUAAAUCUUUUUUAGAUUUGACUGAAUUUGGGAACCUGUUGGAUUGAUUGUUUUUAGAUCAUUAAUAUCAGAUACUACAAACGUAAAUAUUUUCUUGUGGUUGAGUCCUAUUCAAAUCACACAAAAUUGCACGACCAAAUAUUAAGAGAACGUAAUAAUAAUCACUCAGUGCGUAAGGGUAAAUUUAGAAUUACGUAUUCUUUUUUAUUUAAUAAAAUCCCAGCGAGAAAAUCAUAAAAUUUAGAUAUAAAAUUUUCAAUCACCAAACAAAAAACAGGGGGAAUGAAAACACAGGAAACUUGUUUUACCUUUUUUUCAUCUAACUCUUGUUCUUAUAUAAUAUUUUCCCUAGUGUUUCAGGCAAGCAAAAAAAAAAAAAAAAUCAAUAAAGAGCAAGUUGCUCAAAUUGAUUUAUCUUGUUUUUCAGGCAAUCUUGUGAUAUGAUGAUAAUGCUUAUGAAUGCUAGAAAAACUUCUAAUGCAAACAACUCUAUUUGGGAUGAUAAGCUUAAUUUUACAAGUGAUAAAUAUAAAUAACUUUUUGUGGUUAAUUCAAUUUGUAAUUACCCUUAGCCCUAUUCUAAAAUUUGUUGGCUGCUUCAGAAAAAAAAAAAAAAAAAUUUCACUCAUCUUUAAUCUUCAAGUAAAAAACAAAUCUAAUAAAAUGACAAACAAACAAACAAAUAAAAGACAGCAAACAAACAACAUUUAGCCAACUGAUAUUUAAACAGGGAUUAGAGUUUUUGUUAUUAACUGAAAGGUUUCAAGGGUCUGAAUAAAAUCCCAGACUUUUUUUUAAAACUUUUUUUUUAAUUAACCAAAGCCAUAUAAUAAGAUCACAGACUUUAACAAUGAACAAUAAUUUGAAACUCAAGCAAAACCAAUCACAAGAUUAAAACAAACCAGAGAAUUUUUUUCUUGGAAAGUAGAUGAAAAGCAAGUAAGAACUGCUAUUAAAGGAUAUUAUUAAAGGAUUUAGAACAUGUAUACCUCUUUAUUUAUAUGGGAUCAGAGAGUCGAUGACCUUCUCUAUUCGCUUCGGAUAUUUAGUAAGAACUGCUAUCAAAAGAAUGAAUUGAUGAGUAAUAACAAUGAAUUGCAAAAGAGGAAGACUUAAUCACGUACCCCUAUUGUACCCGAUUUUUAAGAUUUAAUUUUGAAGUCCAGAAUCAAGACAAAAGACGAAGCCUUAACAAAUAUGCAGUGAGAAUAGUUAAGUUGAAGAAAGCACUAGUUUAUGGCUCUGUGUUUCAUAUGCCGUAUUGAAAUAAUUAAGUUGAAGUUUUCAACGAAUAAAUACCUGGUGUGCUGGAAUAAUUUUAGAAGAAUAUUGGCUUAUAGAGAUUAGAGCAUAUUAGGAGGGAUCAGAUUUGUAAGAUGCCUGAUAAAAGAUAAAGCGAAUGUUAUUAUGGACAUACCAAUUUCCGACUUUUCGGAGUGCAUCCGUCUAUCCAUGACUUGAAAAGAGACCCAAUGUGUGGACAGACUUGAUUACAUNNNNNNNNNNNNNNNNNNNNNNNNNNNNNNNNNNNNNNNNNNNNNNNNNNNNNNNNNNNNNNNNNNNNNNNNNNNNNNNNNNNNNNNNNNNNNNNNNNNNNNNNNNNNNNNNNNNNNNNNNNNNNNNNNNNNNNNNNNNNNNNNNNNNNNNNNNNNNNNNNNNNNNNNNNNNNNNNNNNNNNNNNNNNNNNNNNNNNNNNNNNNNNNNNNNNNNNNNNNNNNNNNNNNNNNNNNNNNNNNNNNNNNNNNNNNNNNNNNNNNNNNNNNNNNNNNNNNNNNNNNNNNNNNNNNNNNNNNNNNNNNNNNNNNNNNNNNNNNNNNNNNNNNNNNNNNNNNNNNNNNNNNNNNNNNNNNNNNNNNNNNNNNNNNNNNNNNNNNNNNNNNNNNNNNNNNNNNNNNNNNNNNNNNNNNNNNNNNNNNNNNNNNNNNNNNNNNNNNNNNNNNNNNNNNNAUUUAAUAAUUAUAGAAGAAUAUUGGCUUAUAGAGCAUUUUAGUAGGGAUAAGAUUUGUGGACAGAAUAAAUGAAAUAAUAAAAAGCAUAACUGAUCAAGUCAUUAUUGAUCUUACUUUGAUUAUUACAUUGCACAUUAGUUUCUUUCUAAAAAUGCCAUUCUUCAUUCAAGCUUUCGCUUUAUCUUUUAUCAGGCAUCCUACAAAUCUUAUCCCUACUAAUAUGCCCUAUAAGCCAAUAUUCUUCUAAAGUUAUUAAAUGCCAUUCUUCAUUCAAGCUUUCAUGGACAUUAUCUACAAACUGAAUCUUCAAUGUAAUAAAAUAAUGAUCAGCCUCACAGGAUACAUAAAAAGCUCAUUUAUCACAAUCAUUUCCUAGUGCAUCAUAAACUUAGAUUAUUUAAUUUUACUAUUAGGAAACCUACUUAUAAAAGGCGCACACUACAAAUUCUAAAUUAAAUUUCUAACUAAGAAUAAAAGGUAAACCCUAGCAAUUUUCCACCAGGUGCCGUGUAGCCUGCAUCAUAAAUUUUGAUUUAAAUCUUUGUAAUCACCGAACAGAAAAACCGGGGAAUGAAAACAGAGGAGCCCUAUUUUUCCAUUUUUUUAACCCUUAACUCUUGUUCUUCUAAUUAUAUUUUUGCUUGGAAUUUCAGGCAAACGAAAAAAAAUAGUGACAACUAUUUAGAGAGAACAGGUGGAUGAUAGCAAAAAUAUUUUUAAUUAAUAUGCAUGAUUAACUCUUGUUCUUCUAAUGUAGUGGCUUGAUUAAUUAAUAUUUUUAAUCAAGCCAUUACAUUAUUGGUAGUCUCUGUGGGCUCAUUUCGUCUCCAGACCUGAUAUUGUAUAUCUCUUUUUGAAUAUGUUUAAUUAAUAUGCAUGCUGCUGAAUAAAGACGAUGAUUUCCAAAUUUUUGUUGCUUUUUUUUUUUCUUUUUGCUGCUUUGGUACAUGAAGAAUGUGGAAAUAGAAAUAGCUUUCGAAGUUUAAUGGCUUGCUUCAUUAGUAAAGAAAGACUAGGAUAUCCGUCCUUUUUGUUACUGAAUUAUUGAUCAAUUGACGGUUGAAGUUAGUUAUAUUAAUUUGUUGUACAAGAAUUGAAGCUUAUAUCUUUACCGUUUCGUGAAAGUGUCAAAUAUGUUCUUUCCUUGCAAUUGUUCAAAAUAUGUUACACUUUUGAAGUCACUAUUACAUAAAGGGUGUUGUAAAAUAGGGAAAGGCGGGUUUAUGAUUAGAUUUUAAUAUGUUUAAUUCAAGGAUUAACCGAAGCUAUUAACCAACGGCUACUAACCGAAAACCGAAUUUAACAAUAAACACUAACUCAGAAUUCAAGAAAAUUAAAUGACAAGAUUAAGACAAAUGAGAGAUAUUUUUCUUGGACAUUAAGAAAGAACUACUAUCAAGAUCAAGGAUUAGAGAUUAUAUAUGCUAUUAUUAAUAGAAAUUAUUAAAGGAUUUAGAACAAGUUCACCUCGUUGAUUAUCUGGGAUGAUGAGUUUCUAUAUUCACCUUGAAUAUAUAAUAACAAUUUUAGUGAGCAAAAGAUCACUGGUAACUGCAGAGGAAUGUGUGAGUUUAAGAGCUUAUUAGAGUAAGCAAUACAAAUGAAUUUUCAAAUUAUGUACUUGGUCAUUGUUGUCCUACUGACGCACGUUUUUUUUCAUGAAUAAUUGCCAGAUCAGAAAAGAAUAAGUUCGGUGGAUUGAAAGAUUGCUGAAGCAAGUAAAACAAUCUUCAUAUCGAACAUGAUUCCAAUUAAAUUAAUCUUUUUAUAAGAUGACUAAUAAAAGACAAAAGUAGAAGCUUUGAUGAAUGAACGAUGACCAAAACUUUUGUAAAAGCGGAUGCCGAUAAAAUAAACAAAAGGCACUUUAAAAAGAAACUAAAGUGCGAUCAUCAAAGUAAGAUCAAUAAUGACUCGAUUUAUUUCACCUAUUCUGUCCACAAAUGAUGCUUCGCUAUUACAAGGUCCGAAUGGACAUUAUUUACAAAUUGUUCUUAUGUUUCACAGAAAAAUGAAAAACCGUUCAUCAUCAUAUAAUUAUGAAAUAAAUAAAUUUUAUUAAUGGAUUAUGGGGAUAUGUUAAUGUUAGGGAUAUGUUCAAAUCAUCAUAUAAGUUACUAAACGCUUCAACAAGAACAAGAAUUAAUGAGUUAAAAGUAAAAAAAAAAAAUUUUAAAAAAAGUUAAAUAAAUAAAACUUAGAAGUAAAGAAUGUUAUUUGCAAUCACCAAAAUGAAAACAGUGGAACCCUGUUUUUCCUCUCAUUUCUCUUUCUCUCUUUUUCAUUUGUUGGGAAGUGUCGCCUAAAACACUUCCUCUGCUAGGUGGAAUUAUUGGCUUGAAGAGAUGAGUUCUUGUCACAAGCACAAAUUUUAUCUGUACAUUAUUUCAUUUUAAAUGAUGAGUUCUUGUCACAUGAUCAUUACUUUUUUUGUUUUGAUUUGGUUAGUUCAUGAUAACAAACAAAUUAUUUUGCAUCACAUUAUGGUAAAAAGUUGCCCUCUUUGUUACUUCCACAGCUAUAUAGUUUAAUAUUUUGUAAUAAGAUCACAAAGUGCAUGGGAACCACUGUUCGAGUACUUCAGCCUAAUAUGAAGAUCUAUUGAAAAUUUUCCUGAUGUCAUGAUAUUAAACAAAAAAAGGUACCUCUUUUACUAAUUAAUAAGAGAAGUUUUGACCGAUUUCAUGUGACUCUCUUUUACUAAUUAAUAAGAGAAUUUUUGGCCUUAUAUCCUUGCUGUGGCGUUAGACUGUUGGUCAUUUUGAUUGUUUCCUACUUUCCGUUUACGCCAGCUGUAACAUUGUAUUAUCACCAUUUUAGCCAUUUAAAUGAAAUUUAUUUUUGUCAAAAAUAAAAUGACACCCUUAAAAUUAAAAAAAAAAUAGUUAUGUAGACCUCAAAUUUUUAAUAAAGAAUGCCAAUACCCCUUUUAACUACAAGAUUCUUAGUAGAUGAUAACUAAAAAAAUUAACUUCAAAAAUUUUCACUAAAUAUAAAUCUAAUUGAAAUAGUUUAAAUUUUCUAGUAGACUAAUAUAUAUAACUUAAAUAAUUAAUUUCAUUAUUAAUUUUUAAAAUGUUAAAUAAUAUAUUUUAAUUUAUUAUAAAAAAUUUAAAUAAAUUCUUGGAUUAGAUAGAUUUUACAAUUAAUGUAAUACUGCUGAUUUAUUAAUAAUAUUAAAAUUAUUUUAUAUGAUAUUCAAAAUAAUUUAAACUUUUAUAUAUUUAUUUUAAUAUUAUGUCUAUUUAUUAUAAAUUUAUAAUUUGGUUUAAUAUAAUACGGGAUUGUAAAAUAUUAAAAUAUUUUUCAAUAUCAAAUUAUUUUAAUAUGUAUAUAUCAUUACAUUUAUUUUAAUAUUGCAUUUAUAUUUAUUAAAGAGUAUUGCAGUAAAGUAAAAAAAAAAAAAGUCUUAUUAUCCCUUAUUCACGAUAUGAGGUUCUACAGAAUUAUUUCCCCAAACGGGUGUCCUUUUCUCAUUUUCAAAAGAAAAAAUAAAGUAAGAAUAAGACCAUGGAUUUCAAAAAACUUAUAGUCCUAUCCCGGGACCAAACGUCUAUUCAUUAUUUUAUUUAUUCAAUAUAAAUGGCCAACUUAAAAAAAUGAUAAAAAUCACACAAAGCUCAAGUGAAAAUUUAGAAUUACAUUUUUUAAUACUCUCGGAGUCUUCUCUCCUGCCCCCUUUUUUUCUUAAAAAAAAAAACCUUAGUGUAAAAUUAGAAGAAUUUUAGAUAUAAAAUUUGACAAUCGCUAAACAGAAAAGCAGCGGAUUAAAAAUAGAGGAGCUCUGUUAUCAUUGCAAUAUUGAUUAUAGAUAAUAUAAUAACUUGUUGUGGUUCAUUGUAGCACUCUGAGCCAUACUUUAAAAUUUACUGGUUUGUUAAUGCUUUUAUUAUUGACAUUAUUGUGUCAAUAUUAUUAUAAUUUAUUCAUUUUAUUGUAAUGAUAAUUUGUCUAGUCUUAGGUACUUAUUAUAUUAAAUUAUGUAAAUUAAUUGAGAAUACUUUUACAGACAAAAGAAACACGUGUAUGUAGGAUUAAUAAGCGAAGAGUUGUAAAUGAAGCUGAUUGCUUCAUUGAGAUGCAUAUUAAAUAAUUAUGGAGAGUUGCUCUAUUUCAGAAGCAUAUAUUUAUACUUCCCUAUCAGGAUUUGGGGUAAGCGAAGUGCUUUAUGUAUUGCAGUAAGCAAAUGUGGGCAACAUCAGAGCCGAAAUAUUAAAAGAUCAUAACGCAUAUAAACGAUUAGUAUAUUCAAGGCACAUAUAGCGGAAAGAGUGCAGAUCUGGCCGUAACUAUUAUGAGGAUUUCCUCAAGUAAAUAUUAAAAGAACAACUAUUCUGAACUAUAUAUUCUUCAUUGUGGGCAGAUUUACUUAAAUACCAACACAAUGAUUCAAUACUUCAAAAGUCAAGGAAAUGUCAAAAUAUGAAAUGAAAAUACUUAAAUACCCUUCUCCCUAACAAAACUUAGUACUUCUAACUGCCAUCGCAGAGAAUAUAUAAAAUUUAAAAAAAAAAUCAUCCAUGAAAAGUUUCGUAACAGAAAAACCGUCUUUCAAAAAAUAAAAAAUAAAAAAUAAAAACAGAAAAAUUGACUCAUUUAUCUGCCAAUGAACCAGUCGGGACUCAUUUAAAAAAGAUUACAAAGCAAAAGUAAAUGACACAAAUUGCAUAGAUAUCUAAGAGCCGCAUCAAAGGACAAAGGUGUUAAUUUGUCCAAGUAAUAAAUUCUCCUAGGUCAAAAGCAAUUAACGAUGAAAACUUUCUUCAUUAAGGUUCUGGCCUACGUAAAAAAACAGAAAAAACCACCCCAAGGUCAAAGCACAACGAUAAGUUUAGAAUUGCAGUUUUUAAUUUUUCUUUUUAAUAAAUCAACGUGUAUUAAAAAUAGAUAAAAAUUUUGAAUAAUGUUUUUUUGAUAAAUAUAGACAUAAAAUUUAAAAAUCACCAAACAGAAAAACAGGGCAAUUAAAAGAGAGCCCUUGUUUCUCCUCUGUUUUGUUUGUUAUUAAACGGGGAAAUGAAAAGAUCGCAAGCAUAAAUUUUGUUUCUGCGUUGUCUCUUCUCAAUGUUGCAUGCAUUCAAAUUAAACCUUAUAUAUGAUAGCAAACUAGCUACUCUGCAUGUACGAUAAGUCUAAAUAAUAGAAUAAUUGUAAAAUGUUCAAAUUCAGUAAUUAAUUAUACAUAUUUAUUUAUUCAAAAAUUAUUAUUAUUAUUAAUUAUUGUCAAUAAUAUAUUAAUAUACUAAUUAAUUAUAAAAAUUUUUAUCAUUCAUAACAAUAACAAUGAUGAUGAUGAUGAUAAUAAUAAAAAUUCAAAAUAUAUUAAUUAAUUAUAAUAAUAUAUUAAUUAUUUAAUACUAAUAAUAAUAAAAAUGUAAAAUGUAUAAAUUGAUUAGAAUAGUUAUAUUAAUAAAUUAUAAACAUAUAUUAAUUAAUCAUAAUAAUUUUUUAAUUGAGGACAAAAUAGACAUUUUAUAGUUUGUGAGAGGGGGCAAAAUGGUCAAUUUUGGGAAUGGGAGAUUGAUUCCCACCACCUUCCUUGGGAAUCAAUUUUCCAUUCCUCAUUCCUAAAUUUGGGUGGCCCCAUAAUUCUGAUUUGGAUCCCUGCCUCCAUCAUUAAUGAUUUCGAUUUCGGAUUCCGAUUCCCCAAUCCAAGAAGUAAAGGCACCAUUAUUGUUAAUUGGUUCAAACACACAAAGAGAAUGUACCGUGUAGCUAGGCGUCAAGGUUGUGUUGCACAAGUAACCUUUUUCUUUUCUUUUUAUUUUUCUUGUUUUCCUUAACGGAUCAGAAGAAAUUGGUGCCUUUGAGAUACCACAAUGUAAAUAAUUAUUUGUGGUUCAUUGAAUCUGUAACACUCGGUACCCUAGGGUUGCUUUGGAAAAAGGGCUUUUCUCACCGAUCGCCAAUAUCCAAGUAAGUUUGUUUCAUUUCAGAAGGUGCAAAGUUUCAAACUUGUUGUAUUGGGAUGUAACAAACUUUGGCCUUAUAUGCCUGCUGUGACGUGAGACUGUUCAUUUUGAUUGUUUCCUACCUUCCACUUACGCACUGUAGCACUGUAUUAUUCACCAUUUUAGCUGUUUAAAUGAAAUUUUAUUUUUGUCAAAAAUAAAAUGACACCAUUAAAAUUUAGAAAAAUAAUCAUGUAGAUCCCAAAUUUUUAAUAAAGAAUACCAAUAUUCCCCUUGACUACAAUACCCUUAGUAGGUGGUAAUAAAAAAAAAUUGGCUUAAAAUUUUUACGAAAUGUAAAUAUGAUUUAAAUAAUUUAAAUUUUCCAGUAGACUACUAUAUAUAAUUUAAAUAAUUAAUUUAAAUAUUAAUUUUUAAAAUGUAAAUUAAUUUAUUUGUAUUUAUAAAAUAUUUGUAAUUAUUUUAAAAUUUAACUAAAUCCUUAGGUUAAAUAGAUUUUACAAUUAAUAUAAUAUUUCUCAUGUAUUAAUAAUAUUAAAAUUAUUUUAUAUGAUAUUGAAAAUAACCUAAAUUUUUAUAUAUUUAUUUGAAUAUUAUGCUCUAUUUAUUAUAAUUUGGUUUAAUAGAAUACGAGAUUGUAAAAAAUUAAAAUUUUUAGAUAUUGAAAUUAUUUUAAUAUGUAUAUAUUAUUAUAUUUAUUUUAAUAUCCUAUUUAUAUUUAUCAUAAAUUAUUAGAGUUAAUUUUUUUAGUUAAUAAAUUUAAAAAAUAUUAUAAUUUAAAAAAAAGUCUUGUUGUCCGUUAUUCACGAUAUGAGGUUCUACAAAAUUAUUUCUCCAAACGGGUGUCCUUUUCUUUUUUUCAAAAGGAAAAACAAGUUCAGGGCCUCAGGGGUUUCAAAAAAUUCUGGUCCUAUAUACCACUAUGACUAAUGGGAAACGACAUUGCAAUUGACAUUGCUUUCCACAAUAUGAUAGAUUAUUGGAGGGAUAUGAGAGAAUUGUCAAACGUUCACACACGCGAGAGCUUUAGGUGGGAUAGGGGAGGAUUGUCAAGAGUUCACACCACGAUAAACUAAUGAUAGGCCUAAUUUUGUUGUCAGUUCUUUAUUUAUUUAUUUUAUGUAUAUCAUACAUUAUUGUAUUUUGUCAAGGUAUAAUAGUACAAGUAAAAUACUAGGGGUGCUGUUAAGUUACAACUUAUGUAACUUGCAAUUUUUUCAAAAAUUAUGUAAAAAAUUUAAUAGGUGGUGGAACCCACAUAUUUUUUAAGAGACUUAAGUUACAGCAGUUGUAACUUAACAAAAUCUAAAUAUUAGACAAUAAUGCAUAUAAUUUGGGUUUGAUUUUUAAAAGAUUAUUUGAGUACCACCUAUCCUUAUGAUAUUAAUGUGAUUAUAUCUUAAUAUUAAAUAAUCAAAAUUUGUUUAAUUAUUAUUUGUAUUUCAUACAUUACAUAUUAGAUUUGUUUGAAUUUUAAGUUGUUGCUAAUAAAUAUUUAUGUUGUCAAAGUCAAAGUCAAUAGCUACAAAAGUAGAGAUAAUGGUAUUGUAUAUAGUUUUUAAGAAUGCAAGGAUAAGCUGGAUAAUUGACAUAAAUUCUAAUGAUUAAAAGAGCAACUAUCCCUUAAGUUAUAAUGUCAAUUUCUUUAAUUAGAAUUUUUUUUUCAUGUGAUAUAACCUUAAUUGCUACAAUUUUUUUUAUAAUAAUAAUGGGAGUUAUAAAUUAUUUAUAUAAAAUUUGGGUUGAAACUAAUGUAACCUAAAAGUGGUUGCUGAAUAACAAUAUUUGAAACUUUAGGUAAUUUUCAUGAGUCCUUUUUAUAUUCAACAACUUGAAUUGGGGGAAAUCCGACUUGAAUUGGCGGUUGAUUUUGGUGAUGUGGCUUUCGGUUUACGCCGGCUUUACAGUGGCGGAAGACUGGAUUUACGGUUGCCGACUGCUAGGGAUUAUGGUGGUAGUGUAAAUUGACGGAAAAAGAAGGUGUUUUGGUGGCGGCGCGUCUAGGAAGCACUCGUGGGUUGUUGUUUCGUGUGGUGACAGCGGGCGGCGAUCAAGGGCUGAAGUUGGUCGGUUUUUGGUCAGCAGAGGCCGGCGAGUUUGUUGGUGGAGGUGGCUGGUGGAGAAAGUGGCUGAAUGGUGGUGGGUUGCUUGGUGGAGCCGCGGGUUUGGGUUGGUGAUUUGCGGCUGUUCAAGCGGUGGUUGAGGCAGCGAUGACUAAGGCUUGGUCGACGGUGGCUAGGGAGGUUUGUGGUGGUGUUGGCUGGCUGAUCGGCGGUGGUGGACGGCGGUGGAGGUUGAUGUGACAGGUAGGGUUUUCAAAUUUGUAAAUUUUUUUUUUGAUGGAUUUGGUUUGGAUAGGUAUGGUGUAUCUAGGAAAGAUGUGCGAUUCGCACAUAAUCAUUUUGAUACCAAUUGAUGGAGCGAGGCGUAGCGGAAGCAGAAUUGAUAGGGUAAGAAACAUUAGAUAUCGUUCUAGUACUAGACCAAGCCAACACGAUUAGUUUACGCUCUAAUUGAAGCGUGAUUAGAUAUCGUUAUAAUCCAAAUGACUCAGUGAGAUUUUUAAUAACGCGUAAUACGAGAUUAGAUGACACUCUAAUCCAAAUGACUCUACAAAAGAGAUUUUGAUAACUAAUCCUAGAGGAAAUUAUAAAAGAGGGGGUUUAUUUAAUAAUUGAACUUGAAGUUAUGAAAAUAAUGACAAGACAUCUUUAUUUUUUUUAUUACAGGCAUCUUUAUUUAUAAUAGAAGAAACCCGCUUUCCUAAGUUAACCUAAAAAGAAAAUUUAAAUCAUAAUUAUAAUGGAAAUAAAAGAUUAAGAUACAUACCAUAAUUAACUCAAACUAAAAUAGAAAAUCAUAAAAUAAUAAAUAUUCUAGAAUUAUAAAUUAUCUAAAAUAACGUUAAUUAACUUCCUAAAUCACUUCUUUGGUGUAAACCAUUUUGCAUCCAUCCUCGCUUUAAAGGUUUGAACCAACGUUACCAACAAUAAUGUAUCAAAGUCCAAUCUAACUUAAGAUCUUGAUACAUCUACCGAUGUCCUUGUUUGAUUAGACAAUAAUGAGUCUAUCUCAUCACUUGUUACCUCUUUCUUGAAGGCUGCAUCUGUUGAAGUGAUAGUCUCGCUUAGAGUUUAAAGAUCUUCUUCCAUGUUAAAUAAAAUGGGCAUUUGAUUAAAAAACUUUAUCUCUAUCUCCUUCUAUCAAAUAACGACAACUAUCCGAAGGAAAAAAAAAAUAGAAAAGUCCAUGGGUCACAAUAAUUUAUGGUCUGUCCCCGGACCCCAUUAUCUGCCACUAUCAAUGAUGAAAAUGAAAAUAAAUGGCAUCUUCCCAAAAUGGCGAAAGAUUUUUGGGGGAUAUGGGGGAAUUGUCAAAAGUUCACACAACGCGAAACAAGUGUUACAUCCAAUUUUAUUUCGUCAUAUAAUGAUAAUAUCAAAUAAUGACAACCAUCCAAAAGUAUGAUGGGUCUUCCAAAAUUUUGAAAAUGUCGUCAACAUUUAAUCUUCAAUGCUAAAGAAGAUGAAAUGACCAAAAAUGACACGCAUGACUCACUCACAGACUAAAUGGCUCUGACCACAUGUAACAAACUUUGAUCUUAUGUCCUUACUGAGGCGUUAGACUGUUGGUCAUUUUGAUUGCUUUUUACCUUCCAUUUAUGCCAUUGUAGCAUUAUACUAUUCACCAUUUUAGCUGUUUAAAUGAAAUUGUUAUUUUUUUUCCAAAAAUAAAAUGGCACCCUUAAAAUUUUAGAAAAUAGCCAUGUAGACCCCAAAAUUUUAAUAAAGAACACUAAUAUCCUUUUUUACUAUAGUACUCUUAGUAGAUGGUAACAAAAAAAAAAAUGACUGUAAAAGUUUUUACUAAAUGUAAAUAUGAUUUAAAUAUUUUAAUUUUUCUAGUAGACUAGUAUGUAUAAUUUAAAUAAUUAAUUUUUAAAAUGUAAUUUAAUAUAUUUAUUUUAAUAAUAUAUUUAUUAUAAAAAUUUUAAACAAAUCCUUGGGUUAAAUAGAUUUUAUAAUUAAUAUAAUAUUUCUCAUGUUUUAAUAAUAUUAAAAUUAUUUGAUAUGAUAUUGAAAAUAAUUAAAACUUUUAUAUAUUUAUUUGAAUAUUAUGUCUCUAUUUAUUAUAAUUUGGUUUAAUAGAAUCAAAUGAAAGUGUACAUGUACAAGAAGAAAGAACCAUACACCAAGUAAAACGUAAAAAGGAUUAAAUAAAUGACACCAAUCCCCGGCAACGGCGCCAAAAUUUGAUGGUUGUCGAAGCCAACAAAAAUAAAUUCCUACUCUAAAUAAAUUGUGUAUAGUGAUUGAGCAGGGUCGUGUCCACAGAGAUCGGUAAUUAUUUAAAUCCUUUUAAAACGUAAAACAUAAAAUGGGGGUUUUGUUGACAAUAAUAAAAAUCAAAUUAAAAUAACAAGAAUGCAAAUUAAAGUUGUAAUUCAAAUUAGAGAAAGCUCUGGUUGAAGGAAUUAACUCAGCUUGAUUCGACUACUGAUCAUUGAUUCAAAUAUAGAUUAUUAUUACUUAUUAAUAGACCGGUUAUAGCUAUUGAGACCCUCUAAUAGCCAAUUUGUCCUUAACUAGUCGAUAACCAAGGUACGACCGUCAGAUAUUUCCCUAAUCAACAGACAACCCUAGAUACGAUCAUAGGAUUUAAUCAAUUGACAGCCUGAAAAACCAGAGAGACCCAAAUCCUAAUCAACACAUAUGAUGAUUCAUUUAAAUUAGAUUGUUUAUUCUCAUAACACAACUCACUGCUAUGUUAUUUGUCACAAACAUUAAAAUCUUCAUACGAUGAAUCCUUUAAUUGACAAUAGAUUAAGUUGAUAAUUAAAUAGUGGCCAAUUACCUAAUUAACAAACAUAAUCAUGAAACUAAUUCAGAGAAUAAACAAAUACCCAAAAAGUAAUAAAACAAUUAAAGCAUAAGAAAGAUCUCACAGUAGUGAUGAAUCAAAGCUUCAUUAACCUUCAACCAGAAAAAUAAGUUUAGUUCUUCAUAGAGAGAAGAGAAAAAUUAGAUCUAGGGUUUUUUUCUUUUUCUCUCAUCCCCCUUUUUCACUAUAGAUUCCUCCCUUAAAUACUCUCUCUCUCUUCUCUUUUAGAGUUCUAAUUAAAAUAAAAUACUAAUAUCUGAAAUAUUAAAUUCGUAAUUACAAAAAUAACCAAAAAUACAAAACAUGUUAAACUAAAAACUACAGGUCCGCAGUUGACAGCACGCGCCCACGCCUUAUCAAGAAAGUUCUUCUGACUCUCUAAAUUUCUCCAAGAGAACAAUCAUCUUUAAACAUCAUCUUAUAACUCAAUUUUAUCACAAAUCAAUAGAAUUGCACCUACAAAAGUACAACACAAGUAAAUCAUUAUUAUUAAGUGCAAAACAUCGAUAUUAAGGGAAGUAGACAAUGCAAAACUAGUGCAUAAAUUGCACUCUAACAAGUUCACACCACGAGAAAUUAAUGAUAGGCCUAAUUUCGUUGUCAGUUCUUUAUUUGUUUAUUUUAUUGAUUUCAUACAUUAUUGUCUUGUUGGUACUAUUUUGUAAAGAUAUAAAAGUACAAGUAAAAUAUUAGGGGAAGUAAAAUAAAAUAUUGGAGGUGCUGCUAAGUUACAGCUGCUGUAACUUACAGUUCCUUCAAAAAUAAUGUAAAAAAUUUAACAUGUGGUGGGACCCACAUUAUGUUUGAAGAGGCCGUAAGUUAUAGCAGUUGUAAAUUAGUAAAAUCCAAAUAUUAGAUAACAAUACACAUUAACAAUGCAUAUAAUUUGGGUUUGAUUUUUAAAAAAAUUAUGUGAGUAUUACCUAUCCUUAAGAUAUUAAUGAGAAUAUAUUUUAAUAUUAAAUAAUCAAAAUCUGUUUAAUCAUAAUAUGUAAUUCAUACAUUGCAUGUUAGAUUUGUUUGGAUUUUAAGUUGUUGCUAAUAAAUAUUUAUGUUGUGAAAGUCGAAUUCAAUAGCUACAAAAGCAGAGAUAAUGGUAUUUUAUGUAGUUUUUAAGAAUACAAGGAUAAGACCAUAACGCAUGAGAUAAUGGUAUUUUAUAUUAAAAGACCAUAACACAUGUAUUUGAGCCAUUUAUAUUGAGGACACAUAUAGAGCGAAGAGUGCAGAUCCGGCCGUAACUAUUGUGAAGCUUUCCUCAAGUAUUCUCAUGCACGCAGACCUUAGCUGGUCAAGUUUUCUGAUUCAAUAUAAUCAAUUUCCGCGCAGUACUAACGACAGCUUCUUUGUAAAGCUCUUCAACCACAAGCAUUUCUACAAGGCAAAAGACUAGGACGUGUCAGAAUGAAUAUCAAUAAGGGAAUGUCUUAUGAAUUUAGUUUAUAUCCUAAUAUAAGACAAUCAAUAAAUAUUAGAUGCAAUCUAAGGGAAUGUCUUAUGAAUCCUGAUUGAUGGCCUCUCACAGUCAGUUAUAUGACAAAGUAGCCACCACAACAAACUUGAACUUGGCUGGAGGUCUCAUUAGCAGUAUACCUCAGAAAUUAAGACAAAGACUUUAAAAUGCAAACUUAUGGAGCAAUUUAAGCACUGAAACUAAUAACAGUACUGUAUUAGCAAUUGACCUCUGCUUUUUUCUUGGACAAAGGUUCUCAUCACAAGGGACUCAUUAGUUGCCCUUGCCUCAAACGUUUGGAUGCUAAGGGGAAAAAGGAAGUUUGAAUUAGUCAAUCUCAUUUCUAAUGGCAUUCACAGAGAACCUAUAAAACAAAAAAAUUAUAAAAAAAAAAAUCAUCCAUAAUUCGCCAAACCGAAAAGAAAAACAGGGGAAUGAAAAGAGAGCCCACGGGAAUGAAGAGAUCAGCUCUUGUCGCGAAAAUGCAGUCGACUGUAACUAUAUCCGGGUCCCUAGUACUUAGAAGUAAAUGCUCUUGGAAUUUCUAUUAUAGAUUGAUGUUUCCCGUUCAAAUAGCUCUUCCGAUACCAUUAACAUGUUCAUCUCUCUAUAGAUUGAUGUUGACAUAGAUGUUAUUCUACUUUUGCUAGUGGAGUUUUCCUUGUACAGGUAUGUAUGAUUGUUUUUUUUGCACUUCUAAAUGGACACUGUUGAAAAGCUUAAAAUUGAACUGAUAAUUUUGUUUGGAAGCUCAGAAAAUUCAUGAGAAAGUGAAAUAGAAUAUUCUGGAUUUCUUUUCUUUCCAUAAUAUACAAAUGACAAACGUAGCAGUAUUUAUACUCGUUGCUUACAUCAUAAAAACAGAAUUAAAACAAGGUACACAACUAUAACAGAAUCAAAAGCGUGCUUAACUAAUUGGCAGAGCUGGCAUAUACUUCUUUAACUAACAAUGCUGCUGACUGGACUUUAGCUCACACAUGCUUAUCGUGCAGCUACUCUUAGUUCACACGUGCUCAGUCUGCUGUUGGCCCAAAGUUGGAACCAGAGAUAUCAUGACUCUGGUUUCAUUUCACCUCAACUGUGUUUUUUUUUUUAAAUUAAAAAAAUCAUUUGUUUUAGGUAUACAUACAUGUAUUUUGAUUCUAUUUUCAUUGUAAUUUCUCAUUUACUUUGAAUGAAAGUCAUUGGUGUUUUCGAAUGGGAAUUUUGCAUUAAAAAAUGAAGAAUAGUGAUUUUUGGAGUGUAAUUAGUAGUAAAGUUGGUUUUUACUCGCAAACAAGUGAACUGCUCGAUUCCCGAGUGGUAUCAACCAGUUUCCAACUUUUUAAUAUACACUAAUUGUUAUUGUUUAAUAGCUACUACUAUUAAAACUCGACAUCUAACAAAAAUACUUAAAAAAAAUGAUUUUUCUUAUGAUGCUGUAAAAAAAAAUUACGGGUUUACUUCUUUCCAUGAGAUCUAUAACAUGGUCUUGACUUCACGAAAUUCUUUUAAUUUAAAGCUUGCUGGUGUGAGAAGGUCAGUUUGACUGAUUAAUUCUUUUUAACAGUGGUCGAGAUAAUUUUACUAUCUAAUCGAAUGUUAUGCUGUUUUCUUUUUCUAAUCUGGUGUGAGAUAAUUAAUUCUUUUUCACAAAUGCUAUGCUGUUUUCUUAGGCUAAGGAUCUUCUAUCAGGAGAGGUUAGAAAUUCAAUGCUUAAAAGAGAAUAAUACAGAAAUUUAGGCAGAAUCUAAUCGAAUAUUGCAUGAAACAUGAAAAAUCAAUUCAAGUCCUUUCUUUAAACGGAGAAUGCAUCAAACAAAAUCCAAAGUGUCUUGCACGUCUGUAGCAUGAGCAAAAAAUUGUAAAUAUGUAGAACCAAAUUAUUCAAGUACAGAAGAACGAGCAAGCUAAAUCAUGUAUAAGAGAUUGGCCUGGUUCGGGAUAGCUUCUUCACUGUACCUGAAGGAUUGGCUCAAUCUCUUCUUUAGAAUUCUGCAGAUUUUGUAAUUACUCGUGUAAGCAAGCAUACAUUGCCACCAUAAGAAUAAUAAAGCUAGAGUAAUGAUAUGACCACCACCUCUUGUGCACAAACAAUAUUGUAUAAACUAAUGCGACAUAAUAUGAUUGGUUAAACAAAAACAUUACAUGGCCCUCAUAAUUUAUUUAUUUAUUUAUUUAUUUAUUAUUAUAUUUUUUCAGUAAACCAAUCAUAUUAUAUCACAUUAGUUUCUAUAAAAUAAUUUGCUAAAUAGCACCAAAACUUAAUUGAUACUCACCAUUUCAUUGAACAAUUUUUUUAUGGUGUCAUUGAGAUUGCCUUCCCAACAUCCUUCAUCAUCAUCAUCUUCAUCAUCAUCAUCAUCUUCUUCAUCAUCAUCUUCUUCAUCAUCAUCUUUUUCUUCUUCUGUGACGUUCACUUUGUUUAGCAUUGGUGUGUCUAAGACUCCUUGAGAGAAGAUCUUCAUUUUUGGACACUGUCUCACAACUACUGGUUUCAAGGACGGGAAUUCAAGAGCGUAAUUACCCGAACAAAAGCUUGUUAGGCUUGGCAAACAAUCAAGUCCCAAGUACUCCAAUUCCUCGAAGACAACGCAACCUUUCGCUUCUUCUCCAACCUGCAAUUGUAUGAUUUGUUCUAUCAUUUUGCAAUCAGCUAUCUUCAUUCUUUGAAGAGUCACUAGACUUUCAGAUGUUGAGAGCGUCAAUAAAUUUAUCAACCCAUGACACUUCGAUACUUCCAGAGUCGCAAGAUUUUCCAAAUGCCACGAAGCUGGUACUAAUUUCUGCAACUUACUACAUUCAAAUAUUUCUGGACUUUUCAAGUUUGCAAACACUUUGUUGGAUUUGGCAUUUUCCUUCCAGAGAUGCUGCACUUUGUGUAAUCCAGAUAGCUUUAACUUCAUCAAUUGAGGGAAUGCAACCUGAAAAUCAACAAAAUUAAGUUGUAAAUGAAAAUAUGUAUCCAAUCUCUGCAGUCUUCCCCUGCAUAUUUUAUGAACAAGAUUAAUCACGACAUUUUAUAUUUUAUUUCCAAAUUAGUAUGCUUUGCAGUAGGAUCCCAAAUAUAAGUAUCAAAUCGAUUACCCUUUGAAACACAUAAAUGAAAUCUGAUGCUAAAUCCAAUAUGAAUUAGCUAGGAAAACAGAGAUGUAACACGCAUAAUCGAUAUAGUUCAUCGCCUUAUGUCACCAGGCAUCUAAUUAAUUUAAGACAUUUUUAUAAUUCAUACUAUAAAGUUAGUUAAUAACAGAGGUUAUAUUGUUAAAUCAGAUAUAAAUUAAGACGACCUGCAAAAAGAUGAGUCAUUAAGUUUGAUUUGAUUCUAAUGAAAUUACAUCUGUGCGAACGAAAGUGAAGGCAAUAAUAAUAAUAAUAAUAAUAAUCACCUUUUCAUCGAAGAGGGGUUGUACUUGAUGAGCCAGCAAGAAGUUCUCUUCUGAUGUUAAUUUUUGAGGUUUCUUGUUAUCUGUUGUCACGUGCACUAAAGAGUUGGAUAUGAAUGUUUCCAUAUCAGGGCAAUUCUCAAUAGUUAGAUUCUCCAACUCAAGCAUUUCAAUUAUAUUCCCAGUGAAGUUGCAGAAUCUUUUGAGUUUUGGAAGGUCAAUGAGCCUUAGCUCGAAAAGCUUAGGAAACAGGGGACCUAUAUGUUCUUUGUCAGCAUUUAGCACUUCCAAAUGAAGCACCUCUUCCAGUGAAUCACAAUUCCUCACUUCCAACCAUUCCAAAUUGUUCAAGCACCGUAGCAGAUUGGCAGGAAUAGCACUCGACAUAUUCGUGCAGUCAUCCACCACCAGGUGUCUUAAAUUGUUGAAGAAGCUGACAGGCAGUGCUUGGCCAUGCGAUAUUUCUUUCAAACGUGGAAAAUGUGAGAAUUGCAAAAACUCCAUGUCACGAAAUCCAAUCUGCUCAAACCAAAACAAUUGCACUGGAUAUAUACAAUUUUUUUUUUGAAAGGCAUUAGAUAUAUAUAUAUACAUUAAACUUACAUGUUUUGUGUUUUAACUUCUAAAAAUAUAUUUAAAUGUGCAAGUGCAGGGGAGAUGCAUGAACAAUUUGGAUGAAUCGAUUAACACAUACCAUUUCUUCGUAACACUUUUGUAUAGUGGAAUUAAGCUUAUUGCCUUCCCAAUGGUGCAGUUCACCCCCUUCCUUUUCAGUCACUUGCACUUUGCAUGGCUUUGGAAUGGAUAAGAUUCCCUGAGAAAAAGUCUUCAUGUUUGGACAACGUAUCAUAGAAACUCGUUCCAAUGAUGGGAAUUCAAGAGUGUAAUUCUCCAAACAAAAGCUGGUAAGCCUUCGUAAAUCAUCAAGUAUCAAAACUUUUAAUUCGCUGAAAGCAAUACGAUUCUCCUUCGCUUCUUCUCCAACAUGUCCUACGAUUUCUUCUAAUUCUUUGCAAUCCGAUACUUUAAGAUUCACCAGACUACUAGGAAUUCCAACCUGAAAAUAAGCAAAAGUGUGCGCAUGUGUGGUGUAUUAAAAAAGUAUGUUAAUCAUACAAUUAUGCAUUUUAUAAACAUAACAAACCAUGAAAUGUCUACUAGAUAAUUUUUUGUUAAACAAAAACGGAACAAGAUAAAUAAAUAAAUAAAAUCCAGAUAAACAAAGAUAAUAAAAAUACAUUUACACUAUUUAGUAUUAGAAACGUAGAAAUAAUUUAAGGCAAUUUCUAAAUAUUUUAGACUUAUUUUGCAUCUUGAUAUCAGUUUUUAAGCAUAAAUUUGCAAAUUUCAACUAUUCCUUCUUUUUUUUUUAAAAAAAAAGGGACCAUUUUCCUUGGUCCCUUUUUUUUAUGUAUAUUUAAAAAUGGAAAAAAAAAUUUGGAAAAGACUUCCCAAUACUGUCAACGAGGGACUGCUGUAAAGUGGAUCUUUAUUAAGUACUUCCAGACUAGAGGAAAUUUCUUUACAAUCAAGGGUCAGUUGUAAAUAAUCAUGAAUUUGUGGUUAAUUAAUGGCAUAAUCAAUUCGUAACUAAACUAGAGAUAUUAAUUAAAUUUGAAGACUUUUAUUUUCUUUUUUUCUUUUUCCAAUCGAAAUGUGAAGAAUUAAGGAAAAGAGAAAUAUAUAGAUGAAUUCGUGAACCUAUAAGAUGAGUGACGAUCCUUUAAUUUUUGAAAAUCGUACUUAUUAAGAUAUGAGCAAAAACUAUUUAAUUGAAUUAUAUUAUGCUGUUGAAUCGUGUUUAAAAAAUUUAUAUUGUUGAUUCUAAUGCUGACGAACCUAAGAUACUUGAAAUAAAUAAUCAGUUUGCUGGCUGAAUAUCAUUUGUAAACAAAAAAUGGUUAAAAUAUUGUUGGAUGUAAUUUGAAAAAAAAAAGAUUCGAAAUGAAUACAGCAACCUUACCAAUGGAGGAAAAAUAUUCAUUAGGUUAUCACACCCAAUUAUCUCCAAAUUCUUCAAUUUGCUGAAAGACUCCGAAGCAAGCUGGUGGUGCCAUAUUUUUCUCAAAUUAUCCAUCAACCUAAUACGUAAUACCUCCAACCUAGUAAGUCGUACCUGGCAGUUAAAGAUUAAAUAACUAAUUAAUCAAUUAAUGGCAUAAUCAAUUGAUAACUAAAUUAGAGGCGGAUAUUAACUAAAUUUGAAGACUCAAGGAAAAGACAAAUUAAAUAUUGUGACUAAAAUUAAAUUUUUUUAUUAAAAAAAAAACCUUUUUGUCAAAGAGAGGAGGAGGUUGCAUUUCAGAAUGAAUGGUGUCUUCUGGUGAGCUCGUAGAGAUGAAUCUCGACAUACUGUUGCACCAACUAAUCUCGAGGUUUAGCAAAGAAGGGAAUUCAACAACUAAAUCUGAAUGAAUAUGUCCCGUAUUGGCAAAGCUUGUUAGUUCUGGAAGAAAAUGGAGCUUGAGGGAGUGUAGUUUAGGAAAAACCUUUAAUUCAAUCAACUUUCCUUCUUCUCUUUCUGACCACCCCGUGGUGUCGACCACCCCUUCCAUUGACUCACAAGACCGUAUUUCAAGAUGUUGGAGUUGCAAAAGACUAUUAACCAUAGAAUACGAAAACAGAUACUUCAUACGAUGACAACUGCUCACGUACAGCUUUGUUAAAUUUUGACAACAGUACAUUCCUUGAUUAUGAUCGGCCCAUAAUUUUUUCAUGUUUCUUAAGUCCCUGAGAUUCAAUUCCUCUAACCUCGGAAGAAUAACCUGCAAAGAAAACCCGUACAUUUUUGUUCCUUCAAGUACAACCGUCUAGUAUAAUAUUCUUUUGAUGAUCGAAGAUUAAUCGUGAUAAUAAAUUAAUCAAUUAAUUAUUGAACAGAAAAUUAUCACCUUUGGAGCAGUAUCAUCAUCAGCAAUGAUUUCGUUGAAUCCCAAAGAAGUUGUUGGUUUCUCCCUGUCGGGUCCUAUAAACAAACAAAAACAAUAUAUACAUAAUUAAUCUUUGUUGUUUUUUUUUUUCCAAAAUAAUUGAGGAGAAGUCCAUAAUCCCACCAAUACUUAACUUCAACACUCACCAAAAAUCAUUUCCAGAUCACCGCAAAGAGCCACUUCUACCUUUUGAAGCCGCAGUAGGUUUUUGGCCAUGGAGAAUGAGAAAAGAUGCUUCAAUUUGUGACAGGCUUCUACUUCUAUAAUCCUUAAGUUGCUGAAAGAUUGAUCUUCUGUGAGUUGGCUGUCACAUAUUGUCUCCAAAUUGUUCAAAUAGCUAAGAGACAAUGACUCCAGCAAGGGAAAGACUGUACAAUGAACCCGUCCAACUGAACCGACAAUAUGCAAAAUCUCAGAACAACUUUCUACCCAAAGAUGCUUCAAUCGUGGAAAACCUUCCCCAUCAUCUAAUUCAUGAACAACAUUCUGAACACCCUUCAGUUCGUUUAGAUGGAUCUCUUCAGCUUCCUUCAGCAACAUUUUCGUCCCAUAAUUCUCCAAAAGAGUGCUAACAUUUUCUAGCCCAUCGAGCUCCACCAUUCUUGAUGUUUUAGAAUUAACGCCUCACAUGCGCCACGCUUCUCCUAUACAUAUCUUAUAUCUUUGCAAUUCCACAGAGACCAAAUCCUGCGGUAGAAUUUCGGCAUCCCGAACGUGUAUCUCCAAGGUAGUUAGCUUUGACAACCCCUUCAAUUCAGCAAGACUGGCGUUACUUCCUCCUUCAACCUUAUCCCACUGCGAAAAGCUGUCACCCAUAUAUAGUUCUUCCAAUCGUGAAAAUUUUGAUAUGACAUUUGGUGCUAUCACUACAAGGCUCCUACAAUUGCUCAAAUCUAGCAAUUGUAACCGCGUCAAUUGACCGAUUUCAAGUGGUAACUGCUUAAUGUCGGAAUAUCGAAAGCUAAGAAUCUCUAAUUUCUUUAGCUGUCCAAUUGCCGCUACAUCUUCUUGUUGGCACCAGUCUAAACACAAUGUUUGAAGGUUAAUGAGGCGACCUAGUGACGAAAGUAAUGAAGAGAAAUGAAUUCCAGUAAAAUCUAAAACUUUGAGUUCUUCUGUCCCUUCAAAAAAGAGGUCUGAAACUUGCAUAGGGCCAUUACCCUCCGUAUACAACAAAAAUAACUGGAGAUUGGGACAUCCCAACCUUUCGGGAAGCUCUUGAAUAUCUCUAUAAGGUAAAGAAAUAGCAAUUGGACCUUUCUGUAUUGUCUCUUCCAUCUUUUUCUCCACGUCAGCAACAUUUGGAAUAUUAAACAUGCGCUUCUCUGCUGCAAUUGAUACAGCAACAACAUGAAUGACGUCAUGCAUUUUAACUUCAUCUUUGGCAUCACCGUCCAACAAUAAGCAUGAAGAUUUGAGAUUGUCGAUCAACCGAUGCACUCUACUCCUUGCUUCUUCCAAUGUGUAAACAUUUUCAAACAAACCCCAACCCACACCAUGUCUCAAUAAGUCAGAAACGGGUAUGACAUUACCUUCACUGUAUAGACCACAAAGACGGAACAGAGAUUUUGCCUCCUCACUUUCCAAGAAUUCAUAACUCAAUUUUAUGGAGGUGUACACAUUUGCUUGCAUGCCAUGAAUUUCUCUUGCAUCCGAUCUUCUUAGCUGAUUCAAUGCAUCUUGCCAAAAGUAACGCUCCUUAGUUUUCAGAGCAUUUGCAACUGUACUCAGUGCAACAGGCAAACCUCCGCAUCUUUCAACGAUCUCAUUUGCUAUACUUUGAAAAGCAGAUAUUUUAGUUGAAUCACCCACUAUCUUCUCAAAUAACUGCAAUGCUUCUUUUCGUGGCAAAGCAUCGAUCGGGAAAUUUUUCUGAGAAUUCAUAUCAAUGCUCAAUAAAUCUUGCUUUCUAGACGUCAAUAUUAUUGUGCAUCUUCUCUGAUCAUCCUUUCUAUCUUUCUCAGCAACAUCUCCAGAAGGGAUUCCAACCGCAUCCAACUCAAGUCUUGUCCAAAUAUUAUCCAAUAUAAUGAGGACCCGCUUCUCUUUCUUCAAUACUCGACGUAGUCGAUUUGCUCUGUCGAAUAUAUUCUCAUUCAACUCAAACUUUAUGCCUAAAUCUGAAGCGAGUUUGUUUUGAAUUUGCUGAUUAUCUGAUUCAUGUGUUAGCUCAGCCAUAACGACCUUAUCGAACAACUUAUCUUCCAUCACUUGCUUUCUAACUUGCCUGACUAGCGUGGUUUUACCCACGCCGCCCAUGCCGUAGACCCCAAUUAUGUUGAGCUUAUCAUCCUUCAACGCCUCCAUAACAUCCUGUAAUACUUUCUUUCUUGAAUCAAAGGCCUCGUUAUCUUUCCCGCCCCUAGGUGAUUCGCUCUCUGGAGGAGGAUCGUAGGAAACAUCACUCUUCAGUUUGUCGCCUUUUUCCAUGAGAUUAGCAGCAUCUUUUGCGGCCUUUGCUGCUCGUUUACUGAGUUUGUAACGAGACAACAAAUUUGGACACAAUCCUUUGAAGCAGGACUUCUUGGCUCCAUCUUCUUCGUCAAUGAUAGAUUUUGCAACCCCCUCCGUAGAUUCAACCCUACUUCGCCAGUCUUUGACACGCUGAUAAAUCUCUUCCCCUUGUCGGGUAGCAUGAUAAACAUGUUGUUGCACCAUUUCGUUUAUACCUCCCAACUCCUUCACUUGAUCUUUCAGCUCUUCUAUGUAGCUCUGGUACUUGAACACAUAAGAGAUCUGCCGCAUAAUCGGUUCGAACAAUGCCUUUGUGCCUUCUGAUAUAAUGCUUGAAAAAACACCUUGACAGAAUUCUACAGCCAUUGCCUGCUGCUUAACGAUAUAUAUGUAGUUUUUGGCUGUUAAAAAAAAAAAAAUUGGAUUCAAAUAAAUUAAAUGAACUAGAGGGGAAGAAAAAGAAAGAAACGACAACAAACAACUUUUUAGAGAAAGGUUUGACAGGCCUAAAUGGAAAACCAACAACUUUUUGAAGAAAGAAAACUUUGGAAGAUAGAUGCAAAUUAACCGUUGAUAAUAAUACUACAUUAAGAACACAGAAGUUAACAAUAAACAGUAACUUAAAACUCAAGAAAAUUAAAUGACGAGAUUAAGACAAACAAGGGAUAGUUUUUGUUGGACAUUAAGAAACAACUGCUAUCAAGAUCAAGGAUUAGAAAUUAUGCUAUUAAAAGAAGUUAUUAAAGGAUAGUGCUCGUGACUGCAGGAAAAUUUCUAAUGGAAACAACUCAAUUUCAGAAGAAUUUAUCCAAUUGACUCUGUACUUGAACUCGUUGGAUUGGUUGAUUUAUGAUUGACUGAAUUUCAAUUCGGCCCAAAAGAUCUUUAACCAAAGUUUAAUAGCUAUCAUCUACUCCUUAAAAGCAAAUGUGUAUCUUUUUUAGAUUUGACUGAAUUUGAUCUUGUUGGAUUGGUUUUUUUUUAGACAAAGUUGUUUUCCUACUGAUUUUUAUUCUUCAAGUAAACUUAGAUACAAAGUAAAUCUAAAAAAAUGACAAACAAACAAUGAAAUAAACGACAACAAACUGGCAAUUUUGAUACAAAGCCAACAAAUAUUAAAAUUUAGAACAUUUUGUUUUCUUGCUUUCUUUUGUUGGAGGAUUAGAGAUUUUGGUAUUACCCGAAAGGUUUCAAGGGUCUGAGUAGAAACCUAUAAUCUUUUUAAAAACUUUUUUUUAAAAAAUUUUUUUUGGGGAAAAGGAUGCAAAUUAACCAAAGGAAAUAAUAAGAGCACAGGCUUUAUCAAUGAACAAAAACUUAAAACUCAUGCAAAAUAAUUCAAUAUUAAAACAAAUCACUGAGGAAUAUUUAAGAACAACUUGAAAGAGCAAAAAGAUCACUGAGGAAUGUGUGAGAAAAGAGUUGACGAGAGAAAUAACAAUGACUUGCAGAAGAAAAACCAUUAAUAAUUAUGUGCAUUUUUAUUUUAUUUUUAUCCGCAUGCACUUUAAUGAUUAGUGCUCCUUUCAUAAAGCAGCUACCGGAAACACACAAAUAUCAUUUGAGAGAGAAACUAAACAGCAAAUCAUCAAAGUAAGAUCAAUAAUAUAUUAUUUGGUUAAUGCAUAUUCAAGAACAAAAACAAAAAUAAAUAAAUAAAUAAAGAAGGUUUGAUUUUGUAUUGCCAACGCUGCUUUUUUGUUAUUUCAUUUGUUCUUUCCACAAAUGAUGCUUGGUUAUAAUUAAGUUUCACAUGGCCAUUACUUACAAACUGUGUUUGUGUUAACAGAAACAUGAAAUUCACAUCACACAAAAUUGCACUAUCAAUUCUUAAUAGAACAUAAUAAUAAUUACUCAACGCAUAAGGGUAAAUUUAGAAUUACAUUUUCUCAAUGCAGAAGGGUAAAUUUAGAAUUACAUUUUCUGAUUCUUUUUUAUUUAAUAAAACCCCAAUGGAAAAUCAUAAAAAUUUAGAUAUAUAAAUUUUCUCCACCAAACAAGAAAAAAAAAGGGGGAAUGAAAACACAGGAUUUAUUUUACCUCUCUUUCAUCUUAACUCUUUUUCAGGCAAACCAAAACAAAAAAAUUUCAAUAAAGAGCUAGUUGUUGAAAUUGAUUUAUCUUGUUUUUCAGGCUAUCUUGUGACGUGACGAUAGAUAAUGCUCGUGAAUGCUAGAAAAUUUCUAAUGCAAACAACUCAAUUUGGGAUGAUAAGCUUAAUUUUGCAAAUGACGAAUGUAAAUAACUUGUUUUGAUUAAUUGAAUUUGUAAUACUCUUACCCUAUUCUAAAAUUUGGAGGUUGCUUGAGAAAAAAGGGUAUUUCUCACUCAUCUUCAAUCCUCAAGUAAAAUUAGGUAAAAAUCAAAUCUAAAAAAUCACAAACAAAUUAACAAAAAAAAAAAAAAAAACAACAACAUUGAUCUUGAGACAAGUGAUAUUUAAACAGAGAAUUCUUUAUUCUUUUUUACUUCCCCCUCCCCCCCCGGGGGGCUCGAGGAUUAAAGUCUUGCUAUUAACAGAGAGGUUUUAAGAGUCUGGAUAAAACCCGUGCUUUUUUAAAAAACCACUUUUUUUUUUCUUUUCUCUUUUUUUUGGGAAGAUAGAUUCAAAUUAACCAAAGCUAGUAAUAAGAGCACAUACCUUACAAAUGAACAAUAACUUACAACUCAAGCAACAUAAAUGAUAAGAUUAAAACAAACCGGAGAAAUUUUUCUUGGAAAAUAGACGGAAAUUAAAUAAGAACUGCUGUUAAAAGAAAUUAUUAGAGGAUUUAGGAGCAUGUGUACCUCUUUAAUUAUUUGGGAUCAGAGAGUUGAUGAGCUCUCUAUUCGCCUUUAAUAUUGAGUAAGAACUGGUAUUAAAAGAAAUUAUUAAGAACAAUAUUUCAGUGAGCAAAAGAUCACUGUUAACUGCAGAGGAAUUUGCGAGUAAAAAUUAAGCUGAAAAGAGCAGUAACAAUGAAUUGCAAAAGAAGGAGACUUAAUCAAGCACCCCUUUUAUACCCGAUUUUUAAGAUUUAAUUUUGAAGUUCCCAAUCAAGAACAAAGACGAAGCUUUAAUGAAGCAUGCAGUGAGAUACAAGAAAUGGAUCGGGCAAAAUACCUUACGAAGCGUUUCAUAUUUUCUAAUGAAAUAAUUAAGUUGAAGUUUUCGACGAAUAAAUACUUGUUGUGCUUGAAUAAUUUUGGCAUAUACAUUACUUGUAUCCGGCGAAAUUGAAAAGCACAUUCAUUUACAGAGCUUGUUAGUAGGGAAAAGCUUCGUAAGAUGCCUGAUAAAAGAUAAAGCAAAAGCUUGAAUGAAGAAUGACAUUUUAGAAAGAAACUAAAGUGCAAUCAUCAAAGUAGGAUCAAUAGUGACUUGAUCAGUUAUGCUUUUUGUUAUUUCAAUUGUUCUGUCCACAAAUGAUGCUUCGUUAUUACUAAUUCCACAUGGACAUUAUUUAGAAACUGAUCUUAUGUUUAACAGAAAAAUAAAAACUCGUCAUCAUAAGCAUUCUUGGUUGUCCUAAACCAGAAGUAGGUGUUUUGCCUGAAAGUACCACUUUGCUAGCAAAUCUAGUGGGUAUACUGAAUAAAUUUUUACAUUAUUCUAUUUGAUCUCUCUGUCUUUAUCCUAAGCAUUCUUGGUUGGGAUCGCUGCAUUGUCCUGUAAUCUGUGUGACUUAGUGAAAAGAGGAAUGGGUAACUGUGGUUAUGGGUACGUGAGAGGUAACGAUGAGGGUAGAUUGUUAAUUUUGAGGAGCGAUUUGCUUGCAUAAUUCAAUGCAUGGACAGAAAUGUCCCUGACCAAAAAAAGGGACCAUCCAUAUCUGAAUCUGAGCAUCAGAGCUUGACUUAUUUGAUAAAUAGAUAUACUUGAACUGUUUUUGCAUAAUAACUAAAAUAUUUAUUUUUAUAUAUUCGAUAAACGAGCUCACUAUUGAUAGAACUUAUUAGAUACUACAACUCAAAUAACUUCUUGUGCUUGAUUGAGGUUUUUAUAUAUUCGUAUGUUUGAGUUUUUUUUUUUUUUUUACUUUCUAAGAAUUAACUUCUACCUUGAUUCUAAAAAAAAAUAUAUAAUUUUACAAAUAAUUUAGUUCGGCAUUUGGUAAAUGAUAACUAUUUGAGAAUAAGUUUUAAAAUGGUUUACUGUACAAAUCUGGUAAAUGAAAAUUAAAAGUGUAAAAUGUUCACAUAAUGAAAAUUAAAAGUGUAAAAUGUUCACUUGCAAUGACAACAAAUACUUAUUUACUUAUUUGUAAUUUAUUUUGAAUAUUAUUGUUUAAAUCAUUUUUUUUACUUACCAGAUUUUUUAAGAGCAUUCUAUUUUCUUUAUUACAUAGUUAAAUAAUUUUUUAUUAGCUAUUUUAUUUUGCAAUAAAAUUAACUUCAAUAUUUUUUUAACUAAAAAUUUUGUUAUGUAGUUCGUGAUAUAACAAAUACUAACAUAUCAUUAAAUUGAUUAAUAAAUUAAGUGCAAAAAAGAAAAUGCAGAAAUUUAAUCUUUAUAUAAACUUUUAUGUACAUAAAAUCAUUGUAAUCAAACUAGUUCAUAGAAAUAUAAUAUUAUAUACAUGUGUGUAAAAAAAACAUAUGACCAUAAUAUUAUCCACUCAUUAAACUUGCUGCACUAUUAUUUCUCAAUCUCUCCAUCUCUCGACCUUCAAGAACAUUACUACCAUAAUCUUCUUCUUGAAUUCAACCUCCAUUUCCUCAUCAUCAACAAUGCGACCAAUUUGCCUUGAUAGCCUUUCAACUCCUCCCACUUUCCUCCCUUUUUGCAGACACUCUUUUUCUUUUUCUUUUUCUUCUUUAAUAGCUUCAAUGGGAACAACCUCAUCUAACGACAAGUCCAUUCUUCAACUAGAAUAGAGUUGGUAGUAGAUAUUUUAGUACUCUCAAACUAUGCCCAAACAGGGUCACCAAUGAUUGUCGUAUUAAAAGACAUUCUAUUUAAUUUUCCUCUAACUCUGGGUCGAUACCUUUUAUGCAAAAUCUAUUUACUUCAGGAAUUUUCUACACAUGUCGAUAGCAUAUUAAAGUGAAUUCAGAUCCUAUAUUAUUGACAUUAAAAUUUAGCCGAAUAGUAAAAAAUUUCCCUUUUUGUUUGUCACACAGCCAUAUAGUCCCAUUUUUGGUUAUAAGCUCACAAUAUGCAAGGGAAAUGAAGAUCUAUUAAAACUUCCCCAUAAUGUUCAUUUUGUUGCUCGGAGGAAUAUAACUACCUAUUAAUUAAUUAGCAAGAAUUGCGUUGCGAGUCCAUGUUUUUGUCGUUUGGAUGGAGGAUGUGCUAUCUUUUUGUUGUAGAUGCUUUGUAAGGCUUUUGAUUUAAUGAUUUAAUGCAGUCAAUUAACAAAAGCUUACAUAUAGUAUUAUGUAGUUGCUGAGAUGUCUGUUCUUGAUAAAGUCGAUUUAUUUACACCCAAGCCAACGGAAUCAAAGCCUUUUCGUUAAUAAUAUACACGGUAAUUGUUUUUGUUAAAUUGAUUUCUAGCUAACAAGAUCUUUGAAAGCAUUUAGGUAGCGUUUACAUUUUAUGUUGGAGUGAGAAUCAUGAGGAGUGAGAAUCCUGGGAUUAGAAGUGUGGAGUGGGAGUCGAAGUAUGUUGUUUACUUACACUGGAAUGGAAGUAUGGAAUUGAAAUCAGAAUCCAAUUUAUUUGUUUACAUUGUCUUGGAUUGGGAGUAAAUGAUUUUAAAUUACAACUUUACUCUUAAAAAAUUAUAGUUAUUACUUACAAAAUUAAUAAAAAUUAUAUUUAAAAAAUAAAAUAUUUAUUUUAUUAUAUUUUUAAAAUAAUAAUAAUAAUUAAUAUUCUUAACUAUGUAAAUCAAAAUUAUUUUAUUAAUUUAAAUUUAAAUUAUAUAAAUAAAAAAUUAUUAAUAACAACAACACAAAUGAAACAUUAUUAUUGUACAAAAUUGAUUUUUAGAAUAAAAUAUUUAUUAUUAUUAAUCACUAAUAUUAAAUAAAUAUAAUAGUAUUAUUUUUAAAUAAGUAUAAUAAUAUUAUAUUUUCAAAUAAAAAUAGAAUAUAGUAAUAUUAUUAAUUCUUUAUGAAUAUAAUAAUAUAAUUUUUAAGUAAUUUUAAAUUAGAAUCAAUAUAAAUUAUUAUUUUUAACCAAAAAAUUAAUAUUAUUUUCAAUAUGUUUAAUAUUAUUAUUUUUAAUAAAUGUAAUUUAUAAAAUAAUAUAAUAAUUUAAUUUAAAUAAAUAUGAUAUUAUUUAUUUUAUUUUAUUAAAUAUAAAGGUAAAAAAUGAAGAGAGGCGAGUGAAUUCCCACUCCCACCUUGCCCCAUGAGAGUGGGAAUCCCAUUCAGUCACUCCAAAGUUAGGUGGGAUCCACAGAGUGGAAUUCUCACUCUCCCUUUGAAAAUUGUAAGUAAACACUAGAGUAAAAGAAAUCCACACUCCUCACUCUCACUCCAAAAAGUACACACUACAUUGAAGAAGCCAUUGACUCAUAAGAAAGCCAUGAUUAAAUACAAGGCGAAGCAUGUGAGCUCGUUUUUCAAUCUCUUUGAUCACUCAUAAGUUUUUCUAUACCACUCACUAUAUCAUCCUUUUAAGUCAAUUUUGACUGAUCAUCAGAGAUCAUGCACCCCACCUUGAGAUGAUUGAUCACCAAUUUGGCAUUGUAACAUUGAUCACCUCUAAUUGGCCAAGCUAAAAUUGGGACCCCAAAACCAAUUGCUUCUACAGUUGAAUUUUAUCCACAGUGAGAUAAAAAUCCACCUGUUAAUUGAUAACUCAGUAUCAAUAAUUGUGGUGCCAUUCCAUCUAUUAUCAAACCCUUUUUACUGGCUCUACUAUCUAAACCACUACGAAAAUAAGCUGGUUAAAUGACGUAGAGGAUCCAAUCUAUUUACAUAAGUUUGAAUUACCUAAAUAAUCGGUGGAUUUGAUGCUUAUAAAUCAGAGGGAAUUGCAGCAGAUACACCUUCAUACUUUAAAAAUUACCUCAAUACCUUAAAAUUUGAUUUUUCCAAAAUUUUCAUCAAUAUCCUUUAAAAGCUGAUAGGAAAUGACUAAGUUAUCCUCGUUUUAAAACACUUCAACUCAACUGGCAGCACCUCUCCCUCCCUCUACUCAAACAAACAAACACUCAUAUAUGCUACAAUUCCCUCCACUACCUUUACUCAAACAAACAAACAUUCAUUCUCCAUACAUGCUAAAUCGAACUUCAACACGAGCAAAUUGAGCUGAGAAAGGGAAGCUGCUACAACUGAGAAAGAGAAGCCUAGUUCGUCGCUACAUAAUCGCCAGCGAGAGUUGAUCCUUUAUUGCAAAAUGGUCAGAAUGUAACUAGUUGAGGUAAGUAAUUCCCUAUAAUUUGUUUUCUUGUUGAUAUUCAAGGGAAAAAACAAAAAGUUAGGGUUUUAUAUUGAAAAAAUAAUUAAUUAGUUGCGGGUCUCUCAUAACAUGUUCGAAAACACAUUUCUAGUUGUUUUGUUGCAUGCAAAUUGUGAAAAAUUAAUGGAUUGUGCCGAUUAUAAUUUUUUCAUGUAACACACGAUUUGGUCAUGUAAGGUUAUGUAAGAUUCAAGGUUGUGUAUUACACGACCUUCAUGUAUUGCACGAUUACAUGACCUUCAUAUAUUGCACGAUUACACGAGCUUUAUGUAUUACACAAUUACAUGACCUUCAAUUCCAGAUUGAGGAGUAAAAAGUUUAUCAUCUCUCCAGGUGUGUUCUGUAAUUUAAUUUUUUGUUUCUUGUCGAUAGAAUAUACACAUUACAUUUAGUUUAAUUAGGCUCACAAUUGGGGACAAUAAAUUGGAAUGGUACAUAUGCCUUUACCUUGUGGAAUGUCAUUACUUAGAGAGAUCCUUAAUUUGCAAUUAUAAGCCAUGGUAAGUCAUGGUAUGUCUAGUUAUGAGUGGAAACACUUUGAUCAUUGCGAAUGGUGUUCUUAUGUGUAUAACAUUACAUUAAUUUCCUAUAGUUAAUUUUUUUUCCUAAUUGAUUUCAUGGAUUAAUUAUAUGCAGGCAUUCCUCAUGUAUGCAUGUAUGUUUGGGCAGAGGAAGAAAGCACUUUGAAGAUUAAAAAAGCUUUUUAAAUGGUUGUACUAUGUUUAAUAGCGAUGUUCAUUAGUGUAUCAUAUCCAAAUAUUGAAAAAUUUGUACACUGAUAACUUUGUUUAUUUAUACUAAUUAAUCUAAUCAUUUCUCAAACUGUCGGAUGUUCAAAUUUAGUUUUUUUUUUCUGCAAUUUAUGAACACACGAUUUGGUCGUUUAAGGUCAUGUAACAUAGGAUUCAAGGUCGUGUAAUAUACUCAUGUAUACAUGACCCUCAGUCGUCUAUGACAUGACUUUGUAUAUUAUUACGCGAUCUUGAAUCAUGUGUUACGAGUCUUUCAUGACCUUCAGUUAUAUAUUACACGACUUUCAUGUACUACACGACUUUAUGUAUUACAUGACUUUAUAUAUUGCGCGAUUAUACAGCCUCCAUGUAUUACACGACCUUAAAAUUACACGAAAUUUUCCAUUAAUCAUUAGAUUAAUUUAGUUCAUUAAAGACUUAAUUUGUGCUAAGAAUUUAUAUUUGCUGCUAUGCAGAAAAUGUCAACGAAAAUUAUUAAAAAAAAGAAGUGAAAUUAAAUUGGAAUCUAAAAAAAUUCCACAUCAUCAUUGGUUUGAAUUGUAAGUGGUGGCAUAGGAUCAGAUGUCUUAAGCUUGAACUUCAUUGUGAUUUCGAAUUCCGAAGUAUCUAUAUCAAUAAAUUGAGCUAAUCUUCACCAAUCCGGCAUAUGUUGUCGAUCGUGGUAUCAUUAUCCCUUUAGCCUUGGAACCUUUGAACUUAUACUCAUCAUUUUGGUCAAUCCAUUCACCAUUGAAGAGAAUAGGUACACGUACCAAAACCAUAUCUGAUGAUACAAUAAAAACAAUAAUAUCAAAUUUCAUAUACAAGUAACUACACGACCUACAUGACUACAUUACUUACAUGACUUACACGACCUACAUGACUAUAUUACUUACAUGACCCACAUGACUUACACGACUAUAUUACUUACACGACCUACAUGACUAACUACAUGACGUGCACGGUAUCAAAAGGAAUGCACGACGCAAAACAUUUUCACCAUAAAUAAAUUAUAUUGCUGAAAAAAAUAAUUAAACAACCUACAUUGCAUAUAAUUCUACAUAUAAGAAAAAAUGGUGAAAAUACAACAUUAUAGAGUGAGGAAAUUUUCUAAAUUUUCCUAAAAAUUAAAAAAAAAUUAAAACCCAACAACAUUAACAUAUCUUAUUGGGUUGUUUAAUGAGCAAUGCACCUAAUUUCAGUUAAAGAAAGAGUGGGUGUUAAAGAAAUGAAUAUAUAAUUGUAUUUGUGUAAGAAGUUAUGAGAGAUUUUGAGAGAUUCUAGGAGAUUUUGAGAAAAUUUCGGCAGCAAGAAAAGAUUUGGGUGAAAGAAAUAUGAAGACAAUGAAGUUGAGUGAAUUUGAUGCAUUCAUUAAGGACAUUUCAAACUUUACUUACAUUUAUUAGGGUAUCCAUGAAAACAAAAAAGGGAGGGGAUAUUUAAAUAAUUUUGAAACUAUUAAAGGGUAUUUAAUUAAAAAACCCUCUAAAUCAUUGGCUAAUGUUGAAUAAUUAUUUAAGGUAGGACCCAACAUGUAUAACACAGAUCCAUAUGAUUUCAAAUCUAAUCAUUUAAUGAUCUCAUCUUCGGUCAUGUUAGAACUCCGCCGGUUGGUUCUCAUCUCACAAUCACGAAGCACUGAACCGGCCGAUUUGUAAAAUUGUUUAGGUAACAAUGGGCCCACUCCCCACACUGGCAUCAACACCAUCGAUCCCUCCACUUGCUUCAUCCAGUGUGGUUGAUCACUCGGUUCUGAUGGACCUAUUUUCUCUGAACCGGGUGCACCUCACAAAGGUUGUGGACCACCAGGAAGGGACCCGUGAGGCCUGCGUUUAAGAUCCGAUUCGAAUAAAGCAAUAUCCUUGGGUAACCCAAGAAGUAAACGGGCCUCUCCCGGUUUGACAUCCUGGAUGCGAGCCUGCCACAUGGCACACUCUACAGCUGCUGAGCAAGCAUCAGAAGUGAAGAACCCAACAAUGGGAACUUCAAAAUUCUUGAAAACAUCAGCCGUCCAGCCCAUCAUAACGCCGAUGACUACGCAAACAGGUCGGCUUUCGGGUUCCCGGGUUGAAAGGAGGUUUCGAAGGCCUUGAAGCAUAUGGCUGUGCAUGACAACAUGGUGGUGAGAAGGAGGUGAUGGUAGUGGUUGAGAUGGGAGGGUAUUUCGGUAAUUUCACAUAGAGGGUAUUGGUGAAGAGAGGAAGGGGUGAUGCUGGUGGUGGAAACGUGAGAGGGAAUAAUGAGGGUAGAUUUGUAAUUACGAGAAGCAAUUUGCUUGCAUAAUUCAAUGCAUGGAAACAGAUGUCCCUGACCGAAGAACGGGACAAUCCAAAUCUCAGCCUCAGCAGCAUUCGCAACAGAGCUUGACAUCUUUUAUGAAUUAUUUGAGACUUAAUUGUUAUUGACUGCUUUUGCCAUCUUUCAUAAAACAUUCUUUGUUAUAUAUUCAAGUAAAUAAAUUUAUCGUUUAAAAUUAAUUUUUCAUGUGGUAAAAGCAAUACUAAAUAUGGGGUGGAGAGAAUAAUUUGUAGGGCAUACCCCCACCAUUUAUUUAAUUUCAUUAAAAAAGAAAGAAAAGAAAUAAAGGCUUGUUCAACAUUCAAUUAAAAUUAACAAUUCCAUGAUAAAAUUACUUGAGAAUAAAAAUUUUUAAAAAAAAAGUAACUCAAAAACGAGGAAUUUUUGAGUAACUGAAGAACCAUAGAUGUUUUUUGGUCAUGAGCAAUUUUUGAGUUGAGACAGAACUUGUAUAAAAAAAUAGUUUUGAAAACUUCUUUUCUUUUUUCGUAAAUAUAGAUAUAAAAUUUUAAAAUCACCAAACACAAAACCAGGAAAAUGGAAGGAGAGCCCCUGUUUCUCCUCUGUUGCAAGAACAAAUUCGGUUUCUACAGUUGUACCUUCUAAAUGCACCAUUUGUAUUGCUUUGUCUCCACUUGAGCUAACGGAAUUUGAUGAAAACAAAAUAGAUAUGAGUGGUGCUAUUCACAGCCCUCAAUAAUUCUCUCAAAACCCCUUUUCUAAUUAUACCCCGUUGAAUAAGUUCAAGACCAACUUUUCCUCUUAUAACACCACCUUCAAUUCCGUUAAUACCCUUGUUCGCUAUGAAAAUGAGGAAAAUGCCUACAUAAAAAGCUGGCUCUGAUAAUCUACCUGAAUUUACAUUAGAAAAGAGUGGACUUUGAGAAAUAAGAAGACAAUAUAGGGAAUUUUACCAAAAUAAUCCAUUUUUAUAUACAGGGAAUGGUAUUUUCUGAUAUAGGGAGGAGUGGAGAAAUUAAAUUCAGCAAAAUAAAGAACCUCCAUCGAGAAGUAAAAAUGAUGAUAUCUUUGUCGUGAAGAGAUUUCUGCCUCAUACAAAUUUUUUAUUCUAGAAUGCUUGAAACCGAAAAGUUCUGUAGUUGUUUCAAUUCAAUUGCAUACAUUGACGAAACAUUAAAUACGGAAAAAAACAAAAAAGAAAUAAUAGGACAGGGGGAUUUCGAGAAGUUCUAAAGAGAGAAAUCUAUUUAUAAGCAUUGAAAAUUAGCUCAUUAAAUUUGACAGAAUAAUAUACAAUCUCACUGUUGGCCAGAAAAUAAUAGUAAGAACUUGUGAACAUAUAUAAUCAAUUGUUUAUUACUUAAGCUCUUUUUCUUCGUUAUUUUGAAUGGGUGCAAAGAAGAGAAGUUUUGUACCCAAAUUCCAACUCGAAUUGUGUAGGCUGCUUGCAAGAGCUUCAUUAGAUUUUUAUUUGUCUUUUAAUAGUGCUUCUCGACAAAUACAGCUAGCUAUCUGUCCUUUUUGUUACUGGACUAUAGAUCAAUUGACAGUUGAAGUUAUAUUAAUUUGUUGUGCUGGAAUUGAAGCUUGUAUCUUAGCCAUUUGGUGAAGUGUCAAAUAUAUUUUUAAUUUCCUUAAAAUUGUUCAAAAUAUGUUUACACUUUUAAAGUCACUAUUAUACAUGAGUGCCCUAAAAUUGGAGAAGGCGAUUUGCCUGACAUUACCUGUAUUCGCUUGUAUAGAGAGGACGAUUUAGAUAAGUCGGAACGGAACAACCUUCAUCACAUGCUUCCUCACGUGGUUACUUAAACUGAUAUGUAAAACGUGCUCCAUCCAUGUCGUUUCCACUAAAUCGUUUUCUGUUAAGAAUCAGCUGAGCAGCACGUGAGCUAAUGAAGCUUUUACGGCUUCAAAACGCAGCCGUUUCUGGGAACCAAACUUGAUUCAUCACCUCACAACUACAGAUGAAUUAUCGAAGUGGCUGAUUGGUGCUAUACGUGUUUUUCGUAUUGAACUCAACUCUGCUAUUUUCCCAAAAGCUGGAAAACAGAAACAUCAUCCCUGUGGUUUUAUUUCACCUCAACCUUUUUCUGAUCCCAUUUUCAUUGUAAUUUCUCAUUUACUUUGAGUGAAAGUCAUUGUUGCUUUCGAACGAGGUUUUGCAACUAAAAAGGAAAAGGGGGCGGCUAUAAUACAUGCGUGCAUCUGAUACAUGCACAAAAACUGACCAUUGGAUUAAAUGGAGUGGAUCUAAUGGCUGAGAUUUGUUUUAUUAUUAAGCAAUAAAAAAAUUUGAAACAACCAGAAACCUGUAAAACCGGUCAUUUGGUUUAAGUUAAAAAUAUAUAAAUGAAAAUAACAAAAAAACCCACCACUCCCCCGCCUCACACGCGCCUCACCGCUCCCCGCUCCCUCGCCUCACCUCUCUUCUUGUUCCACGGCCAUCAACGGCGGCACGAGUCGGCGACGAUCGACUGCGGCUGUAAAUUGACCACGAUCAUCUCUCUCUCUCGGCUUGCUCAAAUUUGGCCGAUCUGUGCGCUUGCUUAAGCUUGGCCGAUCUAUGCUUGCUCGAUUACUCUUCCUAUCUUCAGUCAGAGUCAACUGUUUGACAAGAGUCGAAGUCCAAGGUUCUUUUUUACAGGAUUUGAGCUAUUCCUUUUAUUCUUCUUGCAUGUUCACUGAUAUGAAGCUUUGAUGUGGUGUUCUGAUAGCGGGUGGAAUUUGAGAUUCUCCUUUCUUCUCUAUAUGAAGGUGCUUGUCAUGUGUCAAGAAAAAUAAAAUUAUUUACCAAAGAUUAUUUUAAGGAGAUUUAUUAUUAUUCGUGGAUCGGGAAGUUUAUUUUGUUUUUUGGUCUCUUAUUUAUUUAUUGUUUUCACGAGGAAAUUGCUGUGCUUUUGGAAAUUAAUAUGCUGUGUUGUCAAUGUUGUGUGAAAUCCUUUUAUUGGUGUCUAUGUAAAGUGUUUCAGAUUUCAGACCUGAGAGUUAAUCUUCGCGUACCAGUUGGCUUUUGGGUUUAGUAUUGCUACUUUUAACAUAAUUGACCUAUGGCCCAAAUCAUUUCUAUAGGGCGAAGCAUAUGAAUGAUACAUAUUAUCUUUUUUUGGCCUUAUGUAUUGUUAUUUGCAGUGUGAUUUGGUCUAGCUUAAGAGCUUAAGCUUGCAGGUUGGAUUUGUCUGACAGGGAACAAUUUAAUUUGCUCAUCGUGAUGUUUAUAUCCAUUUUGUACUACUAUCAAUUUCAAUCAUGCCUAAUUUUUAUAUGUAUUUCUCGUGGACUCUCAGGUUCAGUGCACAAGAGGAUGAAGACGAUGGACACCCAAAUUUGAUGUGGAGAACAACUAUUGCAAAUGGUCCUUGAUUUACUUCUCCAAUUGACUUGAAUUGGUUUGACGCAAUUUAUAGUGUAUUUUUGUCAUCUUUGUACGACUAGCAGGUCGUCCUGAUUUGGUACAUGACUGGACACAGGAAUUGGACUCAUAUUUUUCAAACCAGAAUGCCAACAAUCAAGCAUUUUCUUUUGAAAGCACUGGCGUCUUCUUCAAUGCCAAAAAGGUUAGAGAUUUUCUGUAUCUUGUUUUGUAUUUAAUCAGUUUAGCAUGUGGGUGGCAAUCAAGAAAAGUUAUUAUAACAUUUUUGUGUUCCCGAAAAACUGCUGAUGAUGUGUAGUGCAGGAAAUGAAUUGUUUUUGACUUCUUUUUAUUUGUAUUCUUUCUUUUUUCUUUUCUCCCCAACAGGAUUAUGCAUUUCUGAAGAGCUUCUUGAAGUUGAUUACCAUGUAUGCCACUUUCUUUACUCUAUGCUCAGGAUGUGAUUUUGCCAAGCAUUAAAAUGGUUUAGGUCAGAACCAUCAUCUAAAGUUUACUUAAUGCAGCCGAGAAGCUGUAGUAGAGCAAGGAAGGCUGUUGGUGUUAUGAAGGCCAGCUGUGAAGAAAUAUUUGAACUUGUAAUGAGCAUGGAUGGGACACGAUACGAGUAUGCUUCUUUUCUAUUUUUUAUUUUUAGUUACUUUAACAUAAUCAAGACUAUAUUGGCUGUCUCUGUAAGCUGAGUAUUAUAUUUCCUCUUGCAUGCUGUGAAAUUCACAUUGUCUCCAGUCCCGAUUCUGUAUGUGCCUUUUUGAAUAUAUUUAAUUAAUCUGCAUGGUGCUUUCUAAAGAUUAUUACAAACUUUUGUUGCUUAAGUAUAUGAAGAAUGUAGAAAUGAAAACAGCUUUUGAAGUUUGAUGGAUUGCUUCAUUAAUAAAGAAAGACUAGGACUCAUUUUUAUAACUUUUCUCCACUUAGCUAAUGGUAUUUGAUGAAGACAAAAUAGAUGUAGCUAUCUAUAUUUUUUGUUGCUGAACUAUAGAUCAAUUGACGGUUGAAGUUAGUUAUAUUAAUUUGUUGUACUAGAAUUAAAGCUUGUAUCUUAGCCAUUUCAUGAAGUGUCAAAUACGUUCUUUCCUUUUUUUUUUUUUUUUUCAAAACAUGUUACACUUUUGAAGUCACUAUUACAUAAAAGAGUGUUCUAAAACAGGAGAAGGCGUGCUGCCUGAAAUUACCUGUUUCCUAGCAAAUCUAGCUGGUUUGCGAAUUAGAUUUUAACAAGUCUCUUGGCAAGGUUUGCUAGUAAUGUGUUCAAAUUAUUCUAUUUAAUUUUACUGUCUGUACCCUAAUAAUUCUUGGUUUGCACCAUUGCAUUGUUCCAUAAUCUCUGUGCGUUGGCUUAUAAAGGCCAGCAAGGCUGAUCAUUUGUCGAAUAGUUAUUUCCAUGAAAUUCCUAUCAAUUUGACUCAGUAUUUAGAGGUCUUGAAGAGGGCAGUGUACUAGACAUGGAUUUCUACCUCUUUUGGUUGUACAAUUGUUGUAUUUCUUGGCCAUCAGAUCUUUUUAAUGUACCUUUCUCAAAGUUCAUGCCGCACGUACACCGUUUUUCAUGUUUUGUGCAUGUGGGAUUGUAGUCUUCUGUAUCGCAGCUUAGUUGAAGAGGUAGAUGGUCAUACGGCUAUUCUCUAUCAUAGGCUUCAGCUGGACUGGUUUCCAAUGUAAUAGUCUCUUGAUUCAAUCAUCUCAUUUAUGCUUUGGUCAGAAUAGAACAUUUAUUGUUUCCUUCUUUCCCCUUUCCUCUCUUCUGAUGUAAUAUGUGAGGAAAUUACCUAAAAUUUCUGUAUCCCAAUGUAAUUGUUGGAAUUCAGAAAUAAAAUAAAUACACCGUCUUGUUUUUCCCUCGGUUCAGUCCCAAGUUCUCUUUGGGCCUUCUGCAAGUUUUUAAACAUACUGUGACAGUAAAAAAUCUAGUGAUUGAGAUCAUUUUGAUGAAUUUAAUUUUAAUUCUUAGCUGAUACUUUUUCUGGAAUUUUUUUCUUAUGUUUCCUCAAUAUGACUUAAAUAUAGGGCUUAGUUUGGUUUAGAAGUUCAUCUAAAACCUUCUCCUUGAUUCCAAAAAAAUUCUCUAGAAAGGUCUCAGAUGGAUUUUAGGGGAGUUUUGUGGCAAAUUUGAAAAGUUCAGGGGAAGGGUCUAAUGAAUUUUAAAACCACAUGGGUUAUCUGUUUUAUUCAGAGGAUAGUGGAAUUCCCUGAAAUUUAUCAUUUUUAUUUAAAUAAUCUUCCUACUUUCCUCUGCAGAAUUUAUUUAUAUAUAUGAAUUCAUUUGGUUGCAGGUUUGUUUGGCCCCGCGGCCUUUGUUAAGUGCGUUAUUGGCGUUGAAAUGACGCUGCGAGUUAUGGUAAGGUUCUUGCUUCCCCACUUCUUGAAAUUAAAUCUAUCUUUUCUGGCACUAGAAGUUUCCAUAAGCUGUGUUUUGUUAUCGCGCAGUUGUGUUAUUUCAUUCUAGGGAGCAUAUGAACUGUGGUCCACAACCCGGAUAUGUACGAGCUCACAUGGAGAGUUAGUUUUCUGUCCUUUACUUUGGUUGAUGUAGAGAAUUAACAAGUGACUAAGUCAUGCCAAGUUGCACCACUUGCUUCCUGUAUUCUGAUUUCUCAGGUGGUGGAUUCAACAUUUCCCCACUAAAACCUCAAAAUGGUAGGCCCAGAACACAAGUACAGCAUCUUAUGCAGAUUGAUCUAAAAGGGUGGGGUGUUGGUUAUGUGUCAAUGUUUAGCAACACUGUCUUCUGCAGAUGUUAAAUAGCAUUGCUGGUAAGUUUCUUGCUUUCACAUUUUAUUUUGCGCUGUUAUGGGUUAAUAUGUUUCUGUUGGGUGGCCAUUUUAAGUCAUAUUUUUACGUGUUACUGUAUUUUCUUCAGUCCUUUUAUAGGGAACACACACAUACACGUAUGUAGAGUCACCUUUUAAUGAGGGAUCUACCAUUUUAAUGAAAUGAGGAAUGAGCUAAAAGAUAAAAAAUUCACGAACUCCAAUGCAAUAUGUGUGUGUGCGCGUGUACACCUUUUCUAACUCUUGUUCUUAGUUAGAUAUUUUUUGGGAUUUCAGGCAAAUGAAAAAAGAGAUUAAGAGAAUGAUUUCAAGAGAACAGGUGGAUAAUAACUUAAAUAUUCAUUUUUAUACAUUUUGUUAAUGUCCUCUUUAAUGGAUUUCUAUGGAAUUAACCUUGUAAUUGGUGUAAUUACGGCAUUGGUGGUUGACAUGGCUUUCCUUGUGCAGGUAUGUAUGAUUGUACUGCAAUUUGCAAAUUUGCAUACUUGAAUGUUCUCAGAAUGGUAUAAUGCUUCGUGUAUGCAGGCAAAUACUACAGAUGAAUUACCGGAGCGGCUGAUUGGAGCUGUACGUGUUUCUUAUAUAGAACUCAAGUCUGCUAUUGUUCCAAAGUUGGAACCAGAGACAUCAUGACUCUGGUUUCAUUUCACCUCAACUGUUUUUUUUUUUAAUUGAAAAAAAAAAAUCAUUUGUUUUAGGUAUACAUACAUGUAUUUUGAUCCCGUUUUCAUUGUAAUUUCUCAUUUACUUUGAAAGAAAGUCAUUGGUGUUUUCGAGUGGGAAUUUUGCAUUAAAAAAUAAAGAAUACUUAAUAGGAAAUUUCAUAAUUCUUUAGUUACUAUUUUUGGAAUGUGUGUAAUAGUAUUAAAGUUGGUUUCUACUCGCAAACAAGUGAACUACUCGAUCCCCAACUGCGACCACGCUAGUUGUCAUUUAAAACUCAACAACUAACAAAAAUACUAAUAAAAAAAUGAUUUUCUUAUAUUGCUGUGAAAACAUUUAUGGGUUCAUUUAUUUCCACAAGAUCUAUAAUUUGGUCUUGACUUUACGAAAUUCUUUUAAUUUAAAGGGUUUUGGUCUGAGAAAGUCAGUUUGACGGAUUAAUUCUUUUUAAUAAUGGUCGAGUUAAUUUUACUAUACUCAUAAAACUAUUUUUAUUCUGAUAAUGCCACAAAUGUUAUGAUGUUUUCUUCAGCUAAUGAUCUUCUAUCAGGACUAGUUAGAAAUCAAAUGCUUAAAACACCGAUUGAAUGUAUAAUGCAGAAGUUUAAACAGUACCUAAUUGAAAAUUGCAUGAAACAUGAAACAUCAAUUCAAGUCCUUCCUUAAACAGAGAAUGCAUCAAACAAAUCCAAAGUGUCUUGCAAGUCUGUAGCAUGACAAAAAAGUUGUAAAUGCGUUUGGAACCAAAUUCUUCAAGUACAGGAGAACGAGCAAGUUGAAUUAUGUACAAGAGAUUGGCCUGGUUCGAGAUAGCUUCUUCACUGUACCUGAAGGAUUGGCUCAAUCUUUUCUUUAGAAUUCUGCACAUUUUGUAAUUACUCGUGUAAGCAAGCAUACAUUACAACCAUAAUAAUAAUAAAGCAAGAGUAAUGAUACGACCACCACCUUUUGUACACAAACAAUAUUGUAUAAACUAAUGCGACAUAAUAUGAUUGGUUAAACAAAAACAUUACAUGGCCCUCAUAAUUUAUUUAUUUAUUUAUUUAUUAUUAUUAUUAUUAUUAUUAUUAUAUAUUUUCAGUCAACCAAUCAUAUUAUAUCACAUUAGUUUCUAUAAAAUAAUUUGCUAAAUAGCACCAAAACUUAAUUGAUACUCACCAUUUCAUUGAACAAUUUUUUUAUGGUGUCAUUGAGGUUGCCUUCCCAACAUCCUUCAUCAUCAUCAUCUUCUUCAUCAUCAUCUUUUUCUUCUUCGGUGACGUUCACUUUGUUUAGCAUUGGUGUGUCUAAGACUCCUUGAGAGAAGAUCUUCAUUUUUGGACACAGUCUCACAACUACUUGUUUCAAGGACGGGAAUUCAAGAGCGUAAUUACCUAAACAAAAGCUUGUUAGGCUUGGCAAACAGUCAAGUUCCAAGUACCUCAAUUUCCCAAAAACAAUGCAAUCUUCCGUUUCUUCUCCAACCUGCGACUGUAUAAUUUCUUCCAUCAUUUUGCAAUCAACUAUCUUCAUUCUUCCGAGAUUCACUAGAUUUUUAGAUGCUGAGAGCGUCAACACAUUUAUCAACCCGUGACACUUCGAUACUUGUAGUCCCCACAGAUUUUCCAAAUGCCACGAAGGUGGUACUAAUUUUUGCAACUUACUACAUUCCGAUAUUUCUAGCCUUUCCAAGUUUGCAAACACUUUGUUGGAUUCGUCAUUUUCCUUCCAGAGAUGCUGCACUUUGUGUAAUCCAGACAGUCUUAACUUCCUCAAUUGAGGGAAAGCAACCUGAAAAUCAACAAAGUUAAGUUGUAAAAGAAAAUACGUAUCCAAUCUCUGGAGUCUUCACCUGCAUAUUUUAUGGACAAGAUUAAUCACGGCAUUUUAUAUUUUAUUUCCAAAUUAGUAUGCUUUGCAGUAGGAUCCCAAAUAUAAGUAUCAAAUCGAUUACCCUUUGAAACACAUAAAUGAAAUCUAAUGCUAAAUCCAAUAUGAAUUAGCUAGGAAAACAGAGAUGUUACACACAUAAUUAAUAUAGUUCAUCACCUCGUGUUAUCAGGCAUCCAAUUAAUUUCAGUCAUUUUUAUAAUUCAUACUAUAAAGAUAGUUAAUAACUGAGGUUAUAUUGUUAAAUCAUAUAUAAAUUAAGAUGACAUGCAAAAAGAUGAGUCAUUAAAUUUGACUUGAUUCUAAUGAAAUUACAUCUGUGCGAACAAAAGUGAAGGGAAUAAUAAUAAUAAUAAUAAUAAUAAUUACCUUUUCAUCGAAGAGGGGUUGUACUUGAUGAGCCAGCAAGAAGUACUCUUCUAAUGUUAAUUUUUGAGGUUCCUUGUUAUCAGUUGUCACAUGCACUACAGAGUUGGAUAUAAAUGUUUCCAUAUCAGGGCAAUUCUCAAUAGUCAGACUCCACAACAUAGGCAUUUCAAUUAUAUUCCCAGUGAAGUUGCAGAAUCUUUUGAGUUUUGGAAGAUCAAUGAGCGUUAGGCUAAAAAGCCUAGGAAACAGGGGGCCUAUAUGUUCUUUGUCAGCAUUUAGCUCUUCCAAAUGAAGCAUCUCUUCUAGUGAAUCACAAUUCCUCACUUCCAGCCUUGCCAAAUUGUUCAAGCAUCGUAGCAGAUUGGCAGGAAUAGCACUCGACAUAUUGGUGCAGUAAUCCACCUCCAGCUCUGCUAAAUAGUUGAAGAAGCGGACAGGCAGUGCUUGGCCAUGCCAUAUUUCUUUCAAACGUGGAAAAUGUGAGAGUUGCAAAUACUGUAUGUCACGGAAUCCAAUCUGCACAAACCAAAACAAUUGCACUGGAUAUAUAUAAAUACAUUAAACUUACAUGUUUUGUGUUUUAACUUCUAAAACUAUAUAUACAAGGCAGGUGUAUAUGUUCAAAUGUGCAAGUGCAAGGGAGAUGCAUAAGUAAUUUCAACGAAUCGAUUUAACACAUACCAUUUCUUCGUAACACUUUUGUAUAGUGGAAUUAAGGUUGCCUUCCCAACGGCACAAUUCACCCUCUUCCUGUUAAGAAUAGAAUUAGUUAGUUAAUGAGUAUGCUGACAUGGCAGCUGAGUCAGCUAAAGGUUGUUAUAGAGGUUGUUAGUAGUAAACUGUGCGUGUGUGCAAUGUGUGUAGAAUCUUCUAUGCACAUAUAAAAAGGCUUGCAAUUUCCAGAUUCAUUAGAUCAAUAAUAACAGAAUUCUCAGCUUACAGAAGUUUUCUUUCCUCCUAUUUUCUUAGUAACCAAACAACAUCACAGUUUCAUAUAAAACUUAAUACUUCCUUUUUACUCACCUGCACUUCGUGCAGCUUUGGUGUGGAUACGAUUCCCUGAGAAAAAGUCUUCAUGUUCGGGCAACGUGUCAUAGAAACUCGUUCCAAUGAUGGGAAUUCAAGAGUGUAAUUCUCCAAACAAAAGCUGGUAAGCCUUGGUAAAUAAUCAAGUAUCAAAACUUUUAAAUUGCUGAAAGCAAUACGAUUCUCCUUCACUUCUUCUCCAACAUGUCCUAUGAUUUCUUCUAUUUUUUCACAGUAUGAUACAUUAAGAUUCACUAGACUAUUGGGAAUUCCAACCUGAAAAUAAAGAGUAGCAUUCAACUAAAUUCAAAGUAUGUCAAAAUCAUACAAUUGUUUUAUGAAAAAUAACAAACCAUGUCUACUAGAUAUUUUUUGUUAAAGAAAAAAGGAAAAAAAUUAAAACAAAAAUAAAUAAAUAGAAGUCCAGAAAAACAAAGAUAAUGAAAAUGCAUUUACACUAAAACGCUGUAUUUCCCUUUUUUUUUUCCCGAUAUUCAUGCUUUUAAAAAUGGAAAACAUUUCUGGAAAACACUUCCCAACGCCAUCAACAUGGGACUGUUACAGAGUGAAUAUUUGAGGAAAUUUUUUAAUAAACGGUCGAUUCAAAAUGACCAUCAUGAAUUUGUGCUUAAUCAAUGGCGUAAUCAAUUCAUAACUAAACUAGAGAUAUUAACUACAUUUGAACACUUUUCUUUAUUUUAUUUUUAAAAUCGAAAUCUAAAGACCCAAGGAAAAGAGAAAUAUAUAUGAAUUUGUGAACUUAAAAGCUGAGUAACUAAGUAUCUUUUAAUUUCUGAAAAUCUUAUUCAUUAGGAUUUAAGGAAAAAAAACAAUUAAAUUAAAUUAUAUUAUGCUGUUAAAUCGUGUUUAAAAUAAUUAUAUUGUUGACUUUAAUGCAGGUGAACCUAUAAAUUAGAUUGAAAAUGCAGAGUUCAGAAUGGUGAUUUGAAGUACAAUACUUUUUUUCCCUCUAGAAGUUUGAAGUACAAUACUUGCAAUAAAUAAUUUGUGAAUGAAAAUUAUUUGUAAACAAAAAAAUGAUUAAAAUAAUUGUUGAAUGUUAUUUGAAAUAAAAAUUCAAAAUGAAUAUAGCAAUCUUACCAAUGGAGGAAAAAUAUUCAGUAGAUUAUGACACACAGAUAUCUCUAAUUUUUUCAAUUUGCUAAAAGACUUCGAAGCAAGCUGGUGGUGCCAUAUUUUUCUCAACUUAUCCGCCCCACGAAUAUGUAAUACCUCCAGACUUGGGAGUCGUACCUGAAGUUAAAAAUUCAAUGCAAUUAGAGAUGGAUAUUAAUUAAAUUUGAAGACUCAACGAAAGAAGAAAUUAACUAUUAAGAAUAAAAUUAAUUUAAAAAAAAAACCUUUGCAUCAAAGAGAGGUUGAGGUUGCAUUUCAGAAUUAGCUUCUGGUGAGGCAAAGCUACUUAGUUUUGGAAGACCAUCGAGCUGCAGGAAGUGUAGUUUAGGAAAAACCUUAAAUUCAUCUCUUCCUCCUAACCCCGUGGUGUUGACUAUCCCUUCCAUUGACCAACAAUUAAUAAUCUCAAGAUGUCGGAGCUGCCCAAGACUAUUAGCCAUAGAAUAUGAAAACAUAUACUUCAGAGGACAACACCUUGUCACGGUCACUUUUGUUAAAUUUUGACAACAAUACAUUCCCUGAAAUUGAUCGGGCCAUAAUUUUUUGAUGUUUGUUAAACUGACAAGUUCCAGUUCCUCCAAGCGUGGAAAAGUAACCUGCAAAGAAAAACCAUACAUUUUUUUUCCUUCAACUACAACUUCUAAUAUAAUAUUCUUUCGAUGAUUGAAGAUCAAUCGUGAUAAUAUAUUAAUUAAUUAAUUAUUAAACAGAAAAUUAUCACCUGAUCAUCCUCUGCAUUGAUUUCUGUGAAUCCCUGAGUAGUUGUUGGUUUCUCCAUGUCGGGCCCUAUAAAUGAACAAAAACAAUAUAUGAUUAACCUCUGUUGUCCCCUCCCAAAACAAAAAAAAAAAAAGAAUGAGCCAAUGUCAAUAAUCCUACCAAUAAUUAAUUUAAACACUUACCAAUCAUCAUUUUCAAUUUAUUGCAAUUUACCACUUCUACUUUUUGAAGCCCCAAUAGGUUUUUGGCCAUAGAGAAUGAGAAGAGAUACUUCAAUUUUGGACAGGAAUAUACGUAUAUAAUCCUUAAGUUGCUGAAAGAUUGAUCUUCUCUGAGUUGGCUGUAGCAUAUCGUCUCCAAAUUAGUUAAAUUAAUAAGAUCCAAUGAUUCCAGCAAGGGAAAGACUUCGCAACGAACCCGUCUAACUGAACCGACAAUAUGUAAAAUCUCAGAACAACCUGUUACAUGAAGAUGCUGCAAUCGUGGAAAACCUUCCCCAUCGUCUAAUUCAUGAACAACAUUCUGAACACCCGUCAGUGAGUAUAGACGGAGAUCUUCAGUUCUCUUCAGCAACAUUUUCGUCCCAUCAUUCCCCAAAAGAAGGCUAACUUUUUCUGGCCCCUUGAGCACCAUCAAUGUUGAUGUUUUAGAUUCGACGAGUCGUCGGUUAGACAUUUGUCCUAUAAAUAUCUUAUAUCUUUCCAAUUCCAUAGAGACAAAAUCCGGCGGCAGAAUUUCGGAAUCCGAAACAUCUAUCUCCAAAGUAGUUAGAUUUGACAACCCCUUCAACUCGACAAGACUGGCAUUACUUCCUCCUUCAACCUUAUCCCACUGUGAAAAGCUGUUAUGCAUAAACAGUUCUUCUAAUCCAGAUAAUUUUGAUAUGACAUUUGGUGGUAUCAACUCAAGGCUCCAACAAUUGCUCAAAUCUAGCAACUGUAACCGCGUCAAUCGUCCAAUUUCAAGUGGUAACUGCUUGAUAUCGGAAUCUGCAAGGCUGAGAAUCUCUAAUUUCUUUAGCUGUCCAACUAUUGCUAUAUCUUUUAGUCGGCAAUAGUCUAAACGCAAUGUUUGAAGGUUAAUGAGGCAACCAAGUGAUGAAGGUAAUGAAGAGAAUUGAAUUCGAGUAAAAUUCAAAACUUUGAGUCCUUCCGUCCCUUUAAAAAAGUGGUCUGAAACUUGCAUAGAGCCAUCACCCUCCGCAUGCAAUAGCUCAAGACAGGGACAUUGCAACCUUUCAGGAAGCACUUGAAUACCUCCAUAAGGUAAAGAAAUAGCAAUUGGACCUUCCUGUACUGUAUCUUCCAUCUUUUUCUCCAAGUCGGCAACAUUUGGAAUAUUAAACAUGAGCUCCUCUUCUGCAAUUGAUACAGCAACUACACGAAUGACGUCAUGCAUUUUAACUUCAUCUUCAGCAUCACUGUCCAACAAUAAGCAUGAAGAUUUGAGUUUGUCGAUCAACGUAUGCAAUCUCCUCCUUGCUUCUUCCAGUGAGUAAACCUUUUUAAAAUAGUCCAUACCCAUACCAUAUCUCAAUAAGUCUGGAACAGGUAUAGCAUAACCUUUACUAAGUAGACCACAAAGACGGAACAGAGAUUUUGCCUCCGCACUUUCCAGCAAGUUGUAACUCAAUUUUAUGGAGGUGUACACAUUUCUUUCCAUUCCAUCAAUUUCUCUUGCAUCGGAACUUCUUAGCUGAUUCAAUGCAUCCUUCCAAAUGUCAAGAUCCUUAGUUUUCAGAGCUUUUGCAACUGUACUCAGUGCAACAGGCAAUCCUCCGCAUUUUUCAACGAUCUCAUCUGCAGUGGGUUGAAAAGCAGAUAUUUUAGUUGAAUCACCCACUAUCUUCUCAAAUAACUGCAAGGCUUCUUCUUUUGAUAAAGCAUCGAUCGGGAAAUUUUUCUGAGAAUUCAUAUCAGUGCACAAUAAAUCUCGACUUCUAGACGUCAGUAUUAUUGUGCAUCGUCUCUGAUCAUCCAUUCUUUCGUUCGGAAUCCCAACUUUAUCGAACUCCAGUUCCCCCCAAAUAUUAUCCAAUAUAAUGAGAUGCCGCUCCUUGUUCUUCAAUACUCGACAUAGUCGAUUUGCUCUGUCGAAUAUACUCUCAUUCAACUCAAACUUUAUGCCUAAAUCAGAAGCAAGUUUGUCUUGAAUUUUCUGAUGAUCUGGGUUCUCUGUUACCUCAGCCAUAGCGACCUUAUCGAACAACUUAUUUGUUUCCAUCACUUGCUUUGCAACUUGCUUGACUAGCGUGGUUUUACCCACGCCGCCCAUGCCGUAGACCCCAAUUAUGUUGAGUUUCUCAUCCUUCAACGCCUCCAUAACAUCCAGUAAUACUUUCUUUCUUGAAUCAAAGGCCUCGUUAUCUUUCCCGCCCCUAAGUGCUUCGAUAUCUGCAGAAGGAUCGAAGGCAAUUUCUUCACUCUUCAGUUUGUCGCCUUUUUCCAUGAGAUUAGCAGCAUCUUUUGCGGCCUUUGCUGCUCGUUUACUGAGUUUGUAACGAGACAACAAAUUUGCACACAAUCCUUUGAAGCAGGACUUCUUGGCUCCAUCUUCUUCAUCAAUGAUAGAUUUUGCAACCCCCUCCGUAGAUUCAACCUUACUUCGCCAAUCUUUGACACCCUGAUAAAUCUCUUUGCCUUGUCGAGUAUCAUGCUUAACACGUUGUUGCACCAUUUCGUUUAUACCUUCCAACCCCUUCACUUGAUCUUUUAGCUCAUCUAUGUAGCUCUGGUACUUGAACACAUAAGAUAUUUGCCGUAUAAUCGGUUUGAACAGUGACUUUGCACCUUCUAAUACAGUGCUGGAUAAAGCAGCCAGAGCCACUUCUGCCAUUGUCUGCUACUUAACAAAUCUAAUAAUAUAUCAAAGAAAGGAAUACAAAUAAAUUAAAAGGAACUAAAGGGAAAGACAGAGAAAGAAAAGACGGCAAACAACAUCGCAAUAUUGAUCUUGAACCAACUGAUACCUAAAUAGAGAAUUUCUUUUACUAUCUUAAGGAUCAGAGGUUUCGCUAUUAACCGAAAGGUAUCGCUUCUAUUUUGUCACUUUGAACGAAUAACUUUAUGUUUUUAACGGAUGUUUAAUACAAAUUGCAUACAUUGGGUGUAAAAUUAAAUAAAUUUAAAUAUUUAUAAUAAUUUUAAUAAUUGAAUAAAACUUUGAGUAAAUGACUGAUAAUUUCUCUAAGAUGAUUUAUUGUUUGGGGUCUAAGAUUUUAAAUAUUCAACUUAAAAGAUUAAUAUCUUAUAAAUUGAUUAAUUAAUUAAUCAUUAAGCAACUAAAUUGGUCCCUGGAUGUCAAUUUAUUUAAUAUUGACGCACCUAUUUUUUUUUUCUGGCAAAUAAUUAUUAAUGCACUUAGGNNNNNNNNNNNNNNNNNNNNNNNNNNNNNNNNNNNNNNNNNNNNNNNNNNNNNNNNNNNNNNNNNNNNNNNNNNNNNNNNNNNNNNNNNNNNNNNNNNNNNNNNNNNNNNNNNNNNNNNNNNNNNNNNNNNNNNNNNNNNNNNNNNNNNNNNNNNNNNNNNNNNNNNNNNNNNNNNNNNNNNNNNNNNNNNNNNNNNNNNNNNNNNNNNNNNNNNNNNNNNNNNNNNNNNNNNNNNNNNNNNNNNNNNNNNNNNNNNNNNNNNNNNNNNNNNNNNNNNNNNNNNNNNNNNNNNNNNNNNNNNNNNNNNNNNNNNNNNNNNNNNNNNNNNNNNNNNNNNNNNNNNNNNNNNNNNNNNNNNNNNNNNNNNNNNNNNNNNNNNNNNNNNNNNNNNNNNNNNNNNNNNNNNNNNNNNNNNNNNNNNNNNNNNNNNNNNNNNNNNNNNNNNNNNNNNNNNNNNNNNNNNNNNNNNNNNNNNNNNNNNNNNNNNNNNNNNNNNNNNNNNNNNNNNNNNNNNNNNNNNNNNNNNNNNNNNNNNNNNNNNNNNNNNNNNNNNNNNNNNNNNNNNNNNNNNNNNNNNNNNNNNNNNNNNNNNNNNNNNNNNNNNNNNNNNNNNNNNNNNNNNNNNNNNNNNNNNNNNNNNNNNNNNNNNNNNNNNNNNNNNNNNNNNNNNNNNNNNNNNNNNNNNNNNNNNNNNNNNNNNNNNNNNNNNNNNNNNNNNNNNNNNNNNNNNNNNNNNNNNNNNNNNNNNNNNNNNNNNNNNNNNNNNNNNNNNNNNNNNNNNNNNNNNNNNNNNNNNNNNNNNNNNNNNNNNNNNNNNNNNNNNNNNNNNNNNNNNNNNNNNNNNNNNNNNNNNNNNNNNNNNNNNNNNNNNNNNNNNNNNNNNNNNNNNNNNNNNNNNNNNNNNNNNNNNNNNNNNNNNNNNNNNNNNNNNNNNNNNNNNNNNNNNNNNNNNNNNNNNNNNNNNNNNNNNNNNNNNNNNNNNNNNNNNNNNNNNNNNNNNNNNNNNNNNNNNNNNNNNNNNNNNNNNNNNNNNNNNNNNNNNNNNNNNNNNNNNNNNNNNNNNNNNNNNNNNNNNNNNNNNNNNNNNNNNNNNNNNNNNNNNNNNNNNNNNNNNNNNNNNNNNNNNNNNNNNNNNNNNNNNNNNNNNNNNNNNNNNNNNNNNNNNNNNNNNNNNNNNNNNNNNNNNNNNNNNNNNNNNNNNNNNNNNNNNNNNNNNNNNNNNNNNNNNNNNNNNNNNNNNNNNNNNNNNNNNNNNNNNNNNNNNNNNNNNNNNNNNNNNNNNNNNNNNNNNNNGGGAUUAUGGGGGUAUGCUAAUGCGGCAACCUGACUGUGAGUCGGGAAAAGCUAAUGAGGCAACUUUGCUUGUGCUGCUUCUUUUUUUUUUUUCUUUUGCUUUCUUUUUUGCUUUUUUUUAAUAAUAUUAAAUAAUAUAAAUUUUAAUUUAAUUUAAUAGAAUAUUAUAUAAUAUUAAUUUUUAUUUUCUCUUAUUUUGACAUCAUAAUUAUUAAUAUAAAUUAAUUAUUUUUAUUCAUAUUUUAAUUUUUAUUACUAAAUAAUAAUUAUAUAAUAAUUAAUAUAUAAAAUUGAUUAAUAAAUACUUAAAUAAUAUAAAAAUAAGAAUAUAACUUGAUAUUACAUUAUUUAAUUAUAUUAUAGUAAUUAAUAUAUAUGAAAAUUUAAUAUAACUAAUAAAAAUAUUUAUAUAUGAAUAAAUUUAAAUAAUAUUAAUUUAAAAUUAAUAUUAAUAAAAAUAAUAAUAUAAAAUAUCAUUAUGUUAUGAUAUUAUUUAGGUAUUAAUAAAUAUUAUUUUCUAAAUAUAUAAUUUAAGUUAAUCACAAAAAAUUAAUACAGUACAGUGUAGCACCAAACAUUGUAUUAUGCUGUAUGCCUGUAUUGUAUUAGCACUGAUUGGGUGUAAAGCGUUUGUAAGUGGCUUUUUAAGUCUGCCGUCAAAUCCCCUGCAAAAGCUUUUUUCUUAAUAUCACGCGUGUUGGUACUACAUAAAACCGUAAACUCUAACAAUUUCUUUGUUCUUUCUUAAUAUCACGCGUGUUGGUACUACAUAAAACCGUAAACUCCAACAAUUUCUUAGUUCUCAACACCCCUUAAUUUACAAGAAUUAAUCACUUCAAGGGUGGAUUAGGUAUAUCUUUAGUUCAUAUAUAACUAGCAAUAUCUAAUAUCCCAUAUACAUGUUUUUCUCCCAGAAUGUAAACCAACUAUUCAUAUCUUAGACUCCAAGUAUUCGUAUCUUAAAGUCAAUCGAUAAUAUUAAUUUAAAUUUAAUAAUAAUAUAAAAUAUUAAUAUAAUAUAAUAUUUAAUUUAAAUUAAUUACAAACAAAUAAUAUAGUACAAUGUAGCACCAAACAUUGUAUAGCAUUAUUAUAAUACAAUGCUAAUGCAAUACAAUAUAAUAUAAUCCACCAACAUUAAAAUAAUAUAAUAUAGCAUAAUACAAUACAGUGUGUCAAAUGCACCCUUAGGGUGUGUUUGGUAUGUGGUAUUGCAUAGCAUUAAAUGUGGGCCCAACAUUAAUUUAAACCAAUAACAUGUUUGGGAGCAAUUGAGGCUUAUUGGGAUUGGGUAUUGAGGGGUGCGCUAAUGCGGGAACCACCGCAUUAGCUUGUCUUUUUUUUUUUACUUUUACUUAAUAAUAAUAUAAAUGAAUAAAUAUAUAAUUUUUAAUUUUUAAUAUAAUAUUAUUUUUAUUUUUAUAUCAUAAUUUAUUAAUAAAUUUAUAAUUUAAUAUGAUUAAUAAUAAAUAUUUAAAUAGUAUAUAAAAUAUAAUAUAAUAUUACACUGUGUAAUUAUUGUAAUAUAAUUAAUAUAUAUAAAUUAUUUAUUUUUAAAUAAUUUAAUAUAAAAAAUAAAAAAAUAUUUAAAUACAAAUGAAUUUCAAUAAUAUUGAUAUACGAUUAAUAAUAACAUAAAUAAUAAUAUAAAAUAUUAGCACAAUUCAUUUUGCUAUUAAAUAUGUUAUAACAAUUUUGUCAUUUUAUAAUUUUGUGGUGUAUAUGAACAUAUGUCUUAAGAUUAUUUUUGAACAAAUCUUGUAGGUUUUAACUAUUUAUUUUUCUUGUUAUAUUAUUUCAAGAUUAUUUGAUUAAAUUAUUUGCUUCGAUAUUUAACAAGUUAUAUAUUUAGAAAAUAUAGAAAAUAAAUGUUAUGCUUCCAAAAAUUAAAGGAUAUAACGUUCGAUCUUUAUGAAGAAUUAUGAUAUUUUUGAACAUUUAUACUAAAAAAUUAUUAAAUUUUUAGAAAAUUAAAAGAUAUAACAUUCGAUCUUUAUGAAGAAUUAUGAUAUUUUUUAACAUUUAUACUAAAAAAAUAAUUAAAUUUCUAAAAUUUAAGACCUCUAUAUUUAGUUUUUUUUAAGUACUAUUAAUAUUAUUUUAUAAAUAUAUAAUAUAAAUUAAUUACAAAAAAUUAAUACAGUACAGUAUAACACCAAACAUAAUAUAAUUAAAAAUUAAUACAGUACAGUGUAAUACCAAAUAUUGUACAAUAUUAUUAUAAUACAGUACUAAUGUAAUACAACAUAAUACAAUACACUGCAUAAAAAUAAUGUAAUUUAGUGUACCAAACACACCCUUACAGAACUUUUGCAUAUCUACACAGCGAUUUUAAAUAUUACUGAUAACUCCUGAGAAAUGUGUGAGAAAGGAGUUGAUAAGAGUAAUAACAGCGACUUGCAAAAGGAAAAGACAGAAUCAUUCACCCCUUUUUAUAUCAUGUAUUUGGUUACUGUUGCCCUGUUGACGCAUGUAUAAAAUAACCGUAUGUAUUUUUUUUGGCUGUUGCUUAACAAAAUGUGUGUUUGUGUGUGUAUAUAUAUAUAUUUGCUGUUUGAAAAAAUUGGAUUCAAAUAAAUUAAAAUGAACUAGAGAGGAAGAGAAAGAAUGAAAAGACAACAAACAAUUGAUAUUGAUCUCGAACCAACUUCUUUCUUUCUUUCUUUCUUUUUUGUGUUUUUUUUUUCGCCCGUACCCCCUCUCAGAUUAGAGUAUUGGCUAUUAAAUGAAAGGUUUUAAGGGUAUGAGUGAAAAACAACAUUCUUUUUUAGAAACUAUUUUAGAGGAGGGAUGCAAAUUAAAUGACAAGAUUAAGACAAACAGGAGAUAUUUUUUCGUGGGCAUUAAGAAAUAACUGCUGUCAAGAUCAAGGAGAUUAUGCUAUUAAUAGAAAUUAUCAAAGGAUUUAGAACAAGUUCACCUCUUUAAUUAUCCGGGAUCAGAUAGUUGAUGAGCUUCUCUUCUUGGCGUUGAAUAUUUAAGAAUAAUUUUAAUGAGCAAAAAGAUCACUGGUAACUGCUGAAAAAUAAGUGAGAAAAGAGUUGAUGAGAAUAAUAACAAUGAAUUGAAUAAAAAAAGGACUUAAUCAUGCACCCCCUUUGCAUAUCAUGUAUUUGGUUACUGUUGCCUUGUUGACGCAUGUAUAGAAUAAUUAGUGACUUCUUUCAUGAAGAAUUAAACUUGGAAUGACCAAAAGACGAAGCUGCGGUGUAUUGUUGGACCAAAUUAAGUUGAAGAAAGCACUAGUUCACAACCUUACGUUUGGAUAUAUUCUAAAGAAAUAAUUAAACAGCAAAUCAUCACAUGCACUUUAAUGAUUUGAUCUAUUGUUUUCAAAAGAAAUUGCAAUUAACAGUUUUUGUCAAAAGUUCGCACUGCGUGAAACUAGUGCUAAUAUAAUUUAAAAAAUUAAUUUCAGUAUUAGUUUUUAAAAUGUUAAUUAUUAUAUUUAUUUUAAUAAUAUAUUUAUAUUUAUUAUAAAAAAUUCUGUUAAACAUUUGUGUUAAAUAGAAUUUAUAAUUAAUAUAAUAUAUCUUAGGUAUUAAUAAUAUUAUAAUUAUUCUAUAUGCUAUUGAAAAUAAUUUAAAUUUUUAGACGUUUAUUUUCACAUUAAGUUUCUAUUUAUUAUAAAAUUUAGUUUAAUAUAGUAUAAGCUUGUAAAGUAUUAAAAUAUUUUUUCAUAUUUUUUGAACAUAUUAAAAUUAUUUUAAAAUAUAUUUAUAUAUUAACAUUGAAGUCAAUUUUUUAAGUUAAUAGAACCAGUAGGUGUUAUAGUAAAAAAGCGUUUCUUAGCAUCACUUAUUGAAAAUAUAAAGAUCUAUAUAAUCAUUUUUUCAAAUAUUGAGAUGUAGUUAUAAAAGAAAAAAUAAAUUAAAAAAUUUUAAAUUUUAAUAUGGCCAUCGUAGAGUUAGAAUCCCCGCUCCAACCCGAUUUGGAGAUGAGCUUGGUCUAUUUAUGUUUUGGAAAAAGAAAAACCAAAGGAAAAAAAAGGCACCCGACCAAAUCAAGUAACUCAUCAAAUAAAAAAUAAAAAAAGGAAAGAAAUUUAAUGACUUGCAUGCAAUUUUGGAUCUGAAAUUAAAAUUACAUAAAAAUUAAGGAUUACGUACCUUAAUAUUUACAGCUUAUUUGAUGGACUCAACAGGUUUAAGCAACAUCAAAAUGUUUGUGGCUCCUUAAAUGAGCCCCCGACAUGGUGCAAAUGACAACAUCGACUUGUUUGACAGCUCCAACAAGGCUACGAUGAUCAGAAGAUGAGCCCUCAAUCAACAAGCUAAGAUUGGCUUCUCUAUCCUCUUCGCCCCACAACCAGCGCCUUGCUCUUUGUCAUUUUUCCUCUUGUUAGUUUUCUUCUACAUAUAAUUAUUACACUGGGAAGUAUACACACACCUCUUUUCUUUUUAUAGUACCUUACUAUUAUAUCUUUACAAAACAAUAUCACCCUAAGACAGCUAUGUAUGAAAUAAAUGAAAUAAAUAUAUAAGGAACUGACGAAAUAAAAUUAGAUCUAACUCUAAUUUCACGUUGCGUGAAUUUUUGACAAUUCACCCGUAUCCCAACAAAAGCUUUGUCAUAUUGCGAAAAUACCUUUUCAAUGUUUCAAUUGCAAUGUCAUUGCCAUUAUUCAUAGUGGCAGACAAUGGACGUCACGGGACGGUAGAAGUCUAUGUUACGGCUUGUGCAAGUAACAGCAGCCAAUGGGGAACUUCCACGGGUGCUAGAGGAGAGAGAAAGAGGUCCCAAUGCAAGGUGAUGGAAAUGGGAAAGUUCGAAGCUGUUACUUUCAGCUUCUGCACCUUAGCCAUGUCCCACGGGACAAGGCUAGAAGUUAUCAUGACCAUAAACUUUUCUAAUUUAUUUUUUCCUUUCAAAAAGGGACAAGGAUACGUUUCGGAGAAUGAUUAUAUUUUUAAUAAAAGAAUUCUUUUUUAUUAUAAUACUUUUUUCUUUAUUAAUUUAAAAAUAUUGACUCUUAUAUUUUAAUAAAUAUAAAUAUAAUAUUAUAAUAAAAUAUAACAAUAUAUACAAAUAUUUAAAAAAAUUUAAGAUUUUAUUAAAAGAAAUUUUAUAAUAAAUACAAAUAUAUUAUUAAUAUAAUUAUAAUAAUUUGCAUUUUAAAAAGUAAUACUGAUAUUAAUUUUUUAAAUUAUAUUACUCUACCAAAAAAAUUAAACUAUUAAAUUAUAUUGAUAUUUAUUAAAAAAAUUGAAGUUAAUUCUUAUUAUAUUUUUAAUUGGAAUUUUUUCAUGUGACAUAAUUACAAUUGCUACAUUUUUUUCCCUAAAUAAAGAUGGGAGUUAUAAAUUAUUUGUAUAAGUGUCUGUGUGUAAACUAAUGUGACAUGAAAGUAAUAGCUGAAUAACAAUAAUGGAGCUUUAGGUAAUUUUUUAUGAGGUCUUCUUGCAAUUUCAACACUUAAACAGACUUGUCCUUGAUCCCAAUUUAUUUACCCCAUUUGGGCCCCUUAUGACAAACAUAUUCUUGUGGAAUGAAAAACAUCAGGAGAAGAAAAUGUUUUAUUAUAAUAGAAAAAGUUGUCCAUAAGUCUAUUCAUUUUUUUUUUAUUCAAUACAAAUGCGGGCCGCGUUCUGUGGGUCUNNNNNNNNNNNNNNNNNNNNNNNNNNNNNNNNNNNNNNNNNNNNNNNNNNNNNNNNNNNNNNNNNNNNNNNNNNNNNNNNNNNNNNNNNNNNNNNNNNNNNNNNNNNNNNNNNNNNNNNNNNNNNNNNNNNNNNNNNNNNNNNNNNNNNNNNNNNNNNNNNNNNNNNNNNNNNNNNNNNNNNNNNNNNNNNNNNNNNNNNNNNNNNNNNNNNNNNNNNNNNNNNNNNNUAAGUAGAGUGAGACUCUGGCAUCCUCUAAAUAUCUCUCAACACUCUUUCUUAUUAACCCCAUUAAAAUAUUUAAAAAUAUUAUAAAAUUCUUUUAACACCUUUUUUAUGGCAAAAAUACCCUUAGUUUAAAUUUAUUAAUAUAAACCCCAUUUUAAUUUUUGACCCCUGAUUGUGAUUUUUUUUUAAAGCACCUGAAUUUUGAAACAAUUAAUUAUCUAUUGAAAAAGAAAGAAAGAAAAGGAAAACAAAAGGAAAAGGGCACUUGCUCCAAGAAAGUUCUACUUUAAUGUGGCAAAUCAUUGAAACACCACAUGGCCAAAACUUUACUCUAUGCAUGACAACUCAUUGUAAUUGAUAAUGACCCUCGCAAACACUUGGCUACCAUGCGUGUAAUUCUAAGGCCAAGUGCUAAUUUGGUUUACUGAUGAAGAUGCUGAGCACAAGCUUCUGAAAAUGCAGAAUUACGAAUUUUUCGAAAGACUGCGAACCUUUAUGGAGAAAGACAACUAGGCCACUGGAAAACAUGUCGGUGGGAAAAUAAUUCUGAUGAUCGUUCAGCUCGUCCUUUGCUUCAUAAUUACUUUCUUCUUUCUUAAUUUCUCUCAUGGGUCUCGGUUUCUUCCUGAAGCUUGUUGAUGAUGAGUUGCAUAUGCCGAUAAUUCCUCACCAGAAAAUAAGAUGAAAAGGUAACUUUCUUAAUUUUUAAAAUGCUGAAUUUCAAUUUAAGGUACUAUUCAUUUUGUCUCUUUCAAGUUAUUUUUCAUUUUUCUGCUGAUAUUUUAAUAUUUACAGUCAAUUGUAGCAUUACUUAAAUUUAUAGUAUGUAGAUCAUAAUUCAUAAAUUAGUUUGCAGUUGGAGUAAACUCGAAAAUGUUAAAAAAAUAAUAAUAACAACAAAAAGAGUAGAGACAAGUUGUCAUCUUGAGUAACAAUAAAAUAAAGAAUUGCAGCUUUUACAAAGUCUUUCUUUAAAAAUAUGAAAUGAAUAAAAUGACUAUUAAAAUGGUUCAAAAUUUUCUGAUAGUGUCAUUGACUAGCUAGAUCAAUUGUUUCUUGUGUGGUAACUUCAAACACCAAAUCCUUGAAAGCAAGUAUAUUAGUUUUGUAUGGUGUUGCCCAGCCUUCUGCACAUGGUUCAUGAUAUUUGAUCCAACUAUUCGCAAUAGGAGGAAUAGGUGAAGCUGGAAGCAUGAACACCUGUAAAAAAAAAAAAAAAGCCAUAGAAAAAUUAGUCCAAUAAUUAAGAUAUUGCAGCAUAAUUUGAAUUUCUAAACUUUUACAUACCUCUAUGAAAUGAUUUCUAUUAACAAAUCCAAUAGCAAUGAUUUUAUGCGAGGAGCGUGAUAAUGGAAUAGAUCUAAGUGGAAGGAAUGUGACAAUCAGCACAUCUGAUAUAUGUAGUAAUACCACAUUAUAUUUAGAAGCAAUAAUAUGACCAAUUUCAGGCAUGGUCAUCCAAUACUCUCUUCCUGGGUUAUUCUCAAAGUAUAAAAGUGAAUGAAGCACCUCCUCUGCUCUACCAGCAUAUUCAAAGACUCUUUUAUAAUCAUUAAAGUGACUUUGCAACUCAACAACUAAGACUUUCCUGACUUGUGCCCAGUUAUCUUCACCAAUACCUAUUAGGUCAGCCACUGCCUGAAAACCACAAUUACCAUCUGCAACAACAUCUCUAACACCACAAAUAUAAGGCCUCAAACCAAAUGGAAAUGAAUCAAUAUAAGAAGCAUGCUUUGGUGCUUUUGUUUGAGAAACACUCAUUUUUCGUUGCCCUUUUGGUUUUUUUGUAGUUGUACUUGAAGACAUAAUGUCUGGAGAAUGAUUAUCCUGUGCGGAUACUACAUACUCAAAUCUUGAUGGAUCUCGGCGGGUAGAUUUAUCAAGCUUUUGGGAGGGUCGUCCUCGAGUCUUAGCUUUAACAGGUAGCUCAAUUAAAAAAGUUAAGAAUGGAUCAGCUAAUUCUUUCAGUUUUCUUUUUAUUUGCAUUUUUCCGAAACCAUCUGAAUCUUCAAAACGCUUGAUAAUCAUUUCCAUUUCAGGGGUACAACUCAACUCUGCUGAUUUUUCAUAGCUGGUGCAGACAAGGUCUAAUUUCCUCCAAUGCAAAUGUACAGAAUCUAAAGGUAUCGGUCGACCUUCACGCUUAUACUCUGCAAUUUCAUGUGCACACGGUAGCCCAUAAGUGUGUCGAACUACACAACCACAUGCUGAAAUAUCUAUACCAAUUAAAUCAGCUCUUUUUGACUCACUUAGUAUCAUAUCUAAUGCAUUUCUAGCAACUAACCCCCUUAAUUCUUUAAAAACUGAAGGUGUGAAACUAUGUUGCACAGUAGUCAAACUCUUCUCAAAUGAUGCCUUAAUUUUUGUAUGUUGCAACUCUACCAAAGAAUGAAGUUUUGUCCAUAAUGUUACAAAGUUUCCUUGGGAUGAACAUAGUUGCCUUUUUAAUUUUGAAUGUGCAGUCUCAGCCCUAAAAAUAAACCAACAAAAAAAUAAUAAAAAGAUAUAUAAAAAAAUGGUGUUGAGUUUAUUUAUAAAAUCAUUGAAAACUAAAUAUUGGUUACCUGUUGGUUGUCAUAUUUCCGAAAUGCAUAAUAAAGUCUGUCCAUGCUGCAAUAAAUUUUUCUUUAUACUUAUCAAGCCAUGUCUACUUCACAUAGACAAGUGCUUUCGGAUAUCUAGCAUAAUCACUCUAAAAAAUACUCAAGUGUUGUAUGUACUCUUGUUCAGUGGCUGAGAACACCAGUACAUUCCAGUUGCUGUUAAAGGCUUCCCAUCUUUCAUUAGUAUGAAAUAGCCUCUUAUAAUUAGCUAACACAUUUUUUGAAAUAUGCCAUCUACAAAGUAAAUUAGUUGCACUUGGAAAUAUCUUUUCAAUGGCAUUCAUCAGAGCUAAUUCCCUGUCUGUCACAAUCACAGCUGGUAACAUAUCAUCUUGCAUAAUGGUUUUCAAUCUUUCUAAUGCCCAAAUAUAGUUAUCUUCUCGUUCGGACUCAAGAUAUGCAAAACCAACAUUAAAUGUCUUUGCAGUCGAUGUGUCACCAACUAUUUCUAACAACGGAAACUUAUACUUAUUGACUUUAUAAGUGCAGUCCAUUAUCAGAACACUUGGAAAAGCUUUUAACAAAUCAAAAGUAAGAGGAUGUGCCUAAAAUAUGUCUUUCACACAAUUUGUAUCAUCAUCACUCCGAUGCCACUCAAUGUAAUUAUGAUCAUGCAAUUUACUCAUAAGCUGUUGCAUUUGUGACCGUCCGCCCAAUUCGCGAACCUUAUAUUUAUACCGAGCAUUAUAAACCGUCUUCAUUGUUGUAACAUUAAAUGUAUCCCUAGUCUUUAAAGUAUGUAAUAUCUCUUUUGGCCGAACAUUAUUUUUAGACAAAUCAACCAAUAUACUAACAUCUUCAUUAGUAAGUCUACCUGCAAAUGAGUGGCCCUCAAGAUAUUGUGCAAAAUGAUGGUUAUGCAAUCCACAGAUUACUUUUAACACCCAAUCUUGAUUAUUCACCAACAUUUGACCCUUUAAUAAAAAUGGACAGCCACACUUUUUUGUUCCAAUUGCAUUCGGUCUUUUCUUCUUUUCCAAGUCGCUAUUCUGCUUAGACAUGUUGGUACUUCUUUUCGGAUAUGCACCACUUCUUUCACAAGCAAAAAUUAUCCUUGGUCUCCUUCCAAUCACAUUCACGUCAGAUCUUUUAAUAAUAAUCACAAGUCCAUUUUUUUCCCAACAUCAUGCAUCCAUCGAAUCAACUUGUCUCUACUGGUGAAAACCUAUGAGAAAGACAAUAAUAUAUUAGUUAAUGAUACAAAGAAAAGAGAAUAUAUGUAUGAAAAUUUAUUUAGCAUUUUACCUCUUCAGUAGUGAAUGCAGCAGUGUAAUCCAUAACAUCUACUUUAUUAUCAAGAAUGACAACUAUGGUAGAACUUUCCUCCUUUACAAUCAUUGUAAGAUAUUACAUAAGUUAAUACAAGACACAAAACUAGAAUAAUAGCAAUUUAUUCAGCAAUAAUCAACCAAACAAUUGACAUUUGUUAAGGGAUAUUUGUUGAACAUUGUUCAACGCUCUCCCAGUCAUUAUAAUUCUAAAACAAUAAAUUAAUAGCAAACUUACUUUUUUAUUAUCAUCCCCAUCUAUUUGCAUGAUUAUUUUGCCCUAAAUUUGAAACUCUUAGAUUAGGGUUUAAGAAAGAAAAGAGAGUUUAUAUCGUAUGCCACACAAAGAAUUUAAAACUCUUAAACAAAAAUAUGCCAUAUAAGAAAUUUUUAAGGGGAAAAAAAUAUUUGAUUUUGAGUGGGGGUUUAAUUAGAAAUUGUCUUAUUAUGUAAUUUUAAUAAAGGUUAAAAUUGUAAAAUAACUAAAGGGGUGUUAAGAGGUAUUUAGAGGGGUGCCAAUAGUCCCACUCAAAUAAGUAAUGGUAACAAAAGACUAAUUUGUAAUAUUGAAGUGUACGGGCUUAACUAAAUCCAAAAAUUAGUAAGUUAGCUCAAGAGUUGAGAGUUGUCCAAAUCUUAAAUGUUGAACCCAAGUUCAAUACUCAAUUGAUGCGGGAUGUUAUUCCUAACACCUCCCGUCAUGUGUAGGAUUGGUAAAAAAACUCGGGUCAGUCCCGCCUAGACCUACGGGCUUUAUGCAUGGCCCGCAUGAUGAAGUUACGAAAUUAACCUAAAAAUUUGAAACUUACGAUGAAUGGCCUUGCUUAAAGAUUUUUGCAACUUUAAUUUAUAACGAGUAUGUAUAUAUACACACACAAAAGUUUAGAUUGCAUUUGGAUGACUUUUUUAAUCAAUUCAAACAAUCUGAAAUUUAUCAGAUUAAUCCGAAUUUGAUCUGUAUCUGAUUUUGCCCGCCCCUACUAUUUAUAAGCCCAAGUGACUCUCUUUUACUAAUUAAUAAGGGAAUUUUUUACCUUAUAUCCUUGCUGUGGCGUUAGACUACUGGUCAUUUUGAUUGUUUCCUACCUUCCAUUUACGCCAGUUGUAACAUUGUAUUAUUCACCACUUUAGCCAUUUAAAUGAAAUUUUAUUUUCAUAAAAAAUAAAAUGACACCCUUAAAAUUUAAAAAAUAGAUAUGUAGAUCUCAAAUUUUUAAUAAAGAAUGUCAAUACCCCUUUUAACUACAAGAUUCUUAGUAGAUGAUAACCAAAAACAUUAACUUCAAAUUUUUCACUAAAUGUAAAUCUGAUUGAAAUAGUUUAAUUUUUUUCUAGUAGACUAAUAUGUAUAACUUAUAUAAUUAAUUUCAUUAUUAAUUUUUAAAAUGUUAAUUAAUAUAUUUUUAAUUAUUAUAAAAAUUUUAAAUAAAUCUUGGAUUAGAUAGAUUUUACACUUAAUGUAAUACUUCUGAUUUAUUAAUAAUAUUAAAAUUAUUUUAUAUGAUAUUCAAAAUAAUUUAAACUUUUAUAUAUUUAUUUUAAUAUUAUGUCUAUUUAUUAUAGUUUGGUUUAAUAUAAUACGGGAUUGUAAAAUAUUAAAAUAUUUUUCAAUAUCAAAUUAUUUUAAUAUGUAUAUAUUAUUACAUUUAUUUUAAUAUCACAUUUAUAUUUAUUAUAAAAUAUAAAAUUAAUAAAAUUAAAGAGUAUUGCAGUAAAGUAAAAAAAAAAGUCUUAUUAUCCCAUAUUCACGGUAUGAGUUUCUACAAAAUUAUUUCCUCAAAUGGGUGACCUUUCCUCAUUUUCAAAAGAAAAAAUAAAGUAAGAAUAAGUCCAGGGUUUCAAAAACUUCUAGUCUUAUCCCAAGACCUCCAUUGUCUACCACUAUGACUAAUGGAAAUGACAUUGCAAUUGACAUUGCUUUUCGCAACAUGACAAAUUUUUGGUGGGAUAUGAGAGAAUUGUCAAAAGUUCAUGCCGCGUGAGAGUUUUUGGUGGGAUGUGGGAGAAUUGUCAAAAGAUCACACCACGUGAUAUAACCAUAAUUGCUACAAUUUUUUUUAAUAAUGAUGGGAGUUAUAAAUUAUUUAUAUAAAUUUGUGUAGAAACUAAUGUAACAUAAAAGAAGUAGCUGAAUAACAAUAUUUGGUGCUUUAGGUAAUUUUUAUAUGAGCCUUUCUUUUAUUUAGCGACUUUAGUGCUUAAACAAAUUUGUCCUCGAUCUUAAUUUACUUACCCCAUUUAAGCCUAUGAUGACAUAAACAUAUUCUUUUGUGACGAAAACAUCAAGAGAAGACAUCUCAUGUUUUAUUAUAACACAAAAGAAGUGGUCCAAACGUCUAUUCAUUCUUUUAUUUACUCAAUAUGAAUGGCCAACUUUAAAAAAUGAUAAAAAUCACACCACGCUCAACUGAAAAUUUAUAAUUACAUUUUUUAAUACUCUCUAUACUCUCUAGCCUCUCUCUCCUGCCCCCUUUUUUUUUUAAAAAAUAAACCUUAGUGUAAAAUUAGAAGAAUUUUAGAUAUAACAUUUGACAAUCGCUAAAUAGAAAAGUAGGGGAUUGAAAAUAGAGGAGCUCUGUUAUCAUUGGAAUAUUGAUUAUAGAUCAUAUAAUAACUUGUUGUGGUUCAUUGUAGCACUCUGAGUCAUAUUCUAAAAUUUAUAGGUUUCUUAAGGUUUUUAUUAUUGACAUUAUUGUGUCAAUACUAUUAUAAUUUAUUCAUUUUAUUGUAAUGAUAAUUUGUCUAGUCUUAGGUACUUAUUAUAUUAAAUUAUGUAAAUUAAUUGAGAAUACAUUUAGAGACAAAAGAAACACGUGUAUGUAGGAUUAAUAAUCGCAGAGUUGUAAAUGAAGGUGAUUGCUUCAUUGAGAGGCAUAUUAAAUAAUUAUGGAGAGUUGCACUAUUUCGGAAGCAUAUAUUUAUACUUCCCUAUCAGGAUUUGGGGUAAGCGAAGUGCUUUAUGUGUUGUAGUAAGCAAUGUGGGCAAUAUCGGAGGCGAAAUAUUAAAAGAUCAUAACGCAUAUAUUUGAGCCAUUUAUAUUGAAGACACGUAUUGAAGACACGUAUAGAGGAAAGAGUGCAUAUCCGGCGGUAACUAUUAUCAGGCUUUCCUAAAAUAUUCUCAUGCUUCCUCAACUGUUCUGAACUAUUCUUCAUAGUGGGCAGAUUUACUUAAAUACCCUUCUACCUAACAAAACUUGGUACUUCUAAUUGCACUCGCAGAGAAUCUAUAAAAUUAAAAAAAAAUUCAUCCAUGAAAAGCCUCGUAACAGAAAAACCAUCUUUCAAAAAAUAAUAAUAAAAUAAAAACAGAAAAACCGACUCAUUUAUCUGCCAAUGAACCAAUCGGGACUCAUUUAAAAAAGAUUACAAAGCAAAAGUAAAUGACACAAAUUGCAUAGAUAUCUAGGAGCCGCAUCAAAGGGCAAUGGUGUUAAUUUGUCCGAGUAAUAAUUAAUUUCAAUAUUAAUUUUUAAAAUGGAAAUUAAUUUAUUUAUAUUUAUAAAAUAUUUGUAAUUAUUUUAAAAUUUUAACUAAAUCCUUAGGUUAAAUAGAUUUUACAAUUAAUAUAAUAUUUCUCAUGUAUUAAUAAUAUUAAAAUUAUUUUAUAUGAUAUUGAAAAUAACCUAAAUUUUUAUAUAUUUAUUUGAAUAUUAUGUCUCUAUUUAUUAUAAUUGGGUUUAAUAGAAUACGAGAUUGUAAAAUAUUAAAAUUUUUAGAUAUUGAAAUUAUUUUAAUAUGUAUAUAUUAUUAUAUUUAUUUUAAUAUCCUAUUUAUAUUUAUCAUAAAUUAUUAGAGUUAAUUUUUUUAGUUAAUAAAUUUAAAAACUAUUCUAAUUUUAAAAAAAAGUCUUAUUGUCUAUUAUUCAUGAUAUGAGGUUCUACAAAAUUAUUUCUCCAGACGGAUGUCCUUUUCUUAUUUUCAAAAGGAAAAACAAGUUCAGGGUCUCAGGGGUUUCAAAAAUUCUGGUCCUAUCUACCACUAUGACUAAUGGGAAACAACAUUGUAAUUGACAUUGCUUUUCACAAUAUGACAAAUUAUUGGAGGGAUAUGGGAGAAUUGUCAAACAUUCACACCACGCGAGAGCUUUAGUGUGGGAUAGGGGAGGAUUGUCAAGAGUUCACACCACGAGAAACUAAUGAUAGGCCCAAUUUCAUUGUCAAUUCUUUAUUUAUUUCAUGCAUUAUUGUUUUUCUAAAGGUAUAAAAGCAAAGUAAAAUACUAGGGGCGCUUUUAAGUUACAAUUGAUGUAACUUACAAUUUUUUCAAAAAUAAUGUAAAAAAAUUAAUAGGUGGUGGGACCCACAUAUUUUUUAAGAGACUUAAGUUACGGCAGUUGUAACUUAACAAAAUUUAAAUAUUAGAUAAUAAUACAUAUUAAUAAUAUAUAAUUUGGGUUUGAUUUUUAAAAGAUUAUUUGAGUACCACCUAUCCUUAUGAUAUUAAUGUGACUAUAUCUUAAUAUUAAAUAAUCAAAAUUUGUUUAAUUGUUAUUUGUAUUUCAUACAUUACAUAUUAGAUUUGUUUGAAUUUUAAGUUGUUGCUAAUAAAUAUUUAUGUUGUCAAAGUCAAAUUCAAUAGCUACAAAAGCAGAGAUAAUGGUAUUGUAUAUAGUUUUUAAGAAUGCAAGGAUAAGCUGGAUAAUUGACAUAAAUUCUAAUGAUUAAAACAGCAACUAUCCCUUAAGUUAUAAUGUCAAUUUCUUUAAUUAGAUUUUUUUUUUUAUGUGAUAUAACCACAAUUGCUACAAAUUUUUUUUUUUAUAAUAAUAAUGGGAGUUAUAAAUUAUUUAUAUAAAAUUUGGGUUGAAACUAAUGUAACCUAAAAGUGGUUGCUGAAUAACAAUAUUUGAAACUUUAGGUAAUUUUCAUGAGUCCUUUUUAUAUUCAGCAACUUGAAUUGGGGGAAAUCCGACUUGAAUUGGCGGUUGAUUUUCGUGAUGUGGCUUUUGGUUUAUGGCGACCUUACAGUGGCAGAAGACUGGAUUUACGGUUGCCGACUGCUAGGGAUUAUGGUGGGGGUGUAAAUUGACGGAAAAAGAAGGUGUUUUGGUGGCGGCGCGUGUAGGAAGCACUCGUGGGUUGUCGUUUCGUGUGGUGGCGGGCGGCGAUCAAGGGCUGAAGUUGGUCGGUUUUUGGUCAACGGAGGCCGGCGAGUUUGUUGGUGGAGGUGGCUGGUGGAGAAAGUGACUGAAUGGUGGUGGGUUGCUUGGUGGAGCCGCGGGUUUGGGUUGGUGAUUUGUGGCUGUUCAAGCGGCGGUUGAGGCAGCGAUGACUGAGGCUUGGUCGACGGUGGCUAGUGAGGUUUGUGGUGGUGUUGGCUGACUGAUCGGCGGUGGUGGGCGGCCGUGGAGGUUGAUGUGACGGGUAGGGUUUUCAAAUUUGUAAAUUUUUUUUUUUGAUGGAUUUGGUUUGGAUGGGUAUCGUGUAUCUAGGAAAGAUGUGCGAUUCGCACAGAAUCCCUUUGACACCAAUUGAUGGAGCGAGGCGUAGCGGAAGCGGAAUUGAUAGGGUAAGAAACAUUAGAUAUUGUUCUAGUACUAGACCAAGCCAACGCAAUUAGCUUACGCUCUAAUCGAAGCGUGAUUAGAUAUCGUUCUAAUCCAAAUAACUCAAUACGAUUUUUAAUAAUGCGUAAUACGAGAUUAAAUGACACUCUAAUCCAAACGACUCUACAAGAGAGAUUUUGAUAAAUAAUCAUAGAGGGGUUUUAUUUAAUAAUUGAACCUGAAGUUAAUGAAAAUAAUGACAAGACAUCUUUAUUUUUUUUUAUUACAGACAUCUUUAUUUAUAAUAAAAGAAACCCGCUUUCCUAAGUUAACCUAAAAAGAAAAUUUAAAUCAUAAUUAUAAUGGAAAUAAAAGAUUAAGAUACAUAUCAUAAUUGACUCAAACUAAAAUAGAAAAUCAUAAAAUAAUAAAUAUUCUAAAAUUAUAAAUUAUCUAAAAUAACGUUAAUUAACUUCCUAAAUCACUUCUUUGGUGUAAACCAUUUUGCAUCCAAACUCGCUUUAAAGGUUUGAACUAACGUUACCAACAACAAUGUAUCAAAUUCCAAUCUAACUUAAGAUCUUGAUGCAUCUAUCGAUGUCCUUGUUUGAUUAGACAAUAAUGAGUCUAUCUCAUCACUUGUUACCUCUUUCUUGAAAGCUACAUCUGUUGAAGUGAUAGCCUCACUUAGAGUUUAAAGAUCUUCUUCCCUGUUAAAUAAAAUGGGCAUUUGAGUAAAAAGCUUUAUCUCUAUCUCCUUCUAUCAAAUAACGACAACUAUCCAAAGGGAAAAAAAAAAUUAGAAAAGUCCAUGGGUCACAAUAAUUUAUGGUCUGUCUCCGGACCCCAUUAUCUGCCACUAUCAAUGAUGAAAAUGAAAAUAAAUGGCAUCUUCCCUAAAUGGCAAAAGAUUUUUGGGGGAUAUAGGGGAAUUGUCAAAAGUUCAUACAACGCGAAAUAAGUGUUACAUCCAAUUUUAUUUCGUCAUAUAAUGAUAAUAUUAAAUAAUGACAACCAUCCAAAAGUAUGAUGGGUCUUCCAAAAUUUUGAAAAUGUCGUCAACAUUUAAUCUUCAAUGCUAAAGAAGAUGAAACGCCCAAAAAUGACACGCAGGACUCACUCAAAAACUAAAUGGCCCUCACCACAUGUAACAAACUUUGACCUUAUGUCCCUGCUGAGGCGUUAGACUGUUGGUCAUUUUGAUUGCUUUUUACCAUCCAUUUACGCCAUUGUAGAAUUGAACUAUUCACCAGUCUAGCUGUUUAAAUGAAAUUGUUAUUUUUUUUCCAAAAAUAAAAUGACACCCUUAAAAUUUUAGAAAAUAGUCAUGUAGACCCCAAAAUUUUAUUAAAGAACACUAAUAUCCUUUUUUACUAUAGUACUCUUAGUAGAUGGUAACAAAAAAAAAAUGAUUGCAAAAUAUUUUAGUAAAUGAAAAUAUGAUUUAAAUAGUUUAAAUUUUCUAGUAGACUAGUAUGUAUAAUUUAAAUAAUUAAUUUUUAAAAUGUAAUUUAAUAUAUUUAUUAUAAAAUUUUUAAACAAAUCCUUGGGUUAAAUAGAUUUUAUAAUUUAUAUAAUAUUUCUCAUGUUUUUAUGUUAUAGAAAUAUUAAAAUUAUUUGAUAUGAUAUUGAAAAUAAUUAAACAUUUUAUAUAUUUAUUUGAAUAUUAUGUCUCUAUUUAUUAUAAUUUGGUUUAAUAGAAUACGAGAUUGUAAAAUAUUAAAAUAUUUUUAGGUAUUGAAAUUAUUUUAAUAUAUAUAUACAUAUUAUUAUAUUUAUUUUAAUAUCCUACUUAUAUUUAUUAUAAAAUAUUAAAAUUAAUUUUUUUAGUUAAUAAAUUUAAAAAAUAUUAUAAUUAUAAAAAGAGUCUUAUUGUCUGCUAUUCACGAUAUGAGAUUCUACAAAAUUAUUUUGAAAAUGAAAAAUAAGUCCAGGGGUUUCAACAAAUUCUAGUCCUAUCUGCCACUAUGACUAAUGGAAACGACAUUGCAAUUGACAUUGGUUUUCAUAAUAUGACAAAUUUUUGGAGGGAUAUGGGAGAAUCGUCAAAUGUUCACACUACGCGGGAUUUUUGGAUGGGAUCAGGGAGGAUUGUCAACAGUUCACACCACGAGAAACCAAUGAUAGCCCUAAUUUCGCUGUUAGUUCUUUGUUUAUUUAUUUUAUUUAUUUCAUACAUUGUUGUCUUGUUGGCAUUGUUUUGUAAAGAUAUAAAAGUAAAGUAAACUAUUAGGGUGCUGCUAAGUUAAGCUGUUGUAACUUGCAGUCCCUUAAAAAAUAAUGUAAAAAAUCCACAUUUGUUUGAAGAGGCUGUAAGUUAUAGUAGUUGUGACUUAGCAAAAUCCAAAUAUUAGACAAUAACGCACAUUAACAAUGCAUAUAAUUUGGGUUUGAUUUUUAAAAAAAUUAUUUGAGUAUUAGCUAUCCUUAAGAUAUUAAUGUGAAUAUAAUUUAAUAUUUAAUAAUCAAAAUCUGUUUAAUCAUAAUAUAUAUUUCAUACAUUGCAUGUUUAAUCAAAAUCUGAUUGCUUUUUACCUUCCAUUUACGCCCACUGUAGCAUUGUACUAUUCACCAUUUUAGAUGUUUAAAUGAAAUUUUUAUUUUUUUUCCAAAAAUAAAAUGACACCCUUAAAAUUUUAGAAAAUAGCCAUGUAGACCCCAAAAUUUUAAUAAAGAACACUAAUAUCCUUUUUAACUACAGCACUCUUAGUAGAUGGUAACCAAAAAAAAAAAAUUGAUUGCAAAAUUUUUUAGUAAAUGUAAAUAUGAUUUAAAUAGUUUAAAUUUUCUAGUAGACUAGUAUGUAUAAUUUAAAUAAUUAAUUUUUAAAAUGUAAUUUAAUAUAUUUAUUUUAAUAUUAUAUUUAUUAUAAAAUUUUUAAACAAAUCAUUGGGUUAAAUAGAUUUUAUAAUUUAUAUAAUAUUUCUCAUGUUUUAAUAAUAUUAAAAUUAUUUUAUAUGAUAUUAAAAAUAAUUAAAAAUUUUAUAUAUUUAUUUGAAUAUUAUGUCUCUUUUUAUUAUAAUUUGGUUUAAUAGAAUACGAGAUUGUAAAAUAUUAAAAUAUUUUUAGGUAUUGAAAUUAUUUUAAUAUAUAUAUAUAUAUAUAUAUAUAUAUUAUAUUUAUUUUUAUAUCCUACUUAUAUUUAUUAUAAAAUAUUAAAAUUAAUUUUUUUAGUUAAUAAAUUUAAAAAUAUUAUAAUUAAAAAAAGAGUCUGAUUGUCUGUUAUUCACGAUAUGAGGUUCUACAAAAUUAUUUUGAAAAGGAAAAAUAAGUCCAGGGGUUUCAACAAAUUCUAGUGCUAUCUGCCACUAUGACUAAUAGAAACGACAUUGCAAUUGACAUUGCUUUUCUUAAUAUGACAAAUUUUUUUAGGGAUAUGGGAGAAUCGACAAAUGUUCACACUACGCGGGAGUUUUAGAUGGGAUCAGGGAGGAUUGUCAACAGUUCACACCACGAGAAACCAAUGAUAGCCCUAAUUUCGCUGUCAGUUCUUUGUUUAUUUAUUUUCAUUAUUUCAUACAUUGUUGUCUUGUUGGCAUUGUUUUGUAAAGAUAUAAAAGUAAAGUAAACUAUUAGGGUGCUGCUAAGUUAAGUUGUUGUAACUUACAAUCCCUUAAAAAAUAAUGUAAAAAAUCCACAUUUGUUUGAAGUGGCUGUAAGUUAUAGUAGUUGUGACUUAACAAAAUCCAAAUAUUAGACAAUAACGCACAUUAACAAUGCAUAUAAUUUGGGUUUGAUUUAAAAAAAAAAAAUUUUGAGUAUUACCUAUCCUUAAGAUAUUAAUGUAAAUAUAAUUUAAUAUUAAAUAAUCAAAAUCUGUUUAAUCAUAAUAUAUAUUUCAUACAUUGCAUGUUUCAUCAAAAUUUGAUUGCUUUUUACCUUCUAUUUACGCCCACUGUAGCAUUGUACUAUUCACCAUUUUAGAUGUUUAAAUGAAAUUUUUAUUUUUUUCCAAAAAUAAAAUGACACCCUUACAAUUUUAGAAAAUAGUCAUGUAGACCCCAAAAUUUUAAUAAAGAACACCAAUACCCUUUUUGACUAUAGUACUCUUAUGGUAGCCACAAAAAAAAAUUGACUUCAAAAUUUUUUAGUAAAUGUAAAUACGAUUUAAAUAGUUUAAAUUUUCUAGUAGACUCGUAUGUAUAAUUUAAAUAAUUAAUUUUUAAAAUGUAACUUAAUAUAUUUAUUUUAAUAAUAUAUUUAUUAUAAAAAUUUUAAACAAAUCCUUGGGUUAAAUAUUUUUAUAAUUAAUAUAAUAUUUCUCAUGUUUUAAUAAUAUUAAAGUUAUUUUAUAUGAUAUUGAAAAUAAUUUAAAGCUUUAUAUAUUUAUUUGAAUAUUAUGUCUCUAUUUAUUAUAAUUUGGUUUAAUAUAAUACGAGAUUGUAAAAUAUUAAAAUAUUUUUUGGUAUUGAAAUUAUUUUAAUAUAUAUAUAUAUAUUAUAUUUAUUUUAAUAUCCUACUUAUAUUAUUAUAAAAUAUUAAAAUUAAUUUUUUUAGUUAAAAAUUUAAAAAAAUAUUACAGUUAAAAAAAAAGAGUCUCAUUGUCCGUUAUUCACGAUAUGAGAUUCUAUAAAAUUAUUUUCAAAAGGAAAAAUAUGUCCAGGAGUUUCAACAAAUUCUAGUCCUAUCUGCCACUAUGACUAAUGGAGACGACAUUGAAUUGACAUUGCUUUUCGCAAUAUGACAAAUUUUUGGAGGGAUAUGGGAGAAUCAUCAAGCGUUCACACCACGCGAGAGCUUUAGGUGUGAUAUGGGAGAAUUGUUAAGAGUUCACACCACGAGAAAUUAAUGAUAGGCCUAAUUUCGUUGUCAGAUCUUUAUUUAUUUUUUAUUUAUUUCAUACACUAUUGUCUUGUUGGUAUUGUUUUGUAAAGAUAUAAAAGUACAAGUAAAAUAUUAGGGGAAGUAAAGUAAAAUAUUGGAGGUGCUACUAAGUUACAGCUGCUGUAACUUACAGUUCCUUAAAAAAUAAUGUAAAAAAUUUAACACGUGGUGGGACCCACAUUAUGUUUGAAGAGGUCGUAAGUUAUAGCAGUUGUAAAUUAGUAAAAUCCAAAUAUUAGACAAUAAUACAUAAUAACAAUGCAUAUAAUUUGAGUUUGAUUUUUAAAAAAAUUAUAUGAGUAUUACCUAUCCUUAAGAUAUUAAUGAGAAUAUAUUUUAAUAUUAAAUAAUCAAAAUCUGUUUAAUCAUAAUAUGUAAUUCAUACAUUGCAUGUUAGAUUUGUUUGGAUUUUAAGUUGUUGCUAAUAAAUAUUUAUGUUGUGAAAGUCGAAUUCAAUAGCUACAAAAGCAGAGAUAAUGGUAUUUUAUGUAGUUUUUAAGAAUACAAGGAUAAGUAGGGGUGGGCAAAUCGGGUUUCGAUUCGGGUUGUUCGGGUUUCGGAUUGGGUUUCAACCCGUUCGGGUUGGAGAAUUGAACCCAAUCGGGUUGAAAGCACCAACCCGAACCAAACCGAACCGAAUUUAAUUCGGUUCGGUUCGGUUUGGGUUGGCAAUUCGGAUCGGAUUGGGUUGAUAAUUCGGGUUAAAAUUUCGGUUCGGGUUAAUUCGGGUUAGAAUGGGUUGGAACAAUUUAAUCUAAAAAUUCUAACAACAACCACUUAAAAUCUAAAAAUUUAAAUUUCAAACAUUCUUAACAACAAAUAUCAAUUACAAAUCAUCCUUAAUAACAUUUCAACAAUUUAAAAAUCUCAAUUCCAAACAUUCCAAACAUCCUUAAGGAACGAUUUAAUCUAAAAAUUAUAACAACCUCUUAAAAUCCAAAAAUCUUAAUUCCAAAUAUCCUUAAUAACAAAUAUCAUCUACAAAUCAUCUUUAAUAACAUUUCAAUAAUUUAAAACUCUCAAUUCCAAACAUCCUUAAUAACAAAUAUCAACUACAAAUCAUCUUUAAUAACAUUUCAAUAAUUUAAAACUCUCAAUUCCAAAUAUUCCAAACAUCCUUAAGGAACAAUUUAAUUCAAAAAUUAUAACAACCACUUAAAAUCUAAAAAUCUCAAUUCCAAACAUCCUUAAUAUAUAUAUAUAUAUAUUUUUUUUUUUAAUUUAAAAGCUGAAUCUUAAAAAAAAAAAAAAGCUUCAACCCGAACGGGUUGAAACUUUGAAUCCGUUCGGGUUUCACCGGUUAACCCAAACCGAACCGAACGCCCACCCUAAGGAUAAGACCAUAACGCAUGAGAUAAUGGUAUUUUAUAUUAAAAGACCAUAACACAUGUAUUUGAGCCAUUUAUAUUGAGGACACAUAUAGAGCGAAGAGUGCAGAUCCGGCCGUAACUAUUGUGAAGCUUCCCUCAAGUAUUCCCAUGCACACAACCCUUAUCUGUUCAAGUUUUCUGAUUCAAUAUAAUCAAUUUCCGAGCAGUACUGACGACAGCUUCUCUGUAAAGCUCUUCAACCACAAGCAUUUCUACAAGGCAAAAGACUAGGACGUGUCGGAAUGAAUAUCAAUAAGGGAAUGUCUUAUGAAUUCAGUUUAUAUCCUAAUAUAAGACAAUCAGUAAAUAUUGGAUGCAAUCUUAGGCUAACAUUUGGUUGAUCAUUAUACAAAAAAAAAGGUACAAAAAUACAAAACAGAGCUGAUUGAUGGCCUCUCACAGUCAGUUAUAUGACAAAGUAGCCAUCACUACUUGAACUUGGCUGGAGGUCUCAUUAGCAGUAUACCUCAGAAAUUAAUACAGAGACUUUAAAAUGCAAACUUAUGGAGCAAUUUAAGCACUGAAACUAAUAACAGUACGGUAUUAGCAAUUGACCUCUGCUUUUUGCUUGGACAAAGGUUCUCAUCACAAGGGACUCAUUAGUUGCCCUUGCCUCACACUUUUGGAUGCUAAGGGGAAAAAGGAAGCUUGAAUUAGUCAAUCUCAUGUCUAAUGGCAUUCACAGAGAACCUAUAAAACCAAAUAAAUAAAUAAAGUUUUCAUCCAUGAAAAGCUUAGUAAUGGAAAAACCGACUCUUUUAUCUGCCACUGACGAAAAAAAAACUGAAGUAUUAAAUAGAUAAUGAAUUUAAUUUUUUUCUUGGAAAAACUAAUAAUAAAUUAACAAUUAGAUAGUACUAUUAAUUAGAGAUCUUUAAUAUUAAGGUUAUCAAAUAUAGAAUGUGUAUAAAAAUUCUUAAUUAUAAGAUAAUUACUAACUAAAAAGAGGCCUAAAAAAGAAGAUUUGCUAUUAUAAGUAAUACCAAAAAUAAAAAGGGAGACUUCCUAAUUGUUUAAUUGUUAAAAAAGAGGAUUUGUUAUUAUAGGCCUAAUUUGCCUAUGCUUAAAACCGUUCCCGGAUGUAAAAAAAUAAAAAUUAUUGUUAAAUUCCUGACUAAUAAGGUCAUUGAAAGUAUUCAAAGGACCUGAACUAUACCACGUUGCAAGUGAGCUCGUAUUUUUAUCCCUUGAUCUGCCAUCGGUAUUUCUCUUCCACUCACUAUACCAUCCUUUUCAAUCGAUUUUUAUUGAUCAUAAGAGACCAUGUGGCCCACCUUUUUUUUAUUUUGGAUCCAUAACCCAAUGCUGGCCCAAGUUAAACAGCAAAUCAUCAAACGCACUUCAAUGACUUUGAUUUUGAUUUUUUUUUUCAAAAGAAGUAAAAAAAUCCAUGGGUCGCAAUAACUGCUGGGAAAUUUAUAAAAAUAGUCAUAAAAUAUUUGUAUUUUUUAACUUUAAUCCCUUAAAGUUUUUUCUAUCAUAACUAGCCAAAUACCCUACUUUUGGACUAGAUUACCCUCAUCACUUUUAUCAAAUUUAUAAAGACAUGCCACUUUUUCAAUUCCAGCACAACUAAAUACGGUUCUUCUUCAAUAACUUAACAAACAUUUAUCACUCUCAACAAACUUCAUCACUCUCUAUAAAUCAAUUACAUAAUUGAAUAUAAUCAUCAAUGGGAGAGCUUCUUAAAAUUAGUUUAUGCUUUUACACAAUGUAAAUCUUUAAUCUAUUGAUUUUAUCAACUAAAUUUGAAAUUAAAGUGGGUUUUGUUACAAAUAUUGUUAUUUUUCAUUCAUAAAACAAUGUGAUUUGUUAAAGUACUUAGUUUGAGUUGAGAAAUGAAGAAAAAUCAUUGAAAAUAUAGAAAAAUCGGGCAAAAAACGAAGUUCAGAACAAGUGAGAUAGGCAAGUGGGACAGGUGCAUGUCUCACAUAAACGCACUGCAUUUAUGUGCGACAGGCACCUGUCCCACUGCUUGUCGCACAUAAACCCAUAAAUUUUAUAGAGUACAUGAUUUUGGAUUUGAUUUGUCUCGUCAUAAGCUUCGAAACAGUAUAUUAUACGCCUAAAACGAACAUAUGUAGCUCAAGUUAUAGCUUUUGCAAUAUAUAUGAAAUUUAGUGAGACAGGCACCUGUCCCACUUGCCUGUCUCACUAAAUUUCAUAUAUGUUUCAAAAAUCAUAACUUGAGCUAUAUAUGUCCGUUUUAGACGUAUAAUAUAUCAUUUCAAAGUUUAUGAUGAGACAAAUCAAAUUCAAAAUUAUGUACUCUAUAAAAUUUGUGGGUUUACGUGCGAUAGGCAAUGGGACAGGUAAAAUGAAUAAACUCUGAGCCUCUCUCUAUAACACUAUAUAGAACCCUAAGCCUAAGUCUCACAUUCGCAACCGCCCCACAUAUCAGAACCACAGCGAACUGCCUCCGACCCUACGGACCCAAAAAAAUUAUUGUAUUCCUGCUCUUUCACUUCAAUAAUUUUUUGUAUUAUUCCAUAUCUUUCACUUUAAUAACCCAAAAGCUUUCCUCUGUUUCAACCCAAAAGCUCAAAUUCCUUUUUUCAAUCGAAAUAAAACGUAGCCACAAAACCCUAAUUCACCACACCAAUUUAUCUCUGCCCGGUAUUCAUUUAAACCCUACCUCGCGGUUCAAUGUCAUUCAAUACGAUUGCAGAUGCCGUUUCAACUUGACAUUUAGUUAGCGCCAUCCCGUUCUCUAUGGUAAGCCUUAACCCUAACAACUAAUCGACUGUGGUAGCACGUUGCUUGUUAGGAGUGGGGAUACAUUAUUUGAAUAUAUGAAUUGGGUGAUGUUAGUGAUUCAUUCCCCUAUUUUUCGUGAAUUGAGAUUUGUGUAUAAUGCUAGUAAGAUUGCUAAAAAUUUCAUAUUUUGUAUUGUUCCAGUUGAAUUUCUUGCUUGUGGAAGAUAAAACAAAAGUUCAAUUUCAUGUUGAUUUAAUUCUUCUUUUUUUUUUCUUCUUUAUAGUCACGCUCUGGCUUUGGUGCUAUGCUUAGUGCAGUUUAUGGUUUCAAGAUUAAGUCACGUUUAUUUGAUGGCAUCGAUUCCAUCAUUAAGAAGCUCUUCUUAUUUUAUCUCAGUUUCAAUUUUCUUUUAUUAUCUGCCUCUACCUGAAAAUGGACGUGUUUUACUAGUAAGCAUAGACUUUGUUUAUUUAAUUGAUAUUAUAAUUUUAUGUAUAAGAAUGGAGGUUUAUUUUGAAAAAAAAAAAGAAAUAAAAAAAUAGACUCUGUUGAAGCUAAUUAGUACUGAAUUUUUUUUGGUGGUGCGACCAGAGGUGGAAACAGGGUAUGAAAAUGUGUUACUGGUGAGGUUGCUGCUUAAGAUGAGAAUGGCUAAAAAUCUGUCAUACGUUCAAAUUUUGUUUGUGUUUGGAAGAAUGGUGUUGACUGUAUAUUCGUUUGGAAGAAUGGUGUUGAUUGUAUAUUCAUUUGCUUAGCCUUUUGACAGAUGGAUUUGAAACUGACGACAAAUGUGAUUCAAUUUACAAGGUUUUCGAGGGGCUCACAGUGGAAGGGAUAUUGAAGAACUGGUCUAAGAUAAAGCCUAUGAUUGUGAAAGAUUGGAGUGAGAAUAUAGAUGCUCGUUUAAAUCUUUUUGGCAAGGUCAGAGAUGAAUGGAUAGAUAAGGAUUUAUUUGACUACUUCGUCUGGUGCUAAUAGGUAUUUUAGGCAAGCUUUUUGAGAUAACACUGAGCAAGUUAUACUACUAGUUUGCACAUGAUGAUCAAAACUCUCGAAAAGUAAAAUAAAAUAAAUUAUUAACUUUUACUUUCAUCUUUUGCAUAGCAAUCAAUGUGGUGCUUGUUCUGUGACAACUUUGAUAGUCUACUUAAUUAUUGGUUAGCAUUUGGACCAAAAAAGUUCUUAUGAUUUACAUGUUUUGUAGAAAUGCAUGAACCUUAAAUGUGCUGAUCAGGGAGUUUAAUUAUUGCACCUUGAAAUUCAUUUAUUGUUAACUAAUUGGCUUUCCUUUGCAUAAAGACGCUUAUAAGGCUUGAGUGGACGUCUUUAUGGGCAUAUUAUUUGUAUUUCUAUAUGCAUGCCUUUAUCAUUAAUUUAUGUGCUGCUUGUAUUUCUUUAUGCAUGCCUUUAUCAUUUAAUGGCCAGCUCCCUCUCCUCUUUUGUAAUUUGAAUGGUAGUAUGGGCCUCCAUUUUACAAAUCUUUAACAUUUUUUGCUGUAAAUUAAUUUUUCUUUCAAAUAUUUUGGAGGUCAUUGGAAUUCCUGUAGGUCUAUUUACCAGAUUUUAGUACGUUUAAGGUUUUAAUUUUGCUUAGACUUUAAUUUCUCUGAAAGAUUGUAGUAUUGAUCCUCAAAGAAAGAUCAUGCUACUUCAAAUUAUUUUGAAGUGUUGCUAGUUAUAGCCUUACAUAUCAAAUUCCAUUUGUCUGGAAAUUUAUUGAUAGUUGUUACAGCAGCAUAUUUUAUGACUCUACUUCUUAGUUAUGUAAGUUCAUUAUGUUUAGGUCAGAGGCAGUCAGCUGUGGGGAAUCGAUAUAUACACAGAUGACUUUGAUCUUGUUGCUGGUACGUGGUUCUAUGAAUAAUUGUUCACAAUAAUUGUGUUUGCCUCACUGUUUUUGUUUUAUGAGGUCUAUAAUUGAUCUUGAGAUAUUACUUUCUAGUUCUCAUGCAAGCAAGUUACUACCUUCCCACUGCAUCUCCUCCUUUAUCUGCUAUUCAAGAGUUGCGUGCCAUAAUCUGGUGUUACCUCUGCAAGAUUGUGAAUGAAUAUGAUGCCUCUAAAUUUAUUUUAUACAUAAUGCUGAUGCUGAAUAAUAUAUUGUAGCUCCUGUCAUAUUCUACUUUGACUUUUUAUAUUCUGUUUCAUAUAAAAAUCUUAUUCAACUUUAGUUGUUCAUGAGCAAAUGUCACAUGUAUAAGCCCAAAUGAUGCUUAAAGGUAGCGCGGCUACCUUUAGUUUGAGCCUACAAUGGAUGAAAAAGAAAUUGAAACUGAUAUUUUGCUGUUUUUCUGAUUUUUCAAAGUAUUUUAGAUCCUGACUUUUGUUUGGACUUGAUGGUUAUAGAUUGUGUCUAGAUUUGUUAAGUUGUUUCCAACACCUCGUGCCAAAUGAAAGCACAAUCUUUCUGAUUCAGAUGUCUUGUUAAUUAUGCUUCAUUUUUUUCGUUAAAGAAUGGAUGGUUGCAUGGAUUGAUGGAGUUGGAGUUCAACCAAUAAUUCUAAUUUUUUGGACUUAAAAUGCCUUUUUCUUCUGUAUAAAAACUUUAGUAAGUGCUAUUGAGUUGACAGAAGUUGAAUACUUACAGGUUGUUUCACACAUUUUAAUCGUUUUACAUAUAUGAAUUUCUGUUUUUUGAAUUGCAGAAAGGAGGUGGAACUAUUGAUUUGGAGCCUUAUCUUACUCAAUCAUCGACAGCGGAGCCUACCCUCGCUCCCAUGGCAGUGGAACGGACAACGACUACUAGGGCUGCAACAUCAGUUGGUUUGGGUCUGUUUUGAGUUUAUUGUCAUUUAUUUGGCAAUGUUUUGAUAGCGAAUUUUGAUAUGUCAAUAUAAUGUGUAAUUGUUUUGGGUUGAGCUGGUAAUUAUGCUGGAUUAGAUUGGUUUGGUUUUGGUGCUUCUCUGACGGAACACUGCUUUUUUUAGAAAUUUUGAAUGUAAUAUGAGACUACAUUUAGUUUAAUUGAACACUGCAUCUAGUCUAAUUACUAGACGUGUGGCAUUUGGUUUGGUUUAUCCGAUAUUCUCCAGAAUUUCACUUGCAUCUGGUUUUGUUGCAUAUGUUUGCUUGCAUUUGAUGGCAGUAGCAGACUGUUUGGUUUUGUGAGAUUUGAUGGCAGUUUGGUCUGUUCUUGGUGUUGAUUUAAGAUUGUUCCUGUUGUGCUGAUGUUAAUUGCAGGUGCUUGAAUCAGCUAGGGUUGCUGGUUUAUUCAGAUGGUUGACUCAGGCGUUGUUACUGGUUAAUUCAGGUGGCUGACUCAAGUUGUUCAUUUAAUGUUAGGAAGCAAAUUAAGAAUUAAUGAAGUAUUCAUUUAACUAUAAUUUUUGUAGUUAUAUUAUUUCAUAACUGAAUUAUAAUCUAUGAUACUUUUGAACAAAUUAGAGAAUUUUUAAAUAUGAAUUAAAUAUGUGUGUGUAUGUACAUUUUGCUAUUUAUAUAAUAAUUUAAAGAAUAUAUUUCAAUUCCCACAAAAAUAAUGGCUCCAAUUUCAAUAAUUCCCGCCAAAUAAUUAAAUUUUUUUAAUUUACCACCAAAGUAUAUCUUAAAGAAAUUUUAGUUAUUCUUGCUAGAUUUAACAAAAAUAAUUUGUAGGAUUAAAUUUAAUUAAAAUAAUUAAAUAAUUUUAUUAUUCCAAUUAAAAAUGUCAUGUUUAUACGACAGACAAUAGUCAUGAAUGGGAAGUAUUCGUUACAUGUUUUUCCUUGGGAUUUCAGGCAAAUGAAAAAAAGAUUGAGAAUGAUUUCAAGAGGACAGGUGGAUGAUAAGUAUUCAUUUUUGUAUAUUUGGCUAAUGUCCUCAUUAGUGGAUUUUUAUGGUAUUGAUCUUUUUUUUUUUUUAAUUUUCAAUUAGUUGCAGCCCUAGAGGAAGAGCAGGCUGAUCAAAUUGAUUUGUCUUGUUUUUGGGGCAAUCUACGACACGAUGACCGUGAUAAUGCUCGUGACUGCUGGAAACUUUCUGAUGUAAAUAACUUUAGAGUUCGUAGCAAGCAUUUUUGUUAUGACAAAACAAAGGUUCCCCCAUAUUUUGUUUAUUUGUUAUUUAUGGUACUUAUUUAUGGUAUUUAUAUAUCCUGCAUAGGCUAGGUAGACAGGUUAUGAUGUAGUUUGGUUGGCUCUUCUUGUGCUUUGUGCAAUUUGUAACUGCAGAUACCUGCGGGAAAACAUUUAAUGGAUCUUGUUGCUGUUGAUUGGUUCAAAGACACAAAGAGAAUGGACCAUGUAACUAGGCAUCAAAGCUGUGCUGCACAAGUAACUAUUCUUCUCUUUUUUAUUUUUCCUUUUCCAUUGACGGAUUAGAAGAAAAUACUGCCUGUGAGAUACUGUAAUGUAAAUAACUUCUCAUGGUUCAUUGAAUCUAUAACACACUGACCCUCUUCUAAAAAAUGUAGGUUGCUUCUGAAAAAGGGCUUUUCUCACUGAUCUUUAAUCUUCAAGUAAGUUUGUUUCAUUUCAGAAGGUAUUAAGUUUCAAACUUAUUGUAUUGGGAGGUUGUAUAGUUGUAACCUAAGCAUCUGCAGGUUCCUGGUUCAACACAUUAUAGUAUGGUAUUUUAUUUUGUCACAAGGCAAUUGGCUAUGGGAUCACUUUUGCAACGGUUUGUUGAUGGCGAUGAUGAGUUUCGCAAUAGUAGGUUGAAACUUAUUCCAUCUGUUCCUAAGGUAUCCAUCUUGGCCUUCAUGUAUUAGGACUAUAUUAAUGUAUACUUACCCUUUACUGCAUGGUACACUUCAAUUUGUCCAAAGAAGGCAUGCAUUUAGGUGAAAAUGUAUUGAUGGGUUGUACCUUCAAACUUCAUGUCCUUUUUACCCUCUUGAAUUUGUUUUGCACUUGUUCUUGAUUUUAAGCACUGAAUCAUGCAGGGGUCAUGGAUCGUGCGUCAGAGUGUUGGAAGCACCCCUUGUUCGUUAGGGAAAGCGGUUGAUUGUAACUAUAUUCGCAGUCCCAAGUACUUAGAAGUAAAUGCUCUUGGAAUUUCUAUAGUACAUGAGAUGUUCAUCUUUCAAAUAGCAUCCGAUACCAUUAACAUGGUUUAACAUUGUUCAUCUUUCUGUAGAUUGAUGUUGACAUUGGUUCUUCUACCGUUGCUAAUGGAGUUUUGGGCCUUGUAAUUGCUGUAAUUACGACAUUGGUGGUUGACAUGGCUUUCCUUGUACAGGUAUGUAUGAUUGUUUUUUUCCCCCACUUCUAAAUGGACACAAGGGAAAAGACAUGAUUUUGAGAUAUUGCACUGCAAUUUGCAUUUUUGCAUACUUGAAUGUUCUCAGAAUGGUAUAAUGCUUCGUGUGUGUCUUCUUUAUCUUGCUCUUCUGUAUGCAGGCAAAUACUGCAGAUGAAUUACCGGAGCGGCUGAUUGGUGCUGUAGGUGUUUCUCAUAUAGAACUCAAGUCUGCUGUUGUCCCAAAGUUGGAACCAGAGAUAUCAUGACUGUGGUUUCAUUUCACCUCAACUGUGUUUUUUUUUUAAUUAAAAAAAAUCAUUUGUUUUAGGUAUAUACAUACAUGUAUUUUGAUUCGAUUUUCAUUGUAAUUUCUCAUUUACUUCGAAUGAAAGUCAUUGGUGUUUUCGAAUGGGGAUUUUGCAUUAAAAAAUGAACAAUAGUGAAUAGGAAAUUUCCUGAUUCUUUAGUUACUAUUUUUGGUACGAGUGUAAUUAGUAGUAAAGUUGGUUUCUACUCGCAAACAAGUAAACUGCUCGAUUCCCGAGUGGUAUCAACCAGUUUCCAACUUUUUAAUAUACACUAAUUGUUCUUGUUUAAGAGAUACUACUAUUAAAACUCAACAGCUAACAAAAUUACUCAAAAAAGAUGAUUUUUCUUAUGAUGCUGUGAAGAAAAUUACGGGUUUACUUCUCUCCACGAGAUCUAUAACAUGGUUUUGACUUCACGAAAUUCUUUUAAUUUAAAGCAUGCUGGUGUGAGAAGGUCAGUUUGACUGAUUGAUUCUUCAAAAAUAUUCUUAUUCUGAUAUUGUCACAAAUGUUAUGCUGUUUCGGCUAAUGAUCUCCUAUUAGGAGAGGUUAGAAAUCAAAUGCUUAAAAGACCGAUUGAACGAAUAAUACAGAAAAUUUAAGCAGAAUCUAAUCGAAUAUUGCAUGAAACAUGAAACAUCAAUUCAAGUCCUUUCUUAAACGGAGAAUGCAUCAAACAAAAUCUAAAGUGUCUUGCACGUCUGUAGCAUGAGCAAAAAAUUGUAAAUAUGUAGAACCAAAUUAUUCAAGUACAGAAGAACGAGCAAGCUGAAUCAUGUAUUAGAGAUUGGCCUGGUUCGGGAUAGCUUCUUCACUAUACCUGAAUAAUUUGCUAAAUAGCACCAAAACUUAAUUGAUACUUACCAUUUCAUUGAACAAUUUUUUUAUGGUGUCAUUGAGGUUGCCUUCCCAACAUCCUUCAUCAUCAUCAUCUUUUUCUUCUUCGGUGACGUUCACUUUGUUUAGCAUUGGUGUGUCUAAGACUCCUUGAGAGAAGAUCUUCAUUUUUGGACACUGUCUCACAACUACUUGUUUCAAGGACGGGAAUUCAAGAGCGUAAUUACCCAAACAAAAGCUUGUUAGGCUUGGCAAACAAUCAAGUCCUAAGUACUCCAAUUCCUCGAAACCAUUGCAAUCUUUCGCUUCUUCUCCAACCUGCGAUUGUAUGAUUUCUUCUAUCAUUUUGCAAUCAGCUAUCUUCAUUCUUCCGAGAUUAACCAGAUUUUUAGAUGCUGAGAGCGUCAACACAUUUAUCAACCCGUGACACUUCGAUACUUCCAGUCCCCACAUAUUUUCCAAAUGCCACGAAGGUGGUACUAAUUUUUGCAACUUACUACAUUCCGAUAUUUCUAGACUUCCCAAGUUUGCAAACGCUUUGUUGGAUUCGUCAUUUUCCUUCCAGAUAUGCUGCACUUUGUGUAAUCCAGAUAGUGUUAACCAACUCAAUUUAGGGAAUGCAACCUGAAAAUCAACAAAAUUAAUUAAGUUGUAAAUGAAAAUAUGUAUCCAAUCUCUGGAGUCUUCCCCUGCAUAUUUUAUGGACAAGAUUAAUCACGGCAUUUUAUAUUUUUUUUCCAAAUUAGUAUGCUUUGCAGUAGGAUCCCAAAUAUAAGUAUCAAAUCGAUUACCCUUUGAAACACAUAAAUGAAAUCUGAUCCUAAAUCCAAUAUGAAUUAACACGCAUAAUUAAUAUAGUUCAUCACCUCAUGUCACUAGGCAUCUAAUUAAUUUGAGACAUUUUAAUAAUUUAUACUAUAAAGUUAGUUAAUAACUGCGGUUAUAUUGUUAAAUCAUAUAUAAAUUAAGACGACAUGCAAAAAGAUGAGUCAUUAAAUUUGAUUUGAUUCUAAUGAAAUUACAUCUAUGCGAACGAAAGUGAUGGGAAUAAUCAUCAUCAUCAUAAUAAUAAUAAUAAUAAUAAUAAUAAUAAUCACCUUUUCAUCGAAGAGAGGUUGUAGUUGAUGAGCCAGCAAGAAGUUCUCUUCUGAUGUUAAUUUCUGAGGUUCCUUGUUAUCUGUUGUCACGUGCACUACAGAUGUAGAAUUGGAUAUGAAUGUUUCCUUAUCAGGGCAAUUCUCAAUAGUUAGAUAGUCCAACUCAGGCAGUUCAAUUAUAUUCCCAGUGAAGUUGCAGAAUCUUUUGAGUUUUGGAAGAUCAAUGAGCCUUAGAUUGGAAAGCUUAGGAAACAUGGGGCCUAUAUGUUCUUCCUUGGCAUUUAGCUCUUCCAAAUGAAGCACCUCUUCUAGUGAAUCACAAUUCGUCACUGUCAGGUAUUGCAAAUUGUUCAAGCACCGUAGCAGAUUGGCAGGAAUAGCACUCGACAUAUUCGUGCAGUCAUCCACCACCAGGUCACUUAAAUUGUUGAAGAAGCUGACAGGCAGUGCUUGGCCAUGCCAUAUUUCUUGCAAACGUGGAAAAUGCGAGAGUUGCAAAUACUCUAUAUCACGGAAUCCAAUCUGCACAAACCAAAACUAUUGCACUGGAUAUAUACAAUUUUUUUUAAAGGCAUUAGAUAUAUAUAUAUAUACACACACACACACAUUAAACUUACAUGUUUUGUGUUUUAACUUCUAAAACUACAUAUACAAGGUAGGUGUAUAUGUUUAAAUGUGCAAGCGUAGGGGAGAUGCAUGAACAAUUUGGGUGAAUCGAUUAACACAGACCAUCUUUUUGUAACAUAUUUUUAAAUGUGCAAGUGCAAGGGAGAUGCAUAAGCAAUUUGGACGAAUCGAUUAACACAUACCAUUUCUUCGUAGCCCUUUUGUAUAAAGGAAUUAAGGUUAUCGCCUUCCCGAUGGUACAAUUCACCCUCUUCCUUUUUACUAACUUGCACUUUGCAUGGCUUUGGAAUGGAUAAGAUUCCGUGAGAAAAAGUCUUCAUGUUCGGACAAUGUGUCACAGAAACUCGUUCCAGUGAUGGGAAUUCAAGAGUAUAAUUCUCCAAACAAAAGCUGGUAAGCCUUGGUAAAUCAUCAAGUAUCAAAACUUUUAAUUUACUGAAAGCAAUAUGAUUCUCCUUCGCUUCUUCUCCAACAUGUCUUAUGAUUUCUUCUAAUUUUGUGCACUUCGAUACAUUAAGAUUCACCAGACUACUAGGAAUUCCAACCUGAAAAUAAGCAAAAGUGUGUGUAUAUUAAAAAAGUAAAAAUGUAAGAAUAUCAUUCAACUAGGUUCAAAGUAUGUUUAAUCAUACAAUUAUACGUUUUAUAAACAUAACAAACCAUGAAAUGUCUACUAGAUAAUUUUUUAUUAAACAAAAAAAGCAACAAGAUAAAUAAAUAAAUAAAAGCCAGAUAAACAAAGAUAAUAAAAAUGCAUUUACACUAUUUACUAUUGGGAACGUAGAAAGAAUUUAAGGCAAUUUCUAAAUAUUUUAGACUUAUUUUGCAUCUUGAUAUCAGUUUUUAAGCAUAAAUUUACAAAUUUCAACUAUUCCUUUUAGGGAAAAAAAAUUCAACCAAAAUGCCGCUUUUUCCCUUUUCCUUGGUCCCUUUUUUUAUGUACAUUUAAAAAUGGAAAAAAAAAAUUGGAAAAGACUUCCCAAUAUUGUCAAUAAGGGACUGCUGCUGUAAAGUGGAUCUUUAUUAAGUACUUCCAGACUCAAGGAAAUUUCUUUACAAUCACGGGUCAGUUGUAAAUAAUCAUGAAUUUGUGGUUAAUUAAUGGCAUAAUCAAUUCGUAACUAAACAAGAGAUAUUAAUUAAAUUUGAAGACUUUUAUUUUCUUUUUUUCUUUUUCCAAUCGAAAUGUGAAGAAUUAAGGAAAAGAGAAAUAUAUAGAUGAAUUUGUGAACCUAUAAGAUGAGUGACGAUCCUUUAAUUUUUGAAAAUCGUACUUAUUAAGAUAUGAGCAAAAACUAUUUAAUUGAAUUAUAUUAUGCUGUUGAAUCGUGUUUAAAAAAUUUAUAUUGUUGAUUCUAAUGCUGACGAACCUAAAAACUGGACCUAAAACGUAGAUUUCAGAGUGGUGGUUCGAAGUACGAUACUUGAAAUAAAUAAUCAGUGGCUGAAUAUCAUUUGUAAACAAAAAAUGGUUAAAAUAUUGUUGGAUGUAAUUUGAAAAAAAAAAAAAAAGAUUCGAAAUGAAUACACUCAAAUAUCUCCAAAUUCUUCAAUUUGCUGAAAGACUCCAAAGCAAGCUGGUGGUGCCAUAUUCUUCUCAAAUUAUCCAUCGACCUAAUACGUAAUACCUCCAAACUAGGAAGUCGUACCUGGCAGUUAAAGAUUAAAUAACUAAUUAAUCAAUUAAUGGCAUAAUCAAUUGAUAACUAAAUUAGAGGCGGAUAUUAACUAAAUUUGAAGAAGACUCACGGAAAAGACAAAUUAAAUAUUAUGACUAAAAUUAAUUUUUUUUAUUAAAAAAAAAACCUUUUCGUCAAAGAGAGGAGGAGGUUGCAUUUCAGAAUGAAUGGUGUCUUCUGGUGAGCUCGUAGAGAUGAAUCUUAACAUAUUACUGCAACUCUGAAUCUCGAGCUUUAGCAAAGAAGGGAAUUCAACGACUAAAUCUGAAUGAAUAUGUCCCGUAUUGGCAAAGCUUGUUAGUUCAUAAAGCGCUUCUAGCUGCAGGGAGUGUAGCUUAGGAAAAACCUUUAAUUCAAUCAACUUUCCUUCAUCUCUUUCUGACCACCCCGUGGUGUCGACUACCCCUUCCAUUGAAUCACAAAGCCUUAUCUCAAGAUGUUGGAGUUGCAUCAGACGAUUACAAUUCCCCACGUACAGCUUUGUUAAAUUUUGACAACAGUACAUUCCUUGAUUAUGAUCGGCCCAUAAUUUUUUCAUGUUUCUUAAGUCCCAGAGAUUCAAUUCCUCUAAGCUCGGAAGAAUAACCUGCAAAGAAAACCCGUACAUUUUUGUUCCUUCAAGUACAACCGUCUAGUAUAAUAUUCUUUUGAUGAUCGAAGAUUAAUCGUGAUAAUAAAUUAAUCAAUUAAUUAUUGAACAGAAAAUUAUCACCUUUGGAGCAGUAUCAUCAUCAGCAAUGAUUUCGUUGAAUCCCAAAGAAGUUGUUGGUUUCUCCCUGUCGGGUCCUAUAAACAAACAAAAACAAUAUACAUAAUUAAUCUUUGUCGUUGUCUUUUUUUUUUCAAAAUAAUUGAGGCGAAGUCCAUAAAUCCACCAACACUUAACUUCAACACUUACCAACCAUCAUUUCCAGAUCAUGGCAAAAAGCCACUUUGACCUUUUGAAGCCGCAGUAGGUUUUUGGCUAUGGAGAAUGAGAAAAGAUGCUUUAAUUUGUGACAGGAUUGUACUCCUAUAAUCCUUAAGUUGCUGAAAGAUUGAUCUUCUGUGAGUUGGCUGUCACAUAUUGUCUCCAAAUUGUUCAAAUUGCGAAGAGACAAUGACACCAGCAAGGGGAAGACUUUGCGACGAACCCGUCCAACUGAACCGACAAUAUGCAAAAUCUCAGAACAACUUUCUACAGAAAGAUGCUUCAAUCGUGGAAAACCUUCCCCAUCAUCUAAUUCAUGAACAACAUUCUGAACACCCUUCAGUUCGUUUAGAUGGAUCUCUUCGGCUUCCUUCAGCAACAUUUUCGUCCCAUAAUUCUCCAAAAGAGUGCUAACAUUUUCUAGCCCAUGGAGCCCCACCAAUCUUGAUGUUUCAGAAUUAACGGGCCAAAUGCGCCACCACGCUUCUCCUAUACAUAUCUUAUAGCUUUGCAAUUCCACAGAGACCCAAUCCUGCGGCAGAAUUUGGGCAUCCGGAACUUGUAUAUUCAAAGUAGUUAGCUUUGACAGCCCCUUCAAUUCAGCAAGACUGGCGUUACUUCCUCCUUCAACCUUAUCCCACUGCGAAAAGCUGUCACCCAUAUAUAGUUCUUCCAAUCGAGAAAAUUUUGAUAUGACAUUUGGUGCUAUCACUACAAGGCUCCUACAAUUGCUCAAAUCUAGCAAUUGUAACCGCGUCAAUUGUCCAAUUUCAAGCGGUAACUGCUUAAUGUCGGAACCUCGAAAGCUAAGAAUCUCUAAUUUCUUUAGCUGUCCAAUUGCCGCUAUAUCUUCUAGUUGGCACCAGUCUAAACACAAUGUUUGAAGGUUAAUGAGGCGACCAAGUGAUGAAGGUAAUGAAGAGAAAGGAAUUCUAGUAAGAGUUAAAACUUUGAGUUCUUCUGUCCCUUCAAAAAAGAGGUCUGAAAUUUGCAUUGAGCUAUAACGCUUUGAAAACAACAAAAGUAACUGGAGACGGGGACAUCCCAACCUUUCGGGAAGCUCUUGAAUAUCUCUCUGGGGUAAUGAAAUGGCAAUUGGAUCUUUCCGUAUUGUCUCUUCCAUCUUUUUCUCCACGUCAUCAACAUUUGGAAUAUUAAACAUGCGCUCCCCUGCAGCAAUUGAUACAGCAACAACAUGAAUGACGUCAUGCAUUUUAACUUCAUCUUCAGCAUCACCGUCCAACAAUAAGCAUGAAGAUUUGAGAUUGUCGAUCAACCGAUGCACUCUACUCCUUGCUUCUUCCAAUGUGUAAACAUUUUCAAACAAACCCCAACCCACGCCAUAUCUCAAUAAGCCAGAAACUUGUAUCGCAUGACCUUCACUGUACAGACCACAAAGACGGAACAGAGGUUUUGCCUCCGCACUUUCCAAAAAGUCGUAACUCAAUUUUAUGGAGGUGUACACAUUUGCUUUCAUGCCAUGAAUUUCUCUUGCAUGCGAUCUUCUUAGCUGAUUCAAUGCAUCUUGCCAAAAGUAACGCUCCUUAUUUUUCAGAGCAUUUGCAACUGUACUCAGUGCAACAGGCAAACCUCCGCAUUUUUCAACGAUCUCAUUUGCUGUACUUUGAAAAUCAGAUAUUUUAGUUGAAUCACCCACUAUCUUCUCAAAUAACUGCAAUGCUUCUUCUUUCGAUAAAGCAUCGAUCCAGAAAAUUUUCUGACAAUUCAUAUCAUUGCACAAUAAAUCUCCACUUCUAGACGUCAAUAUUAUUGUGCAUCUUCUCUGAUCAUCCUCUCUAUCUUUCUCAUCAACAUCCCCAGAAGGAAUUCCAACUUCAUCGAACUUCAGUUCUCUCCAAAUGUUAUCCAAUAUAAUCAGGACCCGCUUCUCUUUCUUCAAUACUCGACGUAGUCGAUUUGCUCUGUCGAAUAUAUUCUCAUUCAACUCAAACUUUAUGCCUAAAUCAGAAGCAAGUUUGUCUUGAAUUUUCUGAUGAUCUGGGUUCUCUGUUAUCUCAGCCAUAGCGACCUUAUCGAACCACUUAUCUUCCAUCACUUGCUUUGCAACUUGCUUUACGAGCGUGGUUUUACCCACGCCGCCCAUCCCGUAGACCCCAAUUAUGUUGAGCUUAUCAUCCCUCAACGCCUCCAUAACAUCUUGAAAUACUUUCAUUCUUGAGUCAAAGGCCUCGAAAUCUUUCACUUGCAUGUGUUCUACCAGCUUUGGAGUAGGACGGUGGGAAACAUUGGAGAAGUUGCCUUUUCCCAUGAGACUAGC
rnacentral:lncRNA from 1 species